GAGAGAGCGUGGAGAGAGAAGAGCUUCUUGUUCAGGUACUCUCUCUCUAGUUUUUUUUAUUCAUUUUGCUUCUGGUUGAUUGUUUCUGUUUGGUUUGGCUUGUCAAAUUCGGAGUUUUCUACUUGCAUUUCGCUGUUUUUGAUUGAAUGUGAUUUCAUUUUGUAUGUUUGAGCUCCAUUUCCUGCUUCAAUGGCGUAAUCUGGAUUAGAUCUAGGCGUUAAUGGUUUUCUAUGGAGAUUCAGAUCUUCGUGUUCGUUUGCGACUGCAACUCCAAUUUUAUUUCCCUUUUUCUUUUAAACGCCUACGAUUUUGAGCUAGAUUAUUAUAAUGCUACUAAUAUGAUUUUUUAAGCUCGUUCAUUCUCUAUGGAGAUUCAGAUCUUCCUGUUCGUUUGCAACUCCAUCUCCUUUUAUUUUUCCUUCUCUUUUUCAACGGCUACGAUUUUGAGCUGUAUUAUUAGAUGCAACUGGUAUUCUUCUUUUAUAUAAUAUACAUAUAUAUAUUUCUAUAUAUUUCUAUUUUUAUGGUUGAUUUAAAAGAAUUGAGCAUUUCGAAGUCCGAUCUGACUCAUAUGAGCGUAACAGUCUGGAUUUUUUGUCGCGUUAUUUGCCUUGGUCCUUUCACACAUGAUAUCUGUCGUCAUCUCUCACACCUUAUUUUCAAGUAUUAAAUUAUUUUUCAUCAUUUUUACGGUUAAUAUUAUAAUUUAAUAUUAGUUAAUAUGGAUUCCGGUUUUUUCUGUUUGAGAAAAAUAAUAGUCCGUUUUUAUGCGGUCCCCCCCAUCACGCCCGAAUUUUCUGACCAUUCGUCUUCGUUCUCGUUUUUCCUUCUUGGCUCCUUACGUUUAAAUGCCGCGUUUUAUUGGGGCGGUUGCAAGUGCGUCCUGACUAUUUUGCACAUAUUCGUGAUAACUUUUUCUCGGCUGAUAAUUUUGUAACUUUGCGAAGCUUUGGCUAGGUUUGUUUUGAGAAUUUGAAAUUCCAACGAGAAAUUCAUUGUAGCUCCGUAACAGUGUUUUAAGAAUAUUCAAAGAACGAUAUUAUGAUUGGAAUUUCAAUUUUGGUUGGCAAGUUGGCAACAAAUUAAAUUUGAUAUUUUUUGGGCCAUGGGCAAGUUGGAAAUGUUCGGCACAUUAGGAAAAUAAUCUGGUCAAAAUCAAAGCUUUAUCGUCAAGUCCAUCAUGCGUAGAGGAAAAUGAGUUUUGUUUGUCAUUUAUUAAUAUUUAAUUAACCUUGACCGAAUGGUUGACCUGAUCCUGAUAUUGGGAGAGCCAAACAAUUUCUCUUCCGCAGGUGCUGUAGUAACGUUGAACCUGUAUAAAAUAUGCUUAUUUUUACUUUCUUUAUUCAAGUUUGAGAGGCGUAAGGGAUACCUUCACGUGACACGCCUCAAUUCCUUGUCUGUUUAGAUUCAUUGAGGAUUGAGAAGUCUGCCCAUCAUAUGUUUAUAUUCAUUUUUUCAAUUUCUUCUAGUUUGGUGCGUUGCAACUUGCAACUAGCAUGAGGGCUUGUUUCUUUAUUGCCUAUGUGGGGUAGCAGUCGGCACAUAAUUAAAGUUGUGGUGGGUCCUAAGGAAUAUCAAAUAAAACCAAGAAAACUCUAUUUAUUCAAAUCACCUUUUUUCGCAAGACUUUGUUGUUGGUACUUUUUACGUCUAAUUUAAGGGUCAGUCCCCACCAAUUGUAUUCAAGUUUGAGUUACCCGUCUAUUAUUAACACAAAAAAACACUAAUUUCAAUUUUUAUUCCUUAAAAUUGUGGCAUGCAUUAAACAUCCUCUAGGUUUAUAUGUGCUUGUUCUACUUGAUUUGAAAUUCUGGUGUGACUUAUUGUAUAUAAAGACUUGAGUUGGGUUUGUAGUCAAAUUGUCCGUUAUGCAUAGUGGAUCUAAUUAGAGCAUUUAUUAGGAGUCCUUUCUCUCUCUUCAGAUUUAGGAGCUCCUAGAGGUCUCCCUAUUUUAGGAGGUGGAUAGAGAGCAUAGUUGGAGUUGCAUUUUUCCAAAUGCUCCCUAAAAUUUGUCUAAGGAGGUGAUUUAGAGAGCCUAUUGUGAAUGCUCUUAGUGACACAAACUCCUAGUUUAUAUUUGAGUGAUUAGUCUUUGCCAUCUCUGUCUCAGCUGUUAAAAAUAAUAUGUAACAAAACCAGGGAAGCUUGUCGGUACGUUUACACUGGUUAAUAGUAGCGGCAAUAACUUAGAUCAAAUUGGUUGUGUGAUGUAAAGAGCUCCUCUACUUGUAUGUUGGAUUCUUUUGGAUAUUCCACUUGCCUUUCUGGUUGGUUUUGGUCCGUUUACUUUGGCACUUUGUUUCUGAGUGGUCGUCGUGUGAGGCUUGAACCUCCAAAUAUCUCAAUCGGUUGGUGUAUUUUUAAUUCAACGUUUGCGGUGUUUCAUUUUUUUGGUGCUCUUCGAUUCAGCCAAUGAGGAAACCCGCCUAGCCGUAGUCACUCUCGAGGUCUACAGGGAGGAAUAUGUGAGAGAUCCGAGGAAUAAAAUUAUUUAUAAUUGUUUCAUGUCUUUUACCUUUAUCCUUACUAAUAUCUCCUUUUCGUUUCUUGGUGUUGAUAUCCUAUAAACUAGUAUAUAACUAUUGAAAUCCUGUUGUGGCACUACAAUUGAAUUAUUCUGUUUUGGUGGUGCAUUAUGGACUAACCUCCUUUUGACAAUUACAUUAUACUCAAGAGAUUCGUUCUUCUUUCUUUGCAGAUUUAGGAGCAAUGGGUGCCGGUGGAAGAAUGUCCGCACCCCCUACCCGUAAGAACGCUGAAACCGACAACCCCAAGCGAGUGCCAUACUCAAAACCUCCAUUCAGUCUCGGCCAGAUCAAGAAAGCCAUCCCACCUCAUUGCUUUCAGCGCUCUGUUAUCCGCUCCUUCUCCUAUGUCUUUUAUGACCUUACCAUUGCCUUUCUCCUGUACUACAUUGCUUGCAAUUACAUCCAGCCUCUCUCUCAACCUUUCUCUUUCUUGGCGUGGCCAGUUUACUGGUAUGUUCAGGGCUGUGUCCUGACUGGUGUUUGGGUGAUAGCGCAUGAGUGUGGUCACCAUGCUUUUAGUGAUUAUCAAUGGCUGGAUGACACAGUCGGUCUAAUCCUCCACUCUGCCCUCCUUGUGCCUUACUUUUCUUGGAAGUAUAGCCAUCGCCGUCACCACUCUAACACAGGUUCCAUUGAGCGAGAUGAGGUCUUUGUCCCCAAGCAGAAGUCUGCUAUUGGAUGGUACUCCAAAUAUCUAAACAACCCACCGGGCAGGUUCCUUACACUCACCAUCCAACUCACUCUAGGCUGGCCUCUGUAUCUGGCUUUCAAUGUUUCAGGGAGGCACUAUGAAGGCUUUGCUUGCCACUACCAUCCAUAUGGCCCCAUCUUCUCCGAUCGUGAACGAUUGCAGAUUUUCCUUUCUGAUGCCGGUGUUCUUGCAGUCGUAUAUGGGCUAUACCGUCUAGCUGUGGCGAAAGGGCUUGCUUGGGUUGUAUGCUAUUAUGGAGGACCUUUGAUGGUGGUGAAUGGAUUUUUGGUGCUGAUCACAUACUUGCAGCACACACACCCUUCAUUGCCACACUACGAUUCCUCAGAAUGGGACUGGUUGAGAGGAGCUUUGGCAACAGUUGACAGAGAUUACGGCAUCCUGAACAAGGUUUUCCAUAACAUCACAGACACUCAUGUUGCUCACCAUUUGUUCUCAACCAUGCCACAUUACCAUGCAAUGGAGGCCACCAAAGCUAUCAAGCCGAUUUUGGGCGAUUACUAUCAGUUGGACAGGACGCCGGUUUUCAAGGCAAUGUUCAGGGAGGCAAAGGAGUGUAUUUAUGUUGAGCGAGAUGAGGGUGACAAGAAAGGUGUCUUCUGGUACAAUAAUAAGUUAUAAAUGUGAUUAUCAAAAUUGCCCGAAUGAGUGUAGGGGGAGUUUUAAGUUCUUGUAAUGGAUCCGAGCUUCCCCUUUCACUCAUGAAUUAGGUUUCUUUCGUCGCUUGGGACUCUACUUUAAUAUGACUAGUUGUGCUAUUUCAAUAAUUUUCUCACCCCUAUUUAUUGUAGAAUGCAAGAAUGUUCUGUGCUACGUUCCUUUCUUUCCCCUCCAAUGAAUGUGCUUAAUUUCCUAAGCAAAAAGCUUCCAAAGGCCUAAUGAAAAAUGGAACGUGCUAAACCAAUUCUGAAUAUUUUCAUUUUCAUUUUCAUUUUUGCGGUUGAGAAAGACUCAAGAGAGUCGUUUUAACUUGGAACUCAAUUUCUGUGGCACAAUGAAUCCCUGAACGAGAGGGAGGCAGGCUAAAUGAAAUGAUAACACAUGGGCUUUGCUCAGCCACAGGACAAUACUGAUCCAUUCCAUCUGUCUUUGCUGCUUCAUUUAUAUUUGGCACUCUCACCCACUCUAUCUUCAACCCGUUUUUGAGGGAUGUGGAAGAAUAAAAUCCAAGGGCUCCUUUGGUGAGCUAGAUUAUAUGGUUGGAUAGAACUAAUAAUCCUAGUCAAGUGUUUGGUGGUCUAAAAAUAACUUGGAAUGGAUUAUGUCUACUGGAGCCUAAAUGUAGUAGAAUUAUGAAUCCCACCAAAAUGGGAUUGGAUUAUGUCUAUAAUCAUGCUAGACUAUAUAAUACAUUAUUGGAUUAGUAUUAUCCUUUCCGAUCAAAUGUAAUCCAAUCCAAUUUCAAUCGGGAAACAUGACCCCAAAUGUCCAAACAUGAGUGUAAAUUGCAAUAUAGCCCGUGGUGAGUUCGGAAUUUGGAAGAAUAUUACUCUUCAUUUUAUUUCAUCAGAAAGAAAAAUAAAAUUGAAUUAAAUGAGUGAGUUGUAAAGAAGGAUACAGUAAAUGAGUUAAGGAUUUCUCGACGAAGUGUUCGAUUUACUCCAUGUAACAAAAGUAAAAGGUAAAUGUGAGUUUGGCCAGUUAGUCAAGACAAAACAAAACAAAAAUUUAAAUAUCGACCAAAAUAUAUAUAUAUAUAUGUUUACUGGAGUAGCCCAAUCGAUGUAUCUAGUAUAAACUUCAGCCCAGGCUUAAUUACACUGGCCCAAUAUGCUCAUCUAUUAUUCCAGGCCCUGUUAUCAUAAGAGGCUUCAGCGAAAAAAUAAAUUAGAAAUCUGCAAUCCAGUUUACAACCCUACCACAGAAGCCCAUUAUGUUGUUACAUAAUCCUUUUAACCACACCAAUAUAUAUAAUGAAUUGGAUUAUUAUUAUUUUAAUAAUGUUGUAAAUUACGAACUUGAAAGGUAUGAAUUUCUUAAUGGGAAUGGAUUAUCUGAAUCCUGAUUACUAUGUAUGACUAAAUCAAAGUUUACAAUCAAUGUCAGCAUCCUCAAUCCUGGGUUUCAUAACAUCAAGGGGAAAUUGACAUCAAAUCACGACCAUUUCAAAAUCCUGUCGACGUUCGAUGGUUAUUAUUUCUUAAUUAAACCAUAUUAAGUUGGUAUUAUUUUCCAUCAGUCAACGGUAAAUGCAUACUUACAUGUUUCCAUGGCCAAUAGAAUGACUUGCCAUAAGAACAGAAAAUCAGAUUUAUAAGUAACCUUGAAUAUCUACAAGUCAAAAGAUUUCUUAGGCAAACAUUUGGGUUACUUGAUUUGUACUUCAAAAAGAAAAGCAAGACAAUGAGAAGUGAAAUCUCUGGACCACAAAUCAACCAUGAAAGCAACUGGUAACUAAACACAUGCAAAAAAAAAAGUCCAAUAAUGUAUGUACUACUAAUUCUUUACAUGUACACAUCAAUUGGUCUAUGAUAUUAAUUUGAUGUAUAGAGAAGAAUCUUGUAUAUUAGGUCAUACAACUAAUGUUAUAAGAAGAAAAAAAAUUGUGUCUAGUGGAAAAUUGAAAUAUAUCUUGCUUGCAUAUGCAUAUUUCUUUUGUUAAACUAUUAAAACAACGUUACGUUGUCGAAUUGUGAAUAUAGACAAUUUGACAAUUUAUUAAAUUGAUUCUUAUUUGAACGUGCGAGUUAAAUUGAUUCUUAGUCGAACCUUCUCCAGAAAAUUCAAAACUGUAUGGUUAACCUAAAAAAGGGUUGAGUGUUUUUAGGUCAUGUAUAUGGGUAGGCCAGCUUCAAAUAAUAUGAAUAUGAAUUACCGUGGGUAGGAAAAGGAAGCCUUUCUAGGCACAGAAGUUACCAAAUAGUGCAAUAUAUAGUACUUUUACUGUGCACUCGCAGUCUCAGAAUACAUGCAAACUGUAAGAUAAAAUCAUCUGCAACUGCAUGUGCAUGUCAGAUUCAAACUGAUCAUCAUCACGUGCAACAACUCCUUAAUUUCACAUUCAAUUUUACAGGAAGUAACCAUAUAUUCUGCAUGUGUUGGUUUGUUUGAGUCUGGUUUCAUAAGCGGAUAUUAUGGCGAGUACGUACAAACAUGUGACAUCUAUGCCAUAAAUAUAUAUAUGUUUCUUUCUUUCUGUUCCUGCAUAGUGCCUAAAAUGAACUAGCUAGUAGCUUCUGUGUUCCAUAAUCAUUGCCAUCUCUGCCACGAAGUUAUAUACAUACAUACAUAUAUAUAUAUAUAUGUAUAUGUAUUAUUGAAGAAUAUAAGCAUACAUGUAUCAUGAUCUGGGGUGUCCAAAGAGAAAGUAGCCUAUCUAGCCUUAAUCAUUUCUGGCAGGACUAUAUAUAGCACCAAUUCUGGUUACACGCCAUACUAAUAUAGGGUGCCAUUGUUCCAUCACAUCCACUGCGGCCUAGCAACCCUAAUGUGAAACACAUAAUAUAAUUAAAGAGAAGACCUAAAUCCAUAUAUGCAUAUGUAUAUGUUUAUACCAUAUUUGAUCAGUCAAUAAGAGAACUAUACUGAAAUAAAGGACUCAUAAGGAGGAUUCACUAAAACUAGCAAUCUAUUAUGUCCCACAAAGUACCAUUGGCAGGUUGUGAGCCUUCGGCACCAUGACUUGCCGAUCAUGGCUAAAGACCGCGCUUCAUUAGAGAUUUCUCACAAAAACACGUGGCAUCCCCUCAGGCGAAGUCCACAGUUCUACAUCAAAAUCUCACUCAAGAUGCACAUCUCCCAAGAUCUAUAAAAAAAACAAAGUAACUGUGACAUUUGACUACUUAGCCACCACUAUGUCCAAAUCACUAUUCACUUUAUACUCGGUACUAACUUAAGCAUUGAAAAGCCUUCAACCGGUACCACACCGAUGCCCAGGACCUCAUUGCUCUUUCUUCAUUUUGCAGCUAUCCAACCUGCCAAAGAGCACAUAAGAGCCGAAGGCAAUAUUGUCACAUCCUGGGAUUGCUCUAGCCCCCAACUCGCUUAACUUCGGAGUUCCUACGACUCCGAAGCCAGUGAGCUCCCAAAAGGCCUCGUGCUAGAUGGAUGCGGAUGUGCACAUAUAAGGCACAUCACCCCCUCUCCGUUGGUCGAUGUGAGAUCUUACAAUCCACCCCCCUUAAGGGCCCGACGUCCUCGUCGGCACACUCGCACCACACGGCAGAGUGGCUCUGAUACCAAAUUGUCACAUCCCGGGAUCGGCUCCGCCGUAGCACGAUAUUGUCCGCUUUGGGCCCCCCUCUCUGCCCUCACGGUUUUGUUUCUAGGAGCUCAUGAGCAACUUCCCAGUGGGUCACCCAUCCUGGGAUUGCUCUAGCCUCCAACUCGCUUAACUUCAGAGUUCCUACGACUCCGAAGCCAGUGAGCUCCCAAAAGGCCUCGUGCUAGAUGGAUGCGGAUGUGCACAUAUAAGGCACAUCACCCCCUCUCCUUUGGACGAUGUGGGAUCUUACAAAUAUGAUCAUUAAGUUGGGUCCAAAAGUAUCUGACCAUUUUUUAGCAUCAACAAAAUAUAUAUUCCUUUUUUAUUGAGAGAUCCCUCAAAUAAUUUUAUUUGAAAAACAUCCUUUAAUGUUCACUAUAAAUUUUUUUAAUAAUUAAGUGGUACUUUAGAAAAGUACUUGAAUUUUAAUAAUUUAUAAUUAAGUAGCCAAAUGACAUUGGAUUCAAGUGAUUUUUUAUAAUGAUGAUCUUUGAAUGAAUAUCUAUAAAAUAGACUGUUUAGAUUAAUAAAAUACAAUAAUAAUAAGUAAUUUCUACAAAAAUGUCCCUCAAAUAAAAACUCUAUCUCUAUAUAUAUCUCUUCAAUAAUAUAUACCAACCCUUAAAAAAAAAUAAUAUAUAUAUAUAUAUAUAUAUAGCAACCCUAAAAGCUAGUCAAGCUAGUCAAGCUAGGUGGACAAACUUUAUAGCUAUUAUUGUGAUCUUUAUUAGGCAAUUUACCAAUCAAUGUAAGAUCAUCACUCCAUGGUAAAUAAUUAAACGUGUGUACGGUCAAUUGAUUCAAAUUUGAAAUGAUGGUAAAUUAUUAGAUUGUGGUUUUCAAAUGAGUUAUGCACGCAUUAAGAAUUUUAUAAUAAAUUUGUAAUUUAAAUGGUUAAAAACAUUUACUUAUACAGUUAAAAUUAUUUUCAAAUAGGCUUGCCAUAAUCCCUUGGAGUAGAUUUUGUAAGAAUAUAAAAUUGUGAUUCAUAUUAUAAUAACACACAUGCUAAGUACGUGAUAAAUCCAUCCUUGUUCAAAGCUUUGGGAUGGAAUGAGUGAUAAGCAUUAUUUCAUUAAGAAUUUUUUUGAAAAGGAGUGGAAGACUGGUAAGAAAAAAUGCAGCGCAAGACACAUGUUGGGAAAAAGCUGACAGGAUCCAGCUAAGCAUAACACGAGAGUGCGGUCGUGCAACCCAAGUUCGUAAUUAUUACCCAAAAAUCCUAAUUAGUAAUUAAGACGUCAAUAAAGAGUGGCCUCGCACUCGUUGGAUUGGCUCCUGCUCUUGGAAGCAGCGGACGGCACGCACGUCGCCACGUGGCAGUUAAGAUUGAGUCUUUGCUCUGCCAUCCCGGGGCCGGCACUGGACUCGUGUGCUCUCUCUCUCUCUCUCUCUCUGAUGACGCAAAACGCAUCACCAUGGGUGUCAGUUCAUCACGUGCACAUCCGACGGUUAUUAUUUUCUGAUCAGAACGGAAGAUCGACCGGUACAUACACUGUACACAUAAUAUCCAAUUGAAUAUCUAUAAUAUUUCCUCUGCGGCCGGCUAUUAAUUAUUUUUCAUUAGUUCUCCUAAGCAUAGCAUGAAAAAUGAAGAGCUCUAACACAAAUGAUUGAUUUUCUAAACCUUAGAUAGAUGUGCUGUAAUCCAUAGAUAAUACAAAUACGAUCAUGAUUAUUCAGACACGAACGUUUGUAUUUUACAUUAAUAGAAACGAUGAUUCUGUUUAUCAGUGUUAUCUUUGUGUAUAGAAAUACAAUGAUGUUUUCAUACACAAUAGUCCUUACUCAAUUCUGUUAGGAAAUUAGCCCCAUUUAGAAGAAAAAUGGUAAGCUGCCAGCUACCUAGCUCGUACAAAUUGUAUAUAAUAUACAUAUAAAUUGAUGUAAUUAGACAAGAAUUACAAGGAAGGUUUUUUGUUGUAAAAAAAAGCCUUUUAUAUAUUCAAUUGAAGUAAAAGAAUAAAGUAAAAGUUGCAAAUUAAAAAGGAUGACUAACCAAUUUAGGGUUGCGUUCUCAUUAGCAUGACAUGCACGAACGAUCGUGUAAAAAGUCAAAAAAGUGAAAGCUAAACAUCAUGGCAGUUGCACCAAUUGUAAAAGGUCACGUGCCAUGUGACCUCCCCACUGAGCAAUUCUCACCUAAACAACCCUUUUUGGCAUUCACACAUAACAGCUUCCAUUAGCAUUAUUUUUGUGUCCAAAAUUUCAUACAAAAAGGAUAAUUAUAAAUUUUUAAACCUGGUUAAGGACCUUUCUUAAUCUCACUUAUGCUUAAUUACAAAAUCGACUGGUGAAUGUUUUCAUUUGUUUUUAUACAUAAUGCAAGAGAUAAAAUAAAAAUAAAAAUAUCUAUUGUGAAGACAUAGUCAAAUAUGAAUUUAGAUUAAGGUUUGGGAUCGAAAGCUCCAUUAGUGAGUAGUGACAAUUCUUAAGACCGGCCAUGCUGCUCUCUCUCUCUCUCUCUCUCUCUCUCUCUCUCUCUCUCUCUCUCUAUGUAGCUAUGAGAUGAAAACAUAGAGCCAAAUGAGAAAAAAACAUCCAAGUCGGUUUUGCAAUUUAGCAAGAGUGAGAUACCUCGUGCAUCCCUACGUACUAGUUUGCUUUUAUAUACAUAAUUACAUAGGAUGCGAAACAAUAUUACGUUAUUAGAUUGUUAAGUUACAUCAAUAUUUAAUAACAAAACAUCCACGAUUCAUUGUGAAGCAAGUUCGUUUUUUAAUACAAACGAUAGUCUAAAUUACAGUUGAAGGGGAGUUUCUCACACACACACACUACCAAGGUGUUACGGUGAGUUUAUAUCUUAUCUAGAAAUUUUCCUUAAUUUUUGUUCUUUCUAUGGGACCAAAUUGAUACUCUUAUAUAUAGCUACUUAAAACUCUCCCCCUACAAUCUACAUGCACACAACUAUUUGCAGCUGCUUUGCUGGAUCGUAUCCAAUUAAAGAGAUGACCAAACCCCAAAACAAUGGAUGCUCAAAAUCAUUGUGCUUCCAUAUCAAGUUUCAGAUCUUAUAGGAAUUCAGUAAUGAAAAAUUACAGACAAGAUGGAGGAUCAAACAGAAAAGUAACGAUUUACAAAGUCUUAUGUUUUUGGAACUUAUUUUUGUAGUUUGUUUUGGUUUGAAACGCGGGAUUAGGUACGGCUGUCGUACAAUUGUGCAAGCCAUGAACCUAUGAGUCCAUGACUUUGGCUUUAUGUGUAGCUCCAUAUUGUCAUAAUUACCCAUAUGAAACUUAUUUUUGUGCAUGACGUGUGAUCAAUUUUUAUAGAGUACGUGAUUAAUGUGGUUAGUACUUUUUAAAUGUUGAUCACGAUCAUGUAACAGUUCUGAUGAAGUCCUAUAAAAAAAUAAUGUUGGGGAUGACAUUGAUGUAUAGUAUCAAAAGAUUAAGUUGUCGUUAAGUAUCAAAAAUAGUAAUAUGAUAUAAUUUCUGCUUUGGCCUAAAACCUUAAGCAUUUUUUGAGGAUCUUUCCUAUUGAGAUGAGUGAUAAUAUACUAAACUCACACACACAACACGAAUGUUAAGACUCGAACCCAGAACCACUACACUAGUGGGUCUUUUGCAAAUCCUCAAGUACAUUUGAAUUUGCACGAAAACUUCCCUCAUAACUAAGCAUUGAAAUCCCAUUUCAUGAGGAAGGAUUAAUACAAGCUAGAACACAAUAAAUGACAACUUUAAUUAAAUGAUUGAACCACUCAUCUCUCAAGGUUCAAUCAAGAAGAGGAAGAAGAGGAGAAUCAUGCAUUGAAAUUUUACAAUUGGAUGAUCCUAAUAAUGAAGUUCCAAGUUGAAUGGAAAAUGGGGAUGUUUUGGUAAUUUCAUGUAUGAUGAAAAACACCAUACAUGUUCACAUAUAUCCUCCCAUACCCCAAACUCACAAAACAUUAACAUAUAAUAUAAUAAAUUCAACAGAAUACAUAUAUAAGUAUAUAAAAUUCCCAAUUUGGGAAAUAGGGGACCAUUGAGUUCCAUUAAUUACUCUAUUGACUCUAGCAAAUUGCCAGACAAGGAUUCAUCCAACCCCUCCUCCCAAAGACAGCCUUUUUCCCCUCUUUUGUUUUUUUUCUUAGUUUUUUCCCAUUUGUCCUUCCAAUUUAAUUAAUUAAUAAUUAACCACCCUUUAUAUUAAUCUUUCCCCUAUAUAAGCAUCACCUUCAUUCUAAACAAAUAUAUACACCAACUUCCUCAAUUUCCAUUUCCCAACCUCUCUCUCUCUCUCUCUCUGUCUUCCCCCCUCUCUCUCUCUCUAGCCAUUAAGUUCUCAUGGAGGAGACAUUAACCAAGAAGCAAACUUGUUGCUCAAAUUUACCAGCAGCCCUAGCCAUCCACAGAGACUCACAAACAAUAUCAAAAGCCAAGCCCAAAAUUCGAAUCAUUCACAUAUUUGCACCAGAGAUCAUCAAGACAGACGUGGCAAACUUCAGGGAGUUAGUGCAGAGACUCACAGGAAAACCAUCUGAAAAUGGCUGCAGCAAGAAGAAGAAUAAGAGGCCAAGGAAUUUAAUUCCCAGCAGCAGAGAAGAACCCAAGAAAAAUGCAUCAUCAAUGGCUGACAAGCUGGAGCUAAUGAGAACUGGGUACAUGGGUUUGGAUCAAUCAAGAGAGAGAGUCAAGGAAGAGGGGAUGAUGUGGAAUGCAGAGAACUCAGGUGGGUUCUUGGAGAGAUUUGCAGAUUUGGAAGGGUUUAUUCAGGAAUUUGGUGAAUUUCCUCUGCUACCCAAUUUGGAUGCCUCAAAUUCUCACCUGCAUGGUUUUGAAGGAACCCAACUUGUCUAGAAAUAUUUAGCAAUUCAGAAAUUAAAGUUUGAUGUGUGAUUCUCACCAAAAGAAAGAAAAGAAGAAGAAUGUAUGAUGAGUUUCAGAGUUCUCUAAAAUAUUUUGCUUAAUUUCUUGGGAUUUUUAGAGGGUUUAACUUAAUUAUAGUACUACUUGUUUAUCCAUGUCUUUUUAAUUUUUAAUUUCCAAUUUUCUUAUGUUUUUCUGAUCUCUCUCUCCAUUUGAUGUAAAUACAAGGGUUAAAGACAUAUACUUCUGAGUGCUUCUCUGUUUUCUGCAGAGAUAUUGCAGUUGCAUUCCAUUUGGAAGUUGCAGAAACUUAUAAUAUUUCUUAAUUAUUUCUUUGAUUUUUUUAAGAUUUAGCUUUUAAAUUGAGCUAUAUUUAAGAGGGUUUGUCUCGUUCCAUUUGGAUGUAGGACUUCCUUCUUGUCUUAUGUAUGUGUUGUUGUGGGGCCUCUGUUUCUCUCUCUAAAUGAAGAUUUCUUGUUGAGUAAUGGUACUCGUAAUCCAUUUGUAUAUCACGUUCUUAUAUCAAUUUAUGCGGUAGAUGAAGUAGAUAGCUAUAUCAAUUAAAAAAUAUCAAUGAAUCAUAAAAGAAAAGAGAAUGUUUAAUUUUAAUUGAUAUGGAUGUCCACUUCAUCCCUUAUAUAAAGUAGUAUGCGAAUAUAAUAUACAUAUAUGAUAAGAGUAGUAUUAUUGUUUGGGAAACCAAAUUCUACGUGCAUAAAUUAUAUAUUUUGAUAAAUUUAUAGCUUUUCUUGCAAGAGUCUAAUUGCAAUUUAAUUUUCCCCAUUUAUUACAGAAGUCGUCUCUCUCUUAUCAUGUUGGCAUGGAAAUUCCAGAUACACUCCUCCAACUCCCAAGUUUUGUUAGUCCAAUUCGGAAACUUCCAUUGUUAAUUGCCCACAUGAAAUUUAACACACAAUUCUGCAUAACCCACUUGUUGUUUUUAGGGGAAAAAACCACCAACUGCUCCCAAGUUGGCUAAUAAUUAAUUAAUAAAUAAAAGUUAUUAAACCCAUAAACCAAUCUAAGAGUUAUUGUAUAUUAUAUCCCAUUCCCAUCUACAAAUGUACGGAAGAUAUAUACAUAUAUAUAAAUGUACGUCUAUAUGUACACAUACAUACAUACCAACCAAUUGUACCAUGAGCAAAUGAAUAGAUGUGUUUUUUAGUGCAAGAGAUAGUCUAAACUAUAGGGGAGGGAGAUUUUUCAGACACACAAUUAUGGUGUUGUGGGGAUUCGAACAUAAAACCUCAUGUCUGGAAGUCAAAACCAUUUUUUACUGCGCUAAACCCUGCCGUUGGAGAUGAAUAGAUGUUCAAUUCACACCAAGAGCUGUAAAAUUAUUUUCUUAAUUUAUAAGAAAAUAAAAUAGAAAAAGCCCAAGUUCGCAUCAGGGGUUAAUAAUAAUAGUUGACAAAUAAACAGCGGCGGAAGUCAAAAUUUUUGGUGAAUUUCUUAUUCGCAAAUUGUUAUAUUAAGAUUUCUUAUUUCUUGGUGCCACAAGUUAAGUAUUUAAGUUAAUGAAGCUAGAUUGAGAUGGCAGGUGCAACACCAUUAACCAAACCACAAUUAGUGCCUCUAUGAUGCUCAUAUAGUGUCAUCUGUUGUUGAUCCAAAACGACCGUACACAGAGAGUCAAUGCCUCUAGAACAUUACACGUGUAAAAUCUAAAGAUUGAACUCGAGAGACUGUAAUGAGAGGUUAUAAUGAAAGGAUCCUUUAUAGUUAUCAGAUUAAUUGCAAAACUAUUAUUGGACGAACAGAUUGAACCCCUCAACACACCCCCUCACCACAGCCCCUUCAUUGGAGAAGCUUUGUGAUUCAACAUGUUUGUACAAUUUCUUCUCCUACAAUUUGAAGUGUCAACAACAAUACAUCAGCCCGUUGAUGCACGUGAAUCUCACAAUGCAUCAACGGUCCACAAUCACCUACGCACAUCAAAGUGGCAAGGGCCAAAGGGAAACACAGCCAACUAACCAAGUAAUCAAACCAAAGGAAAAGGAAAAUUAAAUAUUGAAAUGGCUUUCCAGAUGAUGUAAGGUCAAGCUUUGGAGGCGGCAUGUCGUAAAUCAAGCAUGACAGCAGAGCAGAUCAAUAGUCAAACAGCGUGGUGCAUUUUAGUCAAACAUGUUCACACUUCACACCAACCUUUAAUUUACAAAUAUUUUCCCUGUUCUUAUCCGGUGAAUCUAAAAAUCAUCACAAGGGCAAACAAAUUAUAUAAUAUGCUUUAAGACUUGGAGGAACAACCACACUCAAUUUUGGUCCGUUGACUUGAAUUUAACAGAAAUAAAACAUGUCACCUAUUUUUAUGGUGAUUAUUUGGAAAAUUUUGGAAGACAACAAGAAAAAAUUAAAAAAAAGCAACAUCUCAUUAAGAGAGAGGGAGAGAGAGAGAGAAACAGGUGUAAAUGUAACUAUUAUUUUAAUUAAUAUCUAAAAAUUUAGAAAAAAAAAUUUGAGUUUCCAUACAUAGAAGAACCUUUAGCUCUCAUACUCCAUGACGGUUUCUUCCAGGGGAGACGAAGCUGUAUCCAACCUUGUAAGUACUUCAGGAACUCCAGCUGCAUCCCUUAUUAUCUGCAUCAAACCCAGUAGCAGAAUUUAAAAUCUGAUCGCAGCGCCCUAUAUGAAGCCACCACUCCGCAAUAUAAUAAAAGAUCAAAGCCGAUCUAGUAUUAAGAUGCGUGAAAAUGUUCAUAUGUAUAGUCACCGGCCAACUCUUUUUCCUUUUUUCUUGUUUUGACAGUACCACAGGCCAACCAUACACAGUUAUAAGCAACUAACAACCCAUAACCAACUUCAAGCAAGUGUAUGGAAGUGGUGGAGAAAGCAUGGCUACGCCAGUUUGGCACGUAUAAGCUAUAUAAGAUAAUGGCUCAUUCUCAAGAUUCAAAUGUCUAAGUUUGACUCUGGGAACAAGGUUUGUGGGGGAGAUAGAGUGCAUCUGUUAGUGUAGCCUUUGUUAAAAGUCAGAAUAACAAAGUCAGAAAGUCUUGCAUGCUAAGUAAGAUUGAUUAAGAGGAAAUAUUAGAGUCGGUUCAUAUAAUAAUACAACACAGAGACAAAGGUGAAAUGACUUCUAAUUGUCAGAGGUAAAACACUUAUAAAGACUUCACCCUUAGAACACAAUUGAUUCCAAGGUUAGUGAGGUCAAAGGUAAAGGGAGCAAAUGUAAACCUAUUUCAUCUGUUAUUAAAUCCAGGAUAAUCACAACAUACAAUAAUAAGAUCAGCAAAAGGCAUUACCGUGGACUUUAUUUAUGAACUGUUGACUUUAUUUAUGAAUAUUAUUCAUGCACAAACAUCAGACUAAUGAAAGGGUCAAGGUGAUCUAGGGAAAAUAAUGGAUUUCAAAUACAUCAUAUAUCUUUUAGCAAAAUAUACAUCAUGCACCUUAUGAGUUUAACCCUCUUUAAGAAUGUACUUUAGAAAUUUAGAAAAGUUUCUACUACAAAUGAUGAAAACAAAACAGAUGCCCCCAAGAAAAAAUGAAACUUCAUUCGUCCCUAAACUAUUUGCCUACAUGCAAUAGAUUUUAACUCAAUUUAGCUAUAUUUUUGUGAAGACAGUCUAAAACUCAAAUUGAACAGCUGUUUUCAGUUCCACCAAGUUUCAUAUUUCAAGACUAAGGAGAUUAAUUACUUAGGUAGUCAUCUAAUUCUGCUAAUCAUUAUGGGUCAGAGUUUUACAAUGUAAAACAUAACAAAUUAGGACUGAAUUAUGAAAAAAAAAACUCAGUGGGAUACUUACAAGUAUCUCUGUAUCUAGAUACGAAAUCAUGAAGAGUCUCUCAAAAGCUCCAGCUGCAGACACAAGGUAAAGCAUACAGGCAAGAAUGAGAUAAAGCAGUAUUGGAUGAGGGUGAAAAGUUAAAUUGCUUUAUUUUAUCAUAUUGGAUGGAAUAUUAGCAGGGAGAGGCAUACACUGGUACAAACAACAGUGAAAAACAAUAAAACUAGGCAAGCAUAAAGCAGUAAACACUUGCCAUGGGUUCAUAAUGAGAUCUAAGUUAGCAUAGAGGCGAAAGUAAUAUAAGAAGGUAAUAUUGGCUGAGGUUCAGAAGACAAAUUGCUUCUUUCAUCAUAUUGGAUGGAGCAUAAGCAGGGUCGGUAUAUGCUACUGCAAACAAACAUCGAAAAAUGAAAAAGCAUCAUCACAUAUGCACAAAAUCCCAUACCAUCUAAGAUGAUCGCUCCCACUAAUUUUUAUGACUGAAUUUAGUGAUGAGAAAAUUAUAUAUUUAUUGUAUCUAACCAUUUAAUAUUCUGGAUUCUAGGCUGCCAACAAAUAAAACAUGCAAGAAAGAGCAAGGGUGGGAAUUUGGAAACUCCAUUCGAGACACAUCUGAGUGGUAAAAUUGUUAAUUAAACAAAACAUAAAAUAUCUGCAGCUUUUGAAGUCACAAUGUUUCAACCUGAAUUAUAAGAUCAACUCUCUGGUUAUGGGUCCUAAGCCUCAUCCUCGAGAGCGCUUUACGGCAACCAACCAACAAAAACGUUCAAACCAAGAGAGAGUAACAUGGGACACCUAAAGGUUAUAUGAAAAAUUAUAAUUAUAUCAAGAAUAAACUGUAGCUGGCUAAGUAGCAACACCUUAAGAUACCUCACAAUUGACACAAUACCUCACUAUAUACUCAACCUAACAGCCGCAGAAUCUUGUAAAUGGAAAAACCUCCUUUGAGGUACCUAAUCAUAACACAAACCACUACCAAGGUCAUCAAUGACUGUGCCCUUUGAGGCUUGGGUAUUUAAUCAUUUACCUUGCCUCACCUCCCAAAAUAGACACAAAAGGAGGUUGGAAAAAAGAGAGCGUUCAUCUUUCAAGAAAAGCAAAUGUUAUAGCUCUUUUAACACCUAUGUAAAUUUAACUAAUAUGAAAAUAAAAGGAAAACUUAUCUUAUUGUAAAAGGAAUGAUUAGCAAAGAUACCAUGUUCAGAAUUUAUAAUUUAUAUAUGCCUCAAAGAAUGGUAACAACAUUUUCAGAAAAUUUAUGGUGGGCAUAUGAUGUUUAACCAAGUCUCAACUAGUACCCCCAGGUAUACCAUCGACACCCUUAGAUUUACAGAAGGAAGAGCAGGAAUAUUUGAUCAAUCUACAAAGACAAAAUGGCUGGUUGCUGCAAUGUCAAAACAGCAAAAGUUGCCAAAGGUAGAGAGCUUAUGAAAACAGUUAACACAUGGUAAAAUCAUCAAGCAGGAGGUUAGGAUUCAUUCACAAAAAGGAAUUUACAGGCAUCAUAGCAUCUUCUAAUCCCAAAUAGUCAGUUCCGCAAAUUUCAUAACUGUUCCCUUACAUAGUACUUGGCCACAGCACAGCAGAUAUUCUUCUGACAAUGGAUUUAUAGGAGUUGACUGGAGUGAUUCAUAGACUUAAAAAUAAUUCACAAACAUCUUUCUAUCCCAAAUAGUAAGUUUUCCAAAAUUUCAUAUACUGUCUCAUUACGUGUUACCAGACCACAACAGAGGCAGAUAUUAAAAGGGUUGAUUGCAGUUCAAGAUUCAACUCUGCAACUCAGAUAAGAGAAUAACUGGGUAAGAAAAAGAUCACACUUACUUAAAGGAACUUUCAGCCCACUGGAAAAGGCAUCCCUAAUAGGAAAAGGAAGUUGUUGCACUGUGCUCACUGCCUGACCAAAUGCACCUUUUAGCUGUUCUGGUAUUGUCUCUUCAAUAACUGUUGGUGUCUCGAGAAUUCCCUCAACAUAUUCCUCUUUCAUUCGAACUGGUCCCUCCACAGAUAACUUGAUUGACAGAGUAAAUUUGCUUUCUAUCUGCAAAGAACCAGAAUAUGCUUUAUAAUGAAUGCUCAUAAAAAGUUACAUCAACAAAAUUCAAACAGAGCACACAAAUAGGAGGUGGAAACCGAGAAAUGAUAGGUAACACCAUGUCUAAAUCACGAUUAUGCCUUGACUAUUUGUUAUCACAGAAAAUACUAUCAGACUAAUAAUUUACUUCUCUUUCUCUCUCCCUCGAUAAUCAUACUAAUUGCAUUUAUUUAGAGGGGCAGAAUUGAACUAACACAAAUAAUUGCUAGGUUUUUUAAGAGUCCAAGAAAAAUGACAAAAACAAGAUGCAAAAUAGUUCACACAGAUUGACUGGCUGAUCUUGUGAUGUUGUACCUAAACAGAAUGCACAAGCAAGCCACAGUUCUAAUGCAAACAUGACCCAACUUGCCCUAACCAAGCACUAGUGCUUCAACAGAAAUAAUGACCCACCUAAGUUCAAUAUCCAUAACAUAUUGUAUUGGAGCUGCGGUUUCACAUGGAGAUGUGACAAAUGCAGUAUUUAUUCUGAGUGCUUCAUCAUAUAUAUGAAAGCAUUCCAUGGACUGAGGACUUCAAAAGACAAAAUAAAUACCGAGUUCAACAGUUUCAAGUUUGCUGUAAUCUCUGCAUUCCCAUCCUUGAUGACCACCUCCAUUUUUGACAAACUAGCCAAAGUUGAAGGAAACCUCCUGCAGCAACAGAGAGAUUGCAUCAAUACGUUAAGCUACCUUUCAGUUCAAAUUUCAAAACCAGUUUGUUUUUUUUUCAACCAAUCCAACAAUUAAAAAGGUAAAUGUAUGCAGAACUCACUGAAAUAUAAAUCUAGCAGCAAAUAGACCUGGGCUUGCAGAUCCAAACCACUCGAAAUUCCAUCGACCUUCCAAAAAAGGCGACCUGGGUAGCUGAACAAACAAGUGAACAUCUCAUCCAAACCAAAAGAAAAAAUUGUGGGAAUUCAUUGUUUAGAUAUGUGCCUACGUUGUAGGACGUGGUGUUGGAUUGACCCGCUCCAAACUAGUUAUCCUCUCAUUCACAUCAAUCCGCUCCAUGUCUGUUGUCUUUCCAGUGACCAAAGCCUCAAAACCCCCAGCAUCCUUAAACUGAAACAAAGGGUUUCAAAACAAGUCAAAGAAUUUCAGGAAAAAAAAAAAAGUACCAAAUAAUUUGAAUGGAGAUCAUGAUGUCACGGUCCAUAUUAAUUUGAAUUUUAAUACUUAAGCACUGUUGUAGUUCGCAUGUAUACUUUCCUAGCUCAGGAGAAAGCGAAUUUUGUACUGAAAAUGGCAUAUUCUCACAUUACCACUUCCUAAAUAGCUAAUCAGUGCAUAAAGCUAUCAAUUUCUCUAUUAAUUGACAUUAAUCAUAUAUAUUCAGAGAAUCGUAUAUGAAAAAGACGAUAAAAUUGCUGAGACUCACGGCAAGAAGCAGAGAUUCUUUAGCUGAAAGCCUCUCCAUUUCCUUAGCAUACGCGGCAGGAGCUCCGGGAACGGCCUGCUGAACCAUUGCUCGGCACAGGGAUCGCCGGAGUCGAAGUCUCCGGUCUCCGGAGAUUCUCCGUCCAUACUGCGGCCACUUUCCGACAGGGACCAGUGAAGUGGUGGUGGUGGUGGUGGUUGAAGAGAAGGACGAGGACAAUGAAGACGACGACGAACAACAGAAGUGAAUCGAAGCAAUCGCAGAGAGCUGGCUCUGAACGGACACCAUUGAAGAGAGAGAGAGGGAGAGUUGAGAGAGCAGGGCUGGCUGGGUUUGAAUCGUCUGAUAUAGUAAGGAAUGGACAAGACAGGUGGGUGGUUGAAGGGUGCGAGGGAAGUGGGAAGGCUCUGUGUGUGUGUCUGAUAGAGGGGUGUUUUCGUCAUUUUAAAAAUAAUACUAAUAUCUAUGUAUUAUCUUGUUUGGUCUUUUUCAAUUUUUGAUUGAAUUUGUUGGCGAAUCGGAAUCGGCGGCUGCUUGUCCUGCCGCUGAGUUUUUUUGCCAGCGGCGUGCGUUUUGACUGUUAGUUUGUUACCGUUCGUUUUUUUUUUCUUCCCUUCUUUUUGGUCAUGUGGGUUGUGUGACACAUAAAAAUAUUUAAUAACGACAAAAAAAAAAAAAAACAUAUUUACCUAGAUGGAUAAGAAGGCUGUAAGGAUUUACCAAGUUAAUUCGACACCAUGCAUGUUGUUAAUUUUUUACAGUGUAUAAGAUACAUAUUUUGUGAGGAUGUACAAUGAAGAGUUAUGUCUCACAUUAAAAGUCAGCGAUCACACAUAUUUUACGUCACUUAAUAUGUGUGUUGUCUAUGUGUUACGUAAGUUAAUAAACUUUAUAUGGGCUUAUAAAGAAUUAAACUAUUUUCCUAUUAUCAAGUAAUAAAUAGUACACGAUGGAGCUCGAGUAGAAAGUAUUGAUUAAUUUCUCAAGAGCAAGAAUCUAAGGUUCGUAUAAUUUUAGAAUGAAAUCUCGACUACUUUCAAAAUUCACAUAAUUUGUGUGUUAGAUGUUAACACAUACCAUAUAAAUCUUACUCAUGCUUUCGACUGUUCCAUUGAGUAUAUGACAUUAGAGGGCAAACAAGCCAUAAAGGAAAGAAAUUUUAGACCCCAUUUGUCAUCAUAUACCAGAAAAUUUUGUACUUGUCUUGUCAAAAUAAAAGCGGAUACCCACUAUCACUUCUUUUGCUUUAUGGACAUAUUUAGUAAGCCUCACUAGACUAGACUGGACAAAAAUAAUACUUAAAACCCUUGUUUGGUUUGAGAAUAGGAAAAAAAAUGGCUCGCUCGCCCUUCUAAUAUAGUGAUGUAGAAAAUUGGUUCGCAAAAUAGCACUCUCGGGGGUCGUUUGGUACGGCGGACUGUCAUGGACUGGACUAAAUCCUGGGACUGUCUUGGAUUAGCUCGGAUUGGACUAAGCUGGAUUAAGUGCUGACCUACGUUUGGUGCUGCGUCGGACUAAGAAGCUGGAUUGUAAAAAUAGUGAAGACCUAUGUUUGGUGCUGUGUGGGACUAACAAUAAUUAUUUUAUAUUUAAAAAUAAUAAUUUUUAAAUAAUUAAAUGUAAGUUUUUUGUUAUUAGAAUUACCAAAUUGACAAUAUACAUUUCUUUUUCUCCAAACCAAAUUCACAUGUACAUUUCAUAUAUGCAAAAGUUAGAUAUUUUUCAUAUAUGCCAAAGUCAUCUACAUGACUCAGAAAUUAGAGGUUUAGUUCGCUACACACAAUUCUACCAUUAAUACAUACAAAUAAACAUCCACAAUUUCAAAAUGAAACUAAUAAGCCUCACAACCAUGAACCAUAUGGCUUUAAUGCUAGCAAAAUAUUAUACAAUUUGUGGUGUUUCCAAAAUGAAGCCAAUCUUAUCAAUGCAUCAUUUGUGGUGUUUCCAAAAAGAUAGAUGCAUCAAACUUAGUUAGGCCAUGUCCUCAAGCAUUGUCACUAAGCAACUGCUCAACAAACACUUUCUUGAUAUCAUCAUCCAAAGACAUGAAUAUAGAUAUGUUUUGUGGCUUCUCCAAAAUGAGUUUUAGUGCUGCAAUUUGAUCUAAAGGAGAAAAUCCCAUUCUCUUGAGUUCUUUGGCAAUAUCAGAUCGAUCUUCAUUACCUUUUAUUAUAGCCUCAGUCACCAUUUGCAUCCUUUUCCCAGAAGCUUCAAACAAUUUCUCCAAUACAGUCACAAUCUUCUCUUCAUCACUUGAGCUUGUAGCUCUUUUCCUCUUAUUUUGACUGUUCAUAGAUUGGCUUCCUUCUAUGUUUAAAGACAUAGGAGAUGCAUCUUCCUGGACACAAUUAUCACUAGCAUUAACAUCAUUAUUGCUUUGCUCUUCCAUCAUGUCAGCGGGGGCUUCAGCUCUUUGUCCGUUAGCACGAUCCUUUCCGAAGAUAUUAGAAAGUCUAUCAAACAAAGGAAAUGGUUUGCUCCUCCAUUCGGCUGCUUCCUUGUGGUGCUAUGAUAAAACAAGGCACCACUUAGCUUAUUUUCAAUAUGUUAAAGAAAUAAUAAUAACAAAAGAAAGUUUAAAAUCCACACUCAUCAAACCCACUUGACAUCAUAAUGUAAGCAAAAUAGCAAAAAUAUAUAAUCAUGUACCUGCACAUAAGUUUCCCAUGCAUCAUUACUGUCAACCUCAACACACUUUUUUAUAUCAUUCCAAGCAAAUCCACUUGUGUUUAUCAUGUCAUAGACUAUGCUAUAUUGCUUUUUCCACUUCUUCAAUUUGGAUUCAAUAUGAGGGCAUGCCUUUAGCCCCGAAUCAGGACAUUUAAUAUUCAAAGCCUUCUCCAUUUGGACCAUAGUACCUGAUUUGAAACUACCAGUCUCACAGCGUUGGCCUGCAGCCACAAAAUCAUCUAGCACGGUCAAAAACGAAUCUUCUUCAAACUUGGACCAUGACCGCCUAGUUCCUUUCUUUCCUUGUUCAAAGUUUUGACUGUUACCUUCACUUUCCAUCCCUAAGAAUAAUCAACACAAAUAAAAUAAUACCAUAAUCAAUAAUUGGAAUUUGCAAAGAAAACAUAACUUUAUUUCAAGGCACGAUUCUUCUUUAGUACAUCACAUAACCUUAAAAACAAAAUGAAAAAUAAAAUCAGCAAACCAAUUGAUAAAUUUUCUUUAAUACCACAAUCAAUACAUUGUUAAGGCCGAAUUAUCAUGCCUCAAAUACAAAUUACAAUCACAUAAAAAAGAAAACACCUUAAGAACUCAAACAUAAAUAACAAGAGUUGGCUAGUUAUUCGCAUUUCCUUGCCACUCAUUAUACAUUUGGAACGCCAAGUCAUUCCUCCAAGUAGUCCAUUCAUCCGAUGCUCCAAUGGUGCCAACCAUAUCACCUUCUAUCACAUUUUCCGUCUCUUCAAUUUCAUUUAUUUCAUACUCUAGUGGAUCUCUAGACAUCUCCCUCCUAAUGAGAUUAUGUAAAAGACAACAAGCCGUAAUUAUUCGACAUUGUGUCUUUAUUGGAUAAAAAGAUGGACUCCUUAGUAUGCACCAUCUAGCUUUUAGCAACCCAAAGCAACGUUCUAUUACGUUUCUUGCUUUAGCAUGCUUCAUAUUAAAAUAUUCUUGAUGAUUUACAGGUGUAUUUCCUUCUCUCCAUUCCGAUAGAUGAUACCGUGUUCCUCUAUAUAGUGCGAGAAAUCCCUCACCAUUUGUGUACCCACCAUCUACAAGGUAAUAAUAACCUAAUAACCAAAAAUUAAAAAUAAAAGAAGUCAAUUCCUAUUAUUGUGUGGUAAUUGUAUAAACUUACAAUUAUUUAUAAAGUGGACACUAGCUAAUGGCCUUACCGGUAGGAACUCUUAAUCCAUUAGGCCUAGUUAUGGCAUCUCGAAGGACUCUAGAGUCGGAUGCGGAUCCCUCCCAACCCGGCAACACAAAUAUGAAUUGCAUAUCACGUGAGCAAACGGCCAACACAUUUGUUGCAAUUUCUCCCUUUCUAGUCCGAUAUCUCGGUUUUUCGGUUUCAGCUACUCGCACUUUAAUGUAUGUUCCAUCUAGUGCUCCCAAGCAAUUCUAUUAGGAAAAAAAAAGAAGGUAAACUUUCAUUAAGUUUAUAUGCUGCACAGAUCAUAGAAAAGAAAGCCAAAGUAUAAUAAACAUACCUUAAACCAUUUCCAUCUAUGAUCUGUGCAGUUAUCACCUACAGGUUCCGGUACUCUCAAUAGGCUACCUUGUAAUCUUAAAAUGCCUUGUAACACGGAAUUGAAGUACCUACUAAUAGUCUCUCCUGAUCGAACAAAUCUAUUUCUAAUAGUACGAUUCUUAACAUGAUGAGCAAGCAUAUGCAAGAACAUACAUACUUGCUCCUCCACAGUCACCAAACCGUCAUUCUUUAACCUUCCAUCCGUGCGAAGCAAAUCACAUAAUAAACCAAAUGUCUUUAAAUCCAUUCUUAGUUCACUCACACAUUCUCUAUCAUUGCCUAAUAUACUGUUCAAAUAACGUAAUCGAUUCUCAUGUCUAACAAACGAACGGUUAUUGAGGGAACGUCUUUCUAAAAGUCUUCGAUUUCUUCUCAUAUUUUUUAGCAUCAUAAGCACAAGAAUCGUGCAAGCACACAUGGUCUCUAAAUGCCACAUCUCCAACAAUAAUAACAACAACAUUCGUCUUUGAUCCAUAUCUAUUAAUCCAAAAAGAAAAGAAUUAUUCCACUUAACCAAUCCUACUGAAAGUAAAAUAACCCCAAAUUGAACACAAAAAGUUUCAUAUAUGCAAAUAGAAACAGUUUAAUUAAUGCAAAGCCAUAAUUAAUACCAUUCGCAAAGUAUGGAAAAUUCACCCCAUAGACCAAAAAUUAUCAACCAAUGUGUGCCUAAUACCACAACAAAUAUGAAGAAAAAAGUUCUAGGAUUAUUUCACUUUUGGCCAAAAGAUGCUGUUGCUGAUUAACACCAAAAGCAUAUUGAAAGAUUCUCUCCAACCAAAAACUGUAAAACCAAAAGCAUAUUCUGUAUCAACCAAAAACUGUAAAACCAAAAGCAUAUUGAAAGAUUCAAAUAGCAGUUAUAUGAGCAUAUUCUGUAUCAACCAAAAACUGUAAAACCAAAAGCAUAUUGAAAGAUUCAAAUAGCAGUUAUAUGAGCAUAUUCUGUAUCAACCAAAAACUGUAUAGUGUUUUCUGCUAUGAUGUUUGAAAUAUAAAUGGACUUUGUUUUAAAUCUUUCAUUGUUGCUUCUGCGUGGGGUUGGUUUGGAAGUGAGAUGCGCAGCAAAGAGCAAUUUGUGUAUUUAUCUGCAUAUGUAUAUAUAACAACAAUGACAUGAUGAUGAUGCUCUUUUCAUUUUAAUUAAAUAACUGACCGUGUACUAAUCAAGGGGGAAAAAGAACUGAUAAACUAAGUGUACUUUUAAGCUUAUUACAAGCAAUUAAAAAUACACGUGAAGUCACAACACACAUCACAAGAAGUCAAGAAAUCAUCAUCACUACACAAACAACACACAGGCCUGCAGAAAACAGAUGCAGAAUUUCUGAAGUACUUGGCCUUUUUUGACCUUUUUAUUUCCAAAUAUUUUAACUAUGAAAAAGCUGAAUCUAACCAUGUUCAACUUGCCAACGCAACGAAUAUGAUCAACACAAAUCAUGGCAGAGAGAUUGCUAAUUGCUCGUAAAGUGAUAUUCAUGCAGGAUGCAAAUUGCUCUGUCAAAUGACAUAUACACUUCAAAUAUUGAUGCCCAAUAAUAAUUAAAAUUGAAAAAACAGGUCAUAUGCGAUAAAUUGCUCUUUCAAAUGACAUAUACAAACUGAAACAGUAAGUUCAAUAAACUCAAGAUUCAUGCCAAAAGUCUACUUUACUUCUGAAUUUCUAGGUUUUCUGAAAUACCCAAUUGCAAAUUAAUUGCCAAUUAACAUCAUGUAUACAUAUGUCACUACAGAUUCUACGAAAAUUAGAGAAGAGAAGAAGAAAAUAACAGAGAAAAGGAAGGAGAGAUUCUCAGAGCACAAUCAAAACUGUUGAGGAGACAGUCACAAUCAAGAGAUGGAAGAAGGAAUAAGAGAGGUAUCCAAAGGGAAAGACCAGAAAAACUUGCCUGCGUCAAGAUUCGAAGAAGAGGUUGAGUCGCAGAGACGGAGUCGUAGAGAAGGAGUCGCAGAGAUGGAGUCGCAGAGAAAGAGUCGCAGAGUCGGGCGUGUUCAAUAUAGCAAGGGCUUAUUUUGCGAACCCAUUUUGAGCUUCGCUGUAUAAGGAGAACGAGGGAAGCGUUUUUUUAAUUGUUGGACUCUACUAUCCCAUUUAAGUUAGUCCCCUUGCUAACCAAACAUGGGCUUCAGGUCCAAUAUAGCACAGUCCCAUUCAGUGAGCCAUACCAAACAUGCAUAGAACAAGCAAGUCCGACACAGCGCAAACCAGUUUCUUCUUCUUCUUCACCUGCGUCGUGAUAUCUUAGUGCAGCGUGUAUCGACUCUGCCACACAAUUUUUCCAUUGACCUUCACGACGGAUUUGAUUGCAGGAGUGAUAAGCAAUUGAAAUAUUUCUCCAUUCUGAGAGCGCCAUCCAUGUGGGUCUUAUUUUUUAUGAUGCUUUCAGGCCACCUGAAAUUACAUAGCCUAUGAAUGUUGUGAACAGCAUGGUCAUCAACCAAUUGAACGAAUCUGUUUGUACUUGAAGUGGGCUUUGUGGUUUUUCAAUCGUGGAUAUCAGCGACAUCGCAGAUUCCUGAACCCAAAUGCACGAAAGGUUUGCUUGUUUCUUUGUCUUAUUUUGUUGCCAUUAUUGCUGGGUCCGAGUCCAUUGGUUUUGUUCAUAAGAUUAACUGGUUUCAAUCUUUGAAGAAUUGGGUUUGGGGGCUUAAUGCUUCUGGUGUUGUGCAAGAGUCCAUAGCACAACAUGCACUCCACCUGUUCGCUAAAAUGUGGCACUCAGUUGGGUGAUGCAAUGGGGUGGUAAUGCAAUUCUUGAUUUUGAUUUGGGCUAUCACAUGGGCAUUCAAGACAAAGGUAGUGAUGAGUUUCUCAAGAGUUGCUUUAUUGGAGAACUAAUGACAUGCUUAGUCAUUGGUUUGGCACCAAAACAUGCCAAAUUUUAGUCUUGUUUGCGGUUGUGUUGAGUAGUCUAGCUUAUCUAUUAGAUAACUUGUCCCCUGUUUUGUAAUAAAUAGAUGCAAGACCAAAUUUCUGAAUUUUUCAUGUACCUCAUGGUGUCACAUUUAAUUUCAUGGUCCAAAUUGCUAUGAAUGGGCUUGAUGGCAUUUUUGGAAUGCUUUCUUUGUUGAUUUUUUGGAGAAAUUCUGACUUUGACAUCUACAUAUAAAUUUGGUAUCUAGAAAGUAUAAUCAUAGUUUUAAGAUCUUAUUAAAUUAUAUUUAAUUAUCUAAAUAAUUAUUAUAUUUAAAUAUCUAAAUAAUUAUUUUUUAGUUUGACACAACACCAAACAUAGGACUUCGCUAUUUUUACAAUUCAGUUUCUUAGUCCAACGCAGCACCAAAUGUAGGUCAGUACUUAAUCCAGCUUAGGCCAAUCCGAACUAAUCCAAGACAGUCCCAGAAUUUAGUUCAGUCCAUAACAGUCCGCCGUACUAAACGACCCUUAUAUGUGUUAUAUAAUCAACCAAACCAACGCAUGUGAAAUGCUAAAUUAAAUAUGGGGUUAAUUUCAGUUUGGUACCUUAAAGUUGUACUAUUAAGGCAUGUUUGUCUCUGCAUUCUCAAUUUUAACAAUUACAUACCUUUAUUUUAUAAAUUUUUUACAAUGUGACUCUGACGUUAUAUUGACUGUUAGAAAAUCUGUUAACUGAUGACGUGGCGUAUGUAGGGCCUACGUUAUUUUCUUAAAUUGAAUAAAAUAAAAAAAUGUAAACACAAAUUGAAUAAAAUAUUAAUAAACAUUUAAAAAACAAACAAAAGCCUUUUAUUUUUUUUCUCUCUCUAAACCUUUUUCUGACAGGACCCAACUCAAAUUUCACUUUGAAAUCCGAGUCGAAUCCUGUUCGCGUCCGACACUUGGCGGUUGUCGGGCACAAUGACUAAAUUGCCAUUCUAGUUAAAAUUCAAGUUUAUUACAAUUUCAACUUAUACCGAAAAUUCGACAAAGUCCCCCCUGCAAUUUGAUCAUUUCCCAGAAUUUCCACCUGUCAAAAGCAUAAAUAUACAUAUCCCAACUGCCAACAUGCUUCCAUUUUAAGAUCCAAACAGUUCUGAUAAACUAAACGGCCUUAGGCCACACAGAGAGUCCUAGGGCAAAUCAUCAGAACAACUAAUUCAGGAAUAUACAACAAAACAAUUUGAUUUCAAAAGAAAAUUCUAAAUAAGAGGAAGAGUGGAGCGGAUUGUGGAAUCUGCCUGGUGGUGGCGCUCUGGUGCAUGUCUAUUGCCUGGGGCGCAAAACAUUCAAAAAUGUGAGUGCACAAAAAUAAAGGUCUAGAAAAUAACAUAUGAACAUACUAACCCCACUGUAAAAACAGUUAUGCAAAACUGAAUUUUCCUCUUCAUUAUAUUCGUACUAAAAUCAUUCACAUAUUUAUAUACGUAUAUGCCAAUCAUAUUCAAGGUCAAUAAAACUCUCUUAAAAACAUUGAAAUCAAUUUAAAACUACCACCUAGGUGUAUCCCUUUAAUUCUGUCAAUUCCUGAUAUCCGUCAAUUCCCGAUAAUCCGUCAAUUCCUGAUAAUCCGUCAAUUCCCCUGGCAGGUCUCGGUGACACAAAGUCAACCCGAGCCACAAACUGACAGGAUUCAGGGGAUCGUAGUCAGCCUGAUCCGCAUUCCUGGCUCCCGCAGUCCGGGCGUCCCAAAACUCGUGANNNNNNNNNNNNNNNNNNNNNNNNNNNNNNNNNNNNNNNNNNNNNNNNNNNNNNNNNNNNNNNNNNNNNNNNNNNNNNNNNNNNNNNNNNNNNNNNNNNNUUUCUGAAGGAUCUGAUGAAUAACUGAAUUUUUGUUAAAUCUAGAACUCUGCUGCCACUUAUCUGAUAUAUAUCUCAAGCUUUACUUUCCAUAUCUUUUUAGCAUAUUCAACUAGGCAGCAUAUAAAUAAAGAUAUUUAACUCCAACAAAUCAUGCUAGGAAAACCAUAAUCAAUAAAACUUAUUCAAGAUCAAAUAAUGAAAUUCAUUUGCAUAAAAUCAUUUAUAAAAGAAAAGUCCACUCACUCCUGGUCCGAGCUAGCUGAACCUCCUGAAGGUCCCUCCUACGGGUCUGCCUGGCCCCAGGUGCCUGAUUAAACCACCAUGAAUAAUUAAUUAAUAAAAUUACUCGGUAUAAGUAUUUAAUUAAAACCCUGACCCCCGACUCCUAGAAGUGAGUGCACUAACUUUAAAGUCAUUCUUAUGCCCACUUAAGCAUUUCGAAUGGUUAGAGCGGUCUUAAAAGACCCGAGACUCACUAAGUGAUAAACUUCCAUAUUGGUCAAUCCGGGACCUCGUGGGGUCCAUGACCUCCAAUUACCAAUUCGAGAGUUUCUAUAAGUUUCUCACAUUUAAAUAACUAUGUCCUGCAAGUCUGGUCCGAAUCGGACGGUCGGAUUGCUCAUGAUCAUACGAUCGAAUGGUUAUUGUUUAACUUAAUCUUUAAAAUAUUAAAUCGGAGUAUUCGGGACUCCGAUUCUCAAUCCGUGAAUUUCUACACAAUCCUAGAGGUGUCUAGAUUAACUAUUUGAAAAUGAAGUUGAUCCAACGGUCUGGAUUUAUCAAACUCGGAUAACGCCUAAUAUGAGAUAUCCGAUCGACGACCGAACGAUAACCAAGUUGAAAUCCGAGCAUACCGUCAUGCUCAAGACGACGUGGCGAACAUUCUAGGACAAAAACCUAACAUUGACACCCCGGUGACGUGCUGUAACACCCCGACCCCAAAUUUCUCCAAAUUCCACCCUUAUUUAAUUAUUUAAUUAUUUAAGGGUAUUUUAGUCAUAUUUUUAAUCGGAGAGAGUUUGGGACCGUGACUUAUAUUUUUGGAUAGGUCGUACUGAGACGAGUUCAUAGACACGUAGUGGGCUCGAAUCGGAGUUGUAACGAGAGAGAUAUGGUCAAAAGAAGUCCAGUGGCAUAAUCGUAAAUAUUUCGAAAUGAGAUUUUUUUAUAAAAUCAGAUUUUUCUCUCUCUCUCUCUCUCUCUCUCUCUCCCCCGCGGGUCUCUCUCUCUCCUCUCCCUCGAGCGCGACAGCCGGCCACGUUUUGGCCGGCCGUGCUCUCCUCCGGCCACCAAUGGCGACGAGACCGGUACCAAAAUGACCGGGCCGUCGUCCUCUUCCUACCCCAGCCAGGCCCCGCCUCCAGCCGUCGCGGUUUCGCCGGAAUUUGGAGAAGAAGCGGCGGAUGUCGCCGGAACUUCAACGCCGUCGAUCACCCUCCUCCGGCCACCAAAUCCGUCGACCCAGGUAUGGAUUUUGAACCUCUCGAGCUGCUCUAGCUGAUGGUUGGGUAGGAUUAGAUAGAUUCUUAGCGUAGGCAACUCAAUUUUCGAAUUGAAAAUCGGCCGAAACUUCGGCCGCCGUGAUCGGCCAUUUCCGGCCACUUUUUGGGGUAAGUCCAAGAACAAAAGUGGCUCCAAAUAGGGUGUUAUACCUAGGGUAGGAGUUUGGAGCCGAGAUGUUGAGAUUUUCCGGCGAAGCGUUAUCGCUUUGGACACCCACGCGCUGCCGGCGCGUGCGGCGGCGCGUGGGCACUGUAGAAAAAAUAGCAAUGUGUUCCAAUGAGAUCCUUAGGUCGUCACGAGUGCGUAGGAUUUCGCGGAUCUCAAUUCGGACGUCGUUUGUCUAUCGAACGGAUAAUCGCAUAUUAUGCGUUAUCCGGGUUCGAUAGGUUGGGACCGUUGGAUGGUCCCAAAUUUAAUAUAUGUUGAUCUAGGUAUUUCUAGGAUCGUGUAGGACUUCACGGAUCGUGAAUCGGAGCCCCGGAUGUUGGAUUCACUUCAUGCACCGCCAAGUGAAAGUUAGGUCCCACGUGGCGUAGGUUAUCCGGCGUUGGGACAGGCCCCAUACGUGGCGUUGGUUGUACCGGCGUACGGGGAGAUUAUAUGAUAUUGUGUUGAGGUCGCACGUGGCGUAGGUUAUCCGGCGUGUCGACAGACCCCAUACGUGGCGUUGGUUGUACCGGCGUAUGGGGAGAUUUGUGAUGUGAUAUUGAGGUCCCGCGUGGCGUAGGUUAUCCGGCGUUGGGACAGACCCCAUACGUGGCGUUGGUUGUACCGGCGUAUGGGGAGAGCUUAUGUGGGAUACAGAGAAAUGAAUUAAGAUAUCGCCCAAGUGUGGAAUUGGAUUUUAGGGAAGAACUACGUGUGGCUUGAUCCCUCAAGGAGGGUACGUAGGCAGCCUAAGGUUAUUAGGUGCAGCCGCAGACUAAAUAUUAGUCAUAAUUGGUAUCUGAAUUGUUUGGUGGUUUGUUGAGAAUUACUGGAAGGCCGAAGGCCAUUUAUGUGAAUUUGCAUGAGAUUAUAUUGUGCAUGCUGCCCGUUGGUGAUAUUAAAUGCGUUUUUAUGCAGGUAUAAAUUUUGGGAAAUGUCCAAAUUAUAGGGGAGACUCUGCCGAAAUUUCGGCAGGAAGUCUCAGUUUUUAGUGAGUGGGCCUGACAUCGGGGUGAUGUCAGGAACUCCAAAGGGUUCGUCUCGGAUUUUGAGAAAAUUCGGGGCGGGUCCUUAAAGUCAAAUUGUCACACCCCGGACCGGCUCCGCCGUAGCACGAUAUUGUCCGCUUUGGGCCCUCCUCUCACUGCCCGCACGGUUUUGUUUCUGGGAGCUCACGAAGCAACUUCCCAGGGUGGUCACCUAUCCUGGGAUUGCUCCAGCCUCCCACUCGCUUAACUUCGGAGUUCUUACAACUCCGAAGCCAGUGAGCUCCCAAAAGGCCUCGUGCUAGAUGGAUGCGGGUGUGCCAUAUAAGGCACAUCACCCCCCUCUCCGUUGGUUUGAUGUGGGAUCUUACAAUCCACCCCCCUUAAGGGUCCGACGUCCCCGUCGGCACACUCGCACCACACGGCAAAGUGGCUCUGAUACCAAAUUGUCACACCCCGGACCGGCUCCGCCGUAGCACGAUAUUGUCCGCUUUGGGCCCUCCUCUCACUGCCCGCACGGUUUUGUUUCUGGGAGCUCACGAAGCAACUUCCCAGGGUGGUCACCCAUCCUGGGAUUGCUCCAGCCUCCCACUCGCUUAACUUCGGAGUUCUUACAACUCCGAAGCCAGUGAGCUCCCAAAAGGCCUCGUGCUAGAUGGAUGCGGGUGUGCCAUAUAAGGCACAUCACCCCCCUCUCCGUUGGUUUGAUGUGGGAUCUUACACGUGCUGCCACGCACCGCCACCGUCAGCGGGGCAUUGAGCAAUUUUUCGGCGAUCGGAAAACUCCAAACCGCCGGCCAAUAAUCACACCUAUGGAUUAAGCACAUCAAGGGGAGUAACUUUAUACCUUGGCUCGAUGAUCAAUUCCAUCUCUAAAGCCCUCGAAUGAAGCUUUAUGUCUCUUGAAAACCUAGAAUUUUUAGUUUCAAAAUCAAAGAAAUUUGAAUGGAUUCUCGUUGGAUUGUCAAAGGAUAACACAAAUGGAAGGUAUGAGAGUAUUUUAGGUGCAAUUACCGAGUUGUGGCGGCCAAAAUUGAUCGGAAAAGACCACGAGCAGCCACUGUUCAAAACAACCCAGUUUUUGGGCUCGGGUUUGGCUCAAAAUUGAGCUCAAACUUGGUUGUUUUGAUCUGAAAUUGUAGGAGGCUUUAAAAAAGGAAGAAAGAGGACGAUUUUGCUGCUUGUGGUGUUGAAAAUGGCGGCCGGAUGAGCAAGCUUGCCAGCCAACAAUGGCUGGCUGUUCUGUCGCAGGGAGGAGAAGAAAAAUCGCAGGGGGGAAGAGAGAGAGGAGAAGAAUCAGAUUUAAAAAUCUGGCUUGCAAAAAUUAUGAUUUUACCCCUCAAUGUAUUUUGAUCGUAUUUCCUUCGUUAUAACCCCGAUUCGAGCUCACAACGUGUCAACGGAUUCACUUCAUCGUGCUCUAUGCAACGGUACAAGCGAAAUUUUCAAAUUCUUCUCUGGUCAAAAAAAUCAACUUUCUCCAAUAAACUAUUUUAUGGGCAAAAUUGUCUUUCCUUCUAAUAAAUUAAUAAUUGAAUAUUAUUUAACACUUUCUCCCUUCUUUCUAAUCAAACCUAACCCCUCAUCUCUUCCCUAACCACCACUCUCAGCCACACCCACCAUCACAACAUAAAAAAAACAUAUAUAUGGAAUAGCAAUGGUGGGCUUGGACCGACACUGCAACACCACCCACGCCUCCACCACCACUCACCACCCACUACCAACCACCUCCUCCCCCUCUCUAUUAUGUCUUUCAUUCUUCCCUCACCCUCCAGAGCCAUCCCCGACUCCACAAUCUCGCCACAAUCUAUCUUGCGCUCAUGUUCUCAUGUUUCUCCCUGAUGCCCACCGCCACCCCAGCCAGAUCUCAUCUACCCUCUUUCUCUCUCUUCUUUAACCGGAUACAACUUUAGGCACAAAGAGAAAAUUCAUGUACUGGAUUAAAUUCAUCUUUGUUUUCAAUUUUUUUGUUCGAUUUUUUAUUUUUGAAUUUGCAUACAUAGGAGUAGAUAAUUUGUUUUUUGAAAUAAAGGCGAGUUCAAGUUGAUGGGGGUGGCAGGAAAAAGGUGGCGAAUUUGAUUUUGUUGGUGUUGGGUUGUCGGCGAUGAAGUUGGGAGGAUGAGGAUGAGAGAGGCCAUAUCUAGCCUUUGUGGUUUGAACAUUGUUUGCAUUUGUGGGUGGGUUUAGGGUUUGUGGGUGAAAAACAGAAUGGGGGAGGAGGGGGAGGAGGGGGAGGGGUCUCUGGGGGUGGGGGUUUUGUUAUGGUGGAAUUUGGGUGGGUGGAUUAGGUGUGGCUGUAUUUUUGGGUGUCUUGAGAAUUUUUUUUGGUCAUGGGGAAUGGGGGGAAUCGGUUGGGGGAGAGGGAGAGCGCAUAGGGGAGAGAAAGAGAGAGAGAGUUGUAAUUUUUUUUUUUAAAAAAAGAAAAUGUGGGACCUAUAGUGCUAUGUAGGCAUGGUCUAAAAUAUCGAUCAUAUCAACAAAAUAUCGAGGAUAUUACCAUUUUUUCGGGUCACGGAUAUUUCGGAACGUAUUCAUACACAUAUGUAUAAAUAUCGAUAAUAUCAAAAAAUAUCAAUGUCGAUAAUUUCGCUUACACUUCAGCAAUAUUUUGUUAAAAUAUCGCUAUAAAUUGAAAAUAUCAAAAAUAUCGAUGUAAUGAAAAAAAGGAAAAGGAAAAAAAACACAAAGCACACAUGCAAAAAGGAUUCAAACCCCUACCAUUUCAUUCAUCCAACGCCUUAACCACAAUGUUGCUUAUGUUUUUGUGAUAAUAUGUUAAAAUAUGUAUAUUUAUAUUGUUUUGUUUUGAACUGUUUUUGCAAGAAUUAGAUUUUCACAUGAGAAUGUGAGUCUUUGACCUUUCCUUUUGGGAUGGAAUCGAGCGGCUCAUGUAAAGAAUAUGAGACCCAAUCUUCAAAUAAUUUUGCUUAUAGACAACGUCAACCAAUCUCGAAUCCAUAUGGGUGACAUGUCAACAAUUACAUGUAAAACUAUUUUGGGGAUUUAUCAUUUGAUGACUACUCUUCACAAUACACUUACUCUACACAUAGAGAUUAUGAAAAUAGUGAAAAAUUUGAACCUCAUAAGAACUCUAUGUGGUACUAAGUCAUUCAUGUAUCUUAUCAGGCAAUGUAUAAAGUGUAAAAUAUUGUAAUAAAUCAUAUAUAAAUGAUUAUGGUGUGUUUAAUCUUCUUUCAUUAAUUAUUACAUAUUUUCUACACUCAUAGUGUUUGUCAGCUUGCUAUAUAAUCAACUUAAAUCAGUUAAACCCAUCAUGCAAUGCAUUUUCUUUCAAUUUUUUGUGAUAAACUAAUAGAUAAUUGACUAAAUAAACAUCCUCCAAAGUUUCAAUAAAAAUUUCCAAAUUUUUCUUAUAAUUUCUGUAGUUUUUAUUCAUUUUUUUAUUGAUAUUGAUAAUAUCCCGAUAUUUCCAUAAAAAUUUUAUUAUUUUUUGACUACCGAUAUUUUCGAUACCAUCGAUAUUUUAGACCUUGCACGUAAGCAACUAACAGAGAGAUCUGACAGAAACCCUAACGACGAAAUCAUAUUGUAACAAAUUUAAAAGAUCAGGGUAUGUGAUUGUAAAAAUUGAAAAUAUAAUGACUAACAUGUCUUAAUGGUGUAACCACAUGGUAUUAAACUGUAAUUAAUCCCAUUUAAUAAUAAUAUAAGAUAGUCAUAAUGCUAACAACUGCCCAACAAAAAAAAAAACUAACAACUAGUUUGGUUACCCUCUACAAUAUCAUAUCAUAAUCAUGUUAAUUUUCUACAUUUUUAUCUAUUAUAAGUGAAUCUAAUCGUGAGAGCUCUUUUCAUAAAGUCCAUAUAGAAAGAUCACCAAAUUAAUGCUAGUUGGUAGUUGGUAUGUAGUUAUUAAGAGAAUCCUCCUUUCAAACCAUUUUUAAAUUGAAAAAGCUUGGCUCCUUAAAAACCGAGGAAGAAUUCCUCCUCAAAACAAAUUGAAUUUUGACACGUGUAAGCUUAUUAUUUUACUAUAUAAAGUUGUAACAUUUACAACCCAACAAACUUCCUUAACGAAAGUACUAAGCCUCUACUUUUGCAGAUCUUUGGUGCCAUGUAAUUUCAGUGGACUUGAACUUUGACAUGGAGGGUUUUGCUUACCUUUCUUUGCUUAUUUGGCUUGAUCGAAAUGCACGAAUGCAUGGCCAAAAGGGACGUCACCCUGAUGACUUGUAAGCUACUGCCCAUUGUCUUUCAGUUAAAUUUAUCUCCGCUAACACUGCACCUGUGCAUACUCAUUCUCCCUCCUCUACUCAUUGGUGUCCUCCCCCUCCUGGUAAGUUGAAAUUGAAUGUGGAUGGUGCUUGUAGUACUUCCGUUUGGAAGCGUGAAUUGGGGGCAGUUGUAAGAAAUGUGCAUGGAGAUCUUAUGGGUGCUAUUUCAGUCCCUAUCACUAGAUGUUUCUCUGCAAAGAUUAUUGAACUCUUAGCAAUUCGGGAAGGCCUUCAGUUUGCAUGGGAGGACGGUUACAAUUCAUUAGUAGUUGAGUUAGAUGCGAAGAAUGCCAUUAACGACAUCGUCUCUGGCACUGAGGCUUUUAGGGUUGCAGGGGGGAUUAUCAACAAUAUCCACAUGUUAUCUAGAAACUUUGAUUUUCUUUCUUUUGUAUUUGCUCCUAGAUUGUGUAAUACUGUGGUUGAGAGACUUGCUAAGUUUGCUUUAGGUAGUGUGUCUAUAGACGUUUGGCUUGAAGAAGGUCCUCCAUGGAUCAAUGUGUUCCUUCAAGCUGACGCUAAUAAUCUAGAGUUGUCAUGAUCUUUUGUUUGUAGCCAUUAUGGAGCAUGUGACACUCUUUUUUCCUUCGUCCCAGGUUUUGUCCCAAUGAGUUUUCCUAGGCAAGGUUUUAAUGAGGCCACGUUUGUUCGCUCGAGUCUAUAACCUUUCAUAAUUUUAAUGAACAUUUACUACUUCCUCUAUAAAAAAAAAAGCAUUAAGCCUUUACUCUCAUUUGACCAUUAGUAAUGACUUUUGGAGAUAAACUAUACUAACAAAAAUACAUAGCCUCAUAUUGUGGUAAGAUUGUUAACUUGUGUAAUAUGGGUCAUUAGAUUUAAUGGAUUUUCCUUCUUUCGUUUAGCUUUUCCUUCCUAAAAACCAAAGUUAUUUUUGCUAGUCUUUUUAAAAUGGCCACUUGUUAACGGGGUCUAGUCCAAUAAAAAAGGAUCUUGAUUUGCAAACUAGUGGUCUCAGGUUUGAACCCCGUGACACUUUUAGAUGUGUAUGUGAAAAAACCUCAUAUCUUCCUUCCUAACUUUAGCGAAGAAAAGAAGAAGUGGCCACUUAAGCUAACCCUUAUUUUAACUUGUCAUGAACUUAAUUUUUUAUUUUUUUUUAUUUGGGUUACAAUUAAAAUUAUAAAAAAUAUAUAGGGUUAACUGUUUUAUUAGUCCCUGAAUUUAAACAUGAUUUGCAUUUGAGUACCUCAAUUUCCAAAAUGGUUCCUAUAAUCCUUUAACUUUAGUUUUGUUAAGACAAAUGGCCAUACCGUCAAUUUUGUUAACUUUUCUGUUAAGGGCAUAUGCAAAAUAGUAUUUUUGUAUCAAAAUUGAUUAAAAUUUAAUAAAAAAUUUAAUAAAAAAUUAAAAUUAAACUCUCUCCCUCCCCCUCUAUCCCGAUUUCUACUCCCCCCAAACUUGAUUUUUCUUUUUCUUUUUUGUUGGUUUUUUAUUUGAUUUUCUUUUAUUGUUAUUUUAAAGAUAUUAUUUUUUAUUCAUUUUUUUGUUUUAAUAUAAAAAUAUCAUUUUGCCCUUGCAUUUAACAGAAAAAGUUAACAAAAUUGACGGUAGGACCAUCCAAACGAAACUAAAGUUAAAGGACCACGAGAAUCAUUUUGGAAAUUGAAGUACUCAAAUGCAAAUCGAGUCAAAUUUCAGAGACUAAUAAAACCAUUAACCCGAUAUAUAUAUAUAUAUAUAUAUAUCAGAGAGCUUCCAUUGAGGGAUCCCUCAAAUAAGCUUAUUUGAGAGACACCCCUUGUAGGCCCCACUCCGAAUUGUAUUUCACUAAUCCAAACCGUCUAUUUUGUACAUACUCAUUCAAAGAUCAUCUCAACAAAAAAUCACUUGAAUCCAAUAUUAUUUGACCACUCAAUUAAGCUAUUGAAAUUUUAGCAUUUUCUUGAAGCAUCGUAAUCAUUGAUUUUGUAAGACACAAUUGGAUGUCGAAAUGGUUUCCGAUUUGUCUAAUUUUUUGUAAGGAUGAUCUAUGAAUAAAGACCUAAAAAAUAGAUUGUUUGGAUUAUUGGGAAAAAAAUUGUAGGGUACCCUAAGGGGCGUCCCUCAAAUAAAAUUAUUUGAGGGAUCCCUCAAUAGAAGGGGACUGUAUAUAUAUAUAUAUAUAUAUAACAAGUUGGUGGUUUAAAAUGACAAAAAAGAAGCAAAUAUUGGAGAACCUCUCUCCUCUCAAAUAUUGGCAGCAGAAUUUGUAAAUUAACAAAAUAGUUGAUUGAAAAAUAAGGUAAGUGGAGAUGCGGGGUAUCGAACCCCGUACCUCUCGCAUGCAAAGCGAGCGCUCUACCAUGUGAGCUACAUCCCCUUGUGAUUUUCAAGCGACAUUUUGCAAAUUUAUUGAGACAACUUUGUUCUUUGGGCAUAUAAAACGCCCUACUGAGUGGCUGAGCCAAAGCCUAGCGAGUAGUGAAAAAUUCUCUGCUUCUCUCUUGUUUUUUUUCCCGCCAUGGAAGCCAUGGAAAUCGAUUCGGAGAAGAACCUCCAGAGAAAGCAUUCCACCUAUAACUUGCUGGUCCGUACUCUCUCUCUCUCUCUCUCUCUCUCUCUCUCUCCCCUUGAAGAUUACUUCAACUCACUUCUUCUCGCAUCGCCUUGUUUGGUUACCGAGAAACAAACGAGAAAAGAACGGAAAGUAGAAAUUUUGUGCUCAAUCCGGACAUUUAUAUAUUGUUCUAGGAUUUCUCAGCAACCAUUACUCAAUUAACAGCCACAACUGACAGUUUUAGAGCAAUUGUCCUGUUUUACUAUUUCUUUUUUCAAUUUUUUUUUUGUUUAGUUAUUUAUUUAUUUAUUAUUUCUGUUUAUUUUAGGACGAGAGGUUUGAGAUUCAGAAAGAGAUGUACAGGGGUCAGCAGUACAGCCAAAUAUACUUUGCACGUCUCCAUAUGAUGAGGACCCUCCUCUAUUCCCUUGUCCCUAAUUGGAAACCCCAUUUACCAGGUUCUCAAUUGUUGUAAUUGUUUCAGCAUUUGUUCAAUUUUAGUUUUCGGUUUUCCUGUUACAUGUUGUUCUGCACUGUUAGUAUCCGGAAAAUGAAAAAAUAAAAAUAAAAGGAAAGGAAAUGUGGGUUCUAGUUGAUGGCUUUUAGGUUUGUCUUUCAAUUGGCUACCUGUAGAAGAAAAUUGGCUUUCCAUAAUUCGUUACAAUUUCUGGUUUUACUCUGAUUAUCUUAUUGUUCUCUUUAUUUUUCAUUUUUUAUUUAUGAUAAUCUGCAAUCCAAAAUUUCUCAGUGUUAAAAUUAGGGGUGGGAUGUGCGAAAAGUUAGAACUUUUAGGGAGCUGUUAUUGACACUCCAAAACAGUCAUCCUCUACUCCACCCUAUAAAAAUGAGAUUUAAAAAGUUCAAUUUUAAGGGGGAACUGCAGACUGACUAUUUUAGAGUGCCAAUGACAGCUCCCCUUUAGUAUUUUGGUUAUUGAUUUAUAUGAGGGUCAACUUUUAGUACAUGCCUUUGGGUUAGAAUCAAGGCAGUAUCUUUUUGGCCACUUGUUAGGAUUUUGGUUUUCAUUUAUGUUUAUGUUAAUGCUCUUUGUUUCGGUGAAACAUUUGUGUUAAUGUUUGAAGUAGCAGUGAUUUGGGUUUCUGGUAAAAUGGUAAUCCGAUAUAAUAGGCGUUCUGUAUGGUGUUGUAGUUUGCACAGUUUUGGGAUUGGAAAAGGACAAGGAAUGCAUUGUUGUUGGAACCCUGUACAAGCACAUGAAACUCAAACCUUGUAUUCUUGAUGAGUACUCUAAGACGGUAGUGUACAUGUGCAGUGUUGGUCAUUAAGUUAUGGAGUGUUUUUUUUUUUUUAAUUCUUCUGACAAUAUUGCAAUUUUUACAGAGAUCUACAACACCACUUGUCAAGCCUCAUAAUUUUGUGCACCCGGAUGACCAUCUGGUUUUGGAAGAUGAAAGUGGAAGAGUAAAGCUUGCUGGGAUGCUUUCACCCUCUGUAUAUGUAACAGGUCUGUGUCAAACAAAAUGCUACAAUAAAGAAAGAAAAAUGCUCUAUAUAUAUAUAUAUAUAUAUAUUUCUUCUUUUGGUGGGAUUUUGGGGUCUUUUGGGCUUCUGUGAGGCAAUAAAGUGCUUGUGGCUUUUAGUCCCAUAUGCUAUUCAGAAACUCUGAUCCGCUUUGUCUUGAUUCAGUCUACAUGAAGCUUAAUCUGUUGGGCCUAUUUUACUUGCUUUCCUUUGAUUGCAUAAUUAUGACAUUUGAAUUGUUCAUUUUGAUACGGAAGAGUCCAAAUUUUUUAACAUUUAAUAUGAAAUCAAUAUUGAAGCAUGCUUAUUCUACAAUAACAUGGUGACAGGGAGUAUUGUUGGUUUGCAUGGAAAGGAGACUGAUGCUGGUGACUUCUUAGUCCUGGAUGUUCUUGAAGCUGGCUUGCCACCCCAGAUAGAGCUGCCACUUAAAUCAAGUAUAAUCUGAUUUACCUGGCUCUCUUUUAUUUUGCAAUUUUUCUUCUUUUCUGUAAAGUUUGUGUUUGGCCACUUGUUUCUUUAAACCUUCAUCUUAUAUUGGUGAGAGAUGAUUAGAGAGAAGCUAAACAGCAAAAGCUCGAAUUUAUGCAGAAAUAUGUUAGACAACAUUGGCUGUAUGAUAAUAUGUCUAGAGAGGAUCUAAAUUCACAGGAAAUAUAACUUGAAACCUUUGAGUAUAAAGUGGAAAGUCUUUGCUUUUAGUCCCCUUUGAACUUUCUUGAGGUUUUCUCAGUUUCUAUAAAAUUACAAUGUUGUGCUCAUAAAGAAACUAAAAGAAAAACAGAAAUUGCUAUUUGUUGUUCGAUCCUCAUUUACUUUGGUUUUUAAGUUUUAGUAAUUGUCUUGUAUUUAGUUUCUCAUUUCCUCUGGUAUUUAUGUUCUAGCAUCUUUCACUAGUACCUUUACCUCAAUUUUCUUUUUUCAUUAAUUUUAAUUUGUCUGCAUGCAGGAGAAGACAAGUAUGUUGUCUUUGUGUCUGGACUUCGUGUUGGAAGCAGCUCUUCAAACCCUCUUCAGUUUCAGCUUCUUGUUGAUCAUAUUACAGGACAUUUAGGAGAUGAGAAGGUUCAUGCCAUCAUUUCCUUCAAGAUCAAGUGCUGUUCAUUAUGUUUUAAACUGUCUUAACAUACUAACUUUGUACAACGUUGAACAGGAGCAAGGUAUUGCAGCACAAAUAGUUCAUGUUGUUAUUGCUGGAAAUUCUAUUGAAGUUCCUCGUGGACUUCUUAAUGGACAGGUAACACAUUUAUACGUCCCUGAUAAUAAGGCAGAAUAUAAUUGUUUAAUGAUUACUUAUAAAUUGUAGGUGCAGAGGCGGCAAUGUGAUUAAAUAUAGUAGCUGGAUAUUUUGUUGUAGUUUAGUUUCUUAAAUUUCCAAGCAAAAUGUAGUAGUUUUCUUUCUAAUAGUCAUUUUGUUCAUUGUUUGUAGAAUUUAGCGUCAAAGGAUCAAUCAAGGCUGUCUGAGCCAAUUAAGGAGCUGGAUAUUUUGUUGACUCAGGUUCUUUUUAUCAGUUUGAUUAGUCAAUACCGCGGCUAUGUUCCUAUCAUGAAUCAGACUGCUUAAUUUAUUCUACUCAUGCUAGAUUGCUGCAGGUUUGCCUUUGGAUAUCAUGCCAGGUCUCGAUGACCCUGCUAAUUUUGCCUUGCCGCAGCAGGUUUGAUAUAUGUCCUUGAAAGUCUAUAUGCAGCAAUUUUUCCUUGCCGCAGAAGGUUUGUUUGUAGCUAAUAUUCCUUUCCUUUCAGCCUUUGAACCGAUGCCUUUUCCCUGGGUCAUCAGCUUAUAACACGUUUAGAUCAUGUACUAAUCCCCAUUGCUUUGAUCUUGAUGAUAUCAGGUAAAAUUGUAAAUCUAAUUUGACUUUUGGCAUUGUUGAUCAACAAUUUUGUUUUGGUAUUAUUUAUUAGGUACUUAUUUUGACAUACUGGUAACGUGGUUUUCAGAUUUCUCGGAACAUCAGGUCAAAAUAUUGAUGAUCUUGAAAAGUAUUCAGAAGCAAAGGAUAAACUUGAAUUUGUUGAAAGGACAUUGAGGUGGAGGCAUCUGGCACCAACAGCACCUAAUACUCUUGGUAUGAAAUUUUACCUUCUGCUUGUGUAGUUUUGUUGGUCAUCCGAGUCAAUUUGUCUUGUUAAAGUGGUUUUUUGGUUUGGAUAUUUUCAGCUAGGCUGAGUUCCUCUCCAAUUUGAGAUUAAAAUUAAUACUCUUGUUAUCUUUCAGGGUGUUAUCCUUUCACAGACAGGGAUCCUUUCCUGAUUGAGAGUUGCCCUCAUGUUUACUUUAUUGGUAAUCAGGAUAAAUAUGAUAGCCGCUUAGUAAAGGGUAUAUCUUGUAACUCUAGUUUUUUUUUUUUUGGGUCAACUGUAACUCUAGUAAUCAUAUUAUAUAAUAAUACUUUUCAUGCCAAAAAAUUUAAUUAAUUAUUUUUUCUAUCAGUUGAGUAGUAUACAAACUUCCGAUUGCAGGAUCUGAAGGGCAGAUGGUGAGACUCAUUUGCAUUCCUAAAUUCUGUGAGACAGGAGUUGCUGUUGUGGUAAGUUGUUGUAUAUUCGCGACAUGCUGGAAGUUCUUGAGGAAUAAGUUCUGGUGUCAAUAUUGAUGUUAGACAUGUUUAUCGUGUCUUGUCUAUAAUGACACCUUGAUCCCUUAAAUUUUCUGUUUCCCAAUUUUGCAGCUAAACUUGGGAACUCUUGAAUGCCAUACGCUCAGUUUUGGGACUCACUUCAGCUCAUAACAACACGGUAUGAGGUUUAUCAAUUAGAGCUCUGAAUUCUUCGUAAUCUGCUGCCUCCAGUCAAUACAAAUUCUGAAAGAACACAUCAUUAUAAUGCUCUGUGGCAUGCUUCAUCUUUUGAAAUACACAUGUUAUUUGUGAUGUUUCAGUUGAAAAUAUCACAUAUGAUUAUCAAUGAGAAAAUAUUUAGAAGUAAUCUUAUAGGAGCAUUGAUGACUUAAAACUCGGUUCAAUGGAUUUUUAACUAGUCCUACGUGAAUAAAAAUCAGAAUCACUUACUGAGUUUCAACCAAUAACUAGUCAGUCAUUGUUACAUGUCAAAAAUUUAAGAGGGGCAAAGGGAUCUAACUUGCAUCAGCUCCCAAUGCUAUUGUUUGUUCCUUUCAUGGAAGUGCCUAUUAUUUUGCUUCAUUUGACAAGUUGACAUUGGUUUAUCUUACAUAAAUAUAUGAAAAUGCAUGUCUGGAAGCCAACAUUCUGCAGCUUCUUACUGAAAUUUUCUCAAAUAAAAUUGGAAAUUUGUAAUUUCAGGCUUCCAAAAUGUUAUAAAGGAUUUACAGUAGUUUGUGGCUAUCAAUACAUCCUCUAGCAGCAGUUGUGGAGAUCCCUUGAAGAGAAAGCCCAAUGGGAUGAAUCUGUGGAGCAAAAACCUGCCACUUAGUUUUAUUUUUAAUUUUAAACAUUUGCUUACAGAGUAUUGGCUCUUGGUGUAAUUUUGGUUGUAUUUAUUUUCAAGUAGGCAUUCUGGUGAUUGAAGAUGUUAAUGAAGUUUUAAACUUUAGUAGAUUUUAUCAACUGAUACAAUUUUUUAUGGCUUCCAAGAAUUAAUCAGAGCAUCCAACACUCAGAAAAAAAAAAAAAAAAAAAAAAAUUCUGAUUAUGCCCCUAGUGUUGGGUGUGCUAAUUAGAGGUAGAAUCGAUGGUUACCGACAAUUUUUCAUGAAACCAUAAACCAACCGACCGUAAACAAGAGCAUGACUGAUCAAGUAUUUUGGGUGCAUUUAGAAUUUAGAAGCCUGCCCUUUAACCGUUGUGGGCCUUCCGGCCCAAAUGUAUCCAAACCCAAACCCAUAUAUUACCGUUGUUUGGUCCAAAACCCGAACCAGAUCCAACUUUGACGCCAUCAUCAUCGGCAGAACUUGUCAGUGUGAACGUGGGAGGCGCGCAUGUAAAAUGGCAAAUUGGAAUUUUGGUACGCUAACUAAAUAAUGUCCACAAAAUCACAUGCCCAAUAAUACAUUGCAUUGCCUUGCGCCAGAUAGUUUUGUCUAUUAUUCUCUCCCUAACGGCUAUAUUUUCCAAGUCCUUGUUAUUCAAAUCAUUCACUAACCCCAACGGUCCAUUCCCCACACAUACAUUAAGCUCUAAAUUCACCAACCCAACAACAUACACAUAAAAUCCAUCCACAUUGCAAUUUACAUUCUCCCUCUCUCUCUCUCUGUCAUAUUCUUAAAUCACAAAUUUACAAUGGACCCUCUUCCUACUCCAACUCCAACUCCAACUCCAGCUCCUGCUGCUACCUCAGCUAGUGUUCAACAUGUAAACAAGAAGUCCUCCGAUGAGCUGCUAAGAAAGUUUGCUGAUUCAGGGGAUGAGGCUGAGGAGGCCCCAGAAAAGAAACAAGUGAUUCGGGUGUCGAAACGCCGGAAAGUGAGAAACCGGGCAAGUGGUGAAGGGGAGCAAUGUGAGAGCCCAUCAAAUGGCAAGAACAGCUUAGUGGAGAGAAGGUCUCUGCUUCCUGCUGCUGGGACUAAGAACAAGGCAUUGCUUAGGCAACUUGGGGUUCAUGGCAGGGCAUCACAACUCAGGGCCAGGGAUAUCAGGAACAAGUCUUUCUUUGGUGCCAUUCACAAGGUUGGAUUUUUAUUUUAUUACAUCCCAUGUUUUGAUAAAAUCUUCCAGUUAAUUAUCUGUUUUAGUUGCCAAUUUGCCAAUGAACUAAGGUGAAAAAUAAAAUCCAACUAAUUUAAAUGGGUGUGUUAAACUGUGUUUAAAUCAGUAAAUGUAAAUGUAAUUAUUACCCUGAUAAGAAAAAACCUCUAGGCUUGAAGUUUAGUGUAGCAAUCAAUGGGAAUUUCGUGAUUGGGGUUACAAAAGUAAGUGAUUGUUGUUCUUACUUUCCUUGAAUAACAAAAUCCCUCACAGCCAUUGUUAAUUCACCCUCUCCCAAAGCCAAUAAAAGAAAACUUACUUACACGGUACACCACAAGGAAUGUCAAUGUGGCAACAUCCCAAGCCAAAUCAACUUUCCAAGGUGACCAUGCGUAAUUGGAUUGGAAUACCAUCACAAUGGCACAUUGUUGCAUGGAAGUUCUUCUCUAAUAAUAGCUUCGCUGAGAAACUAGUUUUACCAAUUUUUUCUACACAAUCGGCUUCAGAUUCAGUUGACUCUCUUAUUAGUUAGCCUUUCCACUUAAACCACAUAAUGUUAGUUAUCAUGUCUUAACUUUGUGUGUGGCCUGCGAUAUUAUGGUGUUACAUUCCAAAGCCUUGCUACAUGAUUUGCAGAAGGGUUCCUUCCUGCUAGGUGCCUUAUUACAACAAAAGUUAACCUCUCAGGAAAUUAAGGCAAAUUGGAACCAUAUUGAUCAACAACUUUGUGGCUACCAAUGUAUUUGUACCCAUAAUUAUCUGUUUAAUUGGGUGCUCAAGCAGUUCUAGCACUUGGUAAAAAACUAACACCAACUAUAAGAAAACCGUGCAAAUAGCUUGUAGCACAAGUACAUUUACCCUUAUAUCUGAGGUUCUAAGUUUAGUUUCUUCCUUUCUUUACGAUCGCUUCUAUAUAAUAAAAAAGAAGAGAAAUAUAUAGGCUCAGCCCCCCAACCCUAUCAUCUGUUAGCCUGUUCCCAUCCAUAGGCUAGCUUAGUGUACUCACCAAACUCUGCCCCUCUCACUCUUCUAACUGCAGCAACUCUUUGUUGCAGCAUUUUUCUGCUGGUAAAGCUGUCACUAGCUUGGUCCAAUUUGCCGGCUAACCUAUGCCCAUCUCCAUUUUUAUUACCGAGGGGCAGGGAAAAAUAAUUAAGAAAGAAGAGAUACGAGAAGAAACAGAAAAAGAUGUCUUCUUCUUUGAUAAAGGACUUGUAAAUGUUUAUAUUAUAUUACAAGUGGGAAACAAAAGUCAACUUAUAUUGAUGUCACUGAUUUCGAACAUUUCAACCCCCAACCCUUUUUCUUCUGUUGUCAUCUAUUGUGCAGACAUGGAGAAGGACCAUAGAAGGGGCUUCAAAGGUUUUCAUGGAGAAGCAUUACAAUAGGCACAAGCGUUUGAUAAGUGACAUUGCCUAGCUCACAGACAGUCUCUUAAAUUCCAGAAAUUUCUAGUUGGAAGGUCUCAGUCAGCCUUGUGUAAAUCUUGCAUCCAAUUUAUAUUUCUCAUGAAUCUUUAAUAUUGUUUCUUUUUUCACAAUGAAUAAAUUAAGUACCAUUUUAGUUCUUUAACUCAAAAAAUCUCAAAAAAUAUUCAAUAUUAUCUUGACAGAUUGUUUGAUCAACAUAAGAUGCUUCAAUUGUUAGAAUAUUAGUUUGAACUAUCAAUCUGAUCGACUUUUGCAAGAAUCCAAUAAUCUCUUAACAUAAAUCUAAUAAAAGAACAUCAUUUCUCAAGAUUUUAACAGAUUGAUCGACAACAUAAGUUGCUUUAAUGGUUAAAUUAUUAAUUUAAACUAUCGAUCAAAUAAACUUUUACAAGAAUCUGAUAAUCUCUCAACAUAAAUCUAACAAAAGAACAUUAUUUCUGAAGAUUUUGGAGACUACCCUAAAUUCCCAAGGUCUUAUCCUAUCUAUGGCACAUUAGAUUUCAUAGAGAGUUUACUUUAGGGUGGAGCUCUCCAACCCACCCAUUUUGUUGGCCAAAUAAAAGAGCAGCACUUGUAAAUGUGACAUUGACCCCAAUAACACAAAACCAACUGAUGGGAUUUAUGGGGUCAAAUGUGAUCCCAUCUGUGGCAACAACAUCUUUAAUUGCAACUGUACCAUCUCAUGAAUGCCUCUGUAUGGAUUAGCUUAGCUUAGAUUUUAACACCCCAAAAAAAAAAGAUCCCACUUUCACAUGCCUCAUGUGUUUAGCCCUACCAUCUUCCCUUUAUUUAUUUUCUUUCUUGGAAAACAACAUGCCCUCUACCCUCCUCUGCCUCUGCCUCUGCCUCUGCAUUUCCUCCAUUCAUCCAAAGGACAAAAGUUGGUUUCUGAUAAGCUUACAUGGUUACACCUACCCAAUCACUCACACGUGUUUUGGGGUGUUGGGAUCUGAUCGAAUAUAUUUUUGUCAACAAAGUCUUCUCAAAUUUAAUAAAGAAAAAAGGAAAAAAAGAAAGAAAGAAAUAAUAAUAUUGUGACUAGUUUUCUAGUUGUAUAUAAUUGGAGAAGAUAAGCUGUAUAGCUUAUAUUAUGCAUCAAUUCAUAGUCAUUUGUGGUUUGCACAUGGGUGAUAUUGCAAGAAGCUAAAGCCUAUGUAUAUAUGCUAAAGAAAAGAUUCACUUUUUUAUUUAUUAUAUUUGUUUAUUUAUAAAAAGUACUUGAGGCCCAUAGGGCCACAGCUCUGCCCAUUAAUGAUAUUGUAAGACAAAAAGGAAAAAAAUUCUGAAUUUUAAUAUUAAAACCAAAGAAUAUGAAUGUGCACCGCCGUGGUGUUAGUAGAAUUAUAUUAAAUUUUUGGUGUGCUCUCAAGUGGUUCUGAGUUUAAACUCUCAUAAUAUUUGUAUGUGUGAGUUUUCCUCAUUCUUUUUUUAACUUUGGCAACCAAAAAAAAAAAAAUUAUUAUUUUCUUUAUAUUUUUUAAAUUUUUUUUUUUUUUUUAGGGUACAAAGAAGGUUAACGAAGAAGGGGAGAUUUGAAUUUUUGAAACCCUUAAAAAUAAAAUUUCAUUUUGACUAUUCAUGUGAAGGAUGACUUCAAUUGUACCCUCCUCAUUGAUGAAUAAACUAUUCAAUUUUAAAAUGGAUAUUUACAAAAAUUACAAAAAUGAGGCCAUCAUGGCUAGUAGCCUUCAGUCAUAUUUGUUUUUUUUUAUAAAUAUUUUUUAAAAUUAAAAUAAAAUGAGAAAUUUAGAAAAAGACAAUAGAUGAUAGUGAGAUGAAUAAUGUGAAGGUGAGACCCCACAAAAGAAAAUAAUUUGAAUUCUAACAAAAAAGGAAAGAAAAUAAUUUGAAAACAGAGUUGUGCCAAAUCCGCGGCCGGUUAUCAUCUCGAUUCAGUGGCAUACCUGUAAUUUAGUCAUCGUACUAAUGGCAUUUUCGUCAAUCGAAAACACCAUUUCGAAAAAACAAAAGAAAAACAAAACUUUAAAAAUAAAAAGAGUGCCUCUCACACGCUUUCGUCAACUUUCCCCUUCCAUUCCACCCAGUAGUUGUUGCUCUGCAAAACCUCUCUCUUCUCCCUCUCUCUCUCAAUACACAAACAAUUGAGACAGAGAAGAGACACAAACCCACCAAGCCUUUCAAGUCCUUGUUCCCAAAAUCACAACCCCUUUUGGCUUUUUCAAUCCCAAGCUCCAAUCUUUCCCAAAUUUUGCAACUUUAUUAAACCAAGUGAACCAAAUCCAUCCUCCUUUACUUUUUUUUCCAGACAAAACACUACAUAUUGGCAAAAGGGUAGUUGUAUUACAGAGUUAAAGCAGUGUUGGGUUUGGGAAAUGAGGGAUGUUUUCGUGGCUGGCAAGGAUAGCGUGGACGUGUUGGAAGCCAGUGAGGAGAUAUGCCCGUAUGAGCAAGGAUGAUCUUGAUGACUCAUCUCUUGAAGAUCCCUUGUUAUGGUGCAGAAGCCUUGACAAGCACUCCUAUGGUGAAUUCUCCUUCGCUGUGGUCCAGGCCAAUGAAGUUCUUGAGGAUCAGAGCCAAGUUGAGACUGGCCGUGAUGCCACCUUUGUUGGUGUUUAUGAUGGGCAUGGUGGACCUGACGCGUCUCGCUUCAUUUCUGACCAUCUCUUUCUUCAUCUUAUGAGUGAGCCCCUCUCUUCUUGGUUUCUGGUUUUUGGAUUUUUUCUUUUCUUUUUCUUUUUGGCUUUUCUUGGGAUUGUUGGAGUUGUUUGUAAUUUUGUGAAUUUGUGUGUGUGUUUUUUUUUAAAAAAAAGGGGUUGUUUUGUUUUCUUCUGUUCUUGUUGUUGUUCCUGUGUCUUGUCAUUUUAAAUGUGAAUUGUGUUUGAAGCAGAGUCUGGCUUUCUCUACUGGUUAAAUUUUAUGUUUUUACUUUUUUGGGUUUUUUUUCCUUCUCUGCAUCCCCGACUCGUCCUUUGCCAGUUGGGGUUGUCUUGGUGCUGUUAUUUGAAGAAAUUUAACUUAUUUAUCUUGAAAAAGAAAAGUUUGAUGAGAAAAUUGGUUCCAUUAAUGGACUCGAUGGAGGUUGAGUUAUGUUGUUUAUCUAUUUUGUUCUGCGUACUUGGAGUAGAUUUGGAUGUUCAAUUAUGGAAAAUGAUAAGAUUUUUGUUUAUUGAGUGCAGUUUAUUUUCUUUCUUUUCUGGUGUAUGUAUAGAGAUCUUUGUGUUUCUUUAUUGCAUUGUCUUUCUCUUCCACUCCAGAGUCAGACCCUUUGUUUUGAGAUCCCAAUAGAGAGGCUUUUAGCUAUAUGUGAUUGUGGAAGUGGAUGAGGAAGAUAGUUUAAGAAUACAGGCGUUUCUUUUGUACAUGUUAACAUCCCUUGAGGAAUUUACUCGCCAGACACUUCAACAACAUUGAAGGUCUCUCUUGAAACAUAGACAUGUUUGAUACUCUUUGUUGCACCACUGCUUAUUAUCUGCAUUCUAGGCUUCACCGUCCAAUUGCUAUUGUGCCAUACAUGAAGUACUUUUGGAUUUUACAAAUCGUAACUUAUUUAAGUGUGUUUACAGGACAUGCUCGAGAAAAAGGAGCCCUAUCUGAAGAUAUCCUUAGAAGUGCCUUUUCUGCCACUGAGGAUGGGUUCCUUACUCUUGUGCGUAGGACUUGUGGAAUAAAACCAUUAAUGGCAGCAAUUGGGUCUUGUUGUCUGGUUGGUGUUAUCUGGAGAGGGACGUUGUAUGUUGCUAAUCUAGGAGAUUCAAGAGCAGUAAUUGGUUCUUUAGGUAGAUCGAAUAAGAUUGUUGGUGAGCAGCUAAAUAAGGAGCACAAUGCAAGUUUGGAGGAGGUUAGACAAGAACUCAGGUCCUUGCAUCCAAAUGAUUCACAUAUUGUAGUUAUGAAGCAUGGAGUUUGGCGUAUCAAAGGCAUCAUACAGGUUUACUCACUUUUUGUCUCUUUUUAACUGCCAUGGUUGUUUAUUUCUAGUUUUUAAAGAUAUUUGAUGUACCAUUUUAACGUCCUUGAAAGGAUGCCCACUUUCUAAAAUGAGUCCAUUUGUGAUUUAUGGCUUACGAAUUUUGUAAAUGUUUGCAAUUACCUUACCAUAAUUGUGUUGGAUUCUUAAGGAUUGCAGUAAUAUAUGUACAUGCCUUCUCAAGAAAUGUAUGGAAAAGACAAAUGCAUGCAUUAGCAGUUAUAAUUUGAUACUAUGACGCUCCUCCUACCCCUUCUCUAGUCCAAGUGCAAUUAGUGGUUAUUGUUGCAUUAGUCAUGUAUAUUGAGGCUCUGCAGGACUAGGUAUUUUGUGUCAUAUUUCUUCAUUCCUCUCCAAAUGCUAUGUGCUUGCUUAAUUAACUGGUAUGCACACUGGAAGUCGGACAUUCAAAUUCCUCUGUUGUGUACUUUAUGAAGUUUAUUUGCCAGUGAGAUAAGAUCAUUGACAAUCUAUUACUAAUUAUUUAUAUUUCUCCCUUUGUGUGUUUCCUUGCUUCCUCUCAGGUAUCUAGAUCUAUCGGUGAUGCAUACUUAAAGAGGCCAGAAUUUUCUCUUGAUCCUACAUUUCCGAGGUUCCACCUUCCUGAACCCCUCGGUCGGCCUGUGCUUACCGCAGAACCAUCUGUAUGUACCAGAGUUGUACAACCCAAUGAUAAGUUUAUAAUAUUUGCAUCCGAUGGACUAUGGGAGCACAUGACAAAUCAGGAAGCUGUGGAGAUUGUACAUAAUAAUCCUCGAGCAGUAUGUUUUUUCUUUCAAUGCCUCUUUUGUCAAUUUUUCCCUUUAUCAUAUAGAUAUCAAUGGUUAUUUUUUCUGUUGUUUUCACAAAUGCCAGGGAAUUGCAAAAAGACUUCUUAAAACAGCUCUGAGCGAGGCAGCUAGGAAACGGGAGAUGAGAUAUGAUGACCUUAAGAAGGUUGAAAAGGGAGUUAGGCGGUUCUUUCACGAUGAUAUUACGAUUGUCGUCAUUUUUAUAGAUCAUGAUUUGCUGGAGAAAAAACAGCCAGCACCUGAGCUGUCAGUAAAAGGGUUCAUUGACACUGUUGGGCCAUCAAGUUUUAACAUUUUCAAGGAUUGAUAUAAAUGUGAAGUCCGUAACACCCAGUAACUUGGUUUGCUGGGUCUGGUUUUAAGAGACCAGGUUCAGCAAGUUUUAUUUUCUUUCAACAUUUUUCUAACAUUGGGUUGUUUCUUCCAGCUUUACUUUACUCCUUUUUGAAGUUUCUUAUAUAAAGUGAUUUCUUUCCAUAAAACUAUGCACCCUAGGCAAAGCUAUGGGAGAGCCUUCAGAUUUUUUGGGGUUCAUAAAUUGGAGUCUGUAUACACCCAAAAGUUGUGAAAUUUGUUUGGUUUUAAUAAAUCUUCUUGUUAAGCUUUUAGCUACUGUUAGUUUUCUUAAGGAUGUGGAGCUAGUGAAGUAAUUUGUCAUCUUCGAUGAGUUUUACCAUAUGACAAGUGUCUGGAAAAUCAAUGGUGUAAGUCUGAAAUGGAGAAUAUCAAGCUUAUCUUCUUUUAUGAGGCAAGCCAUUGUUAUGAACAUCUUUCACUGUGUUGUUUUUCAUUUUCACCAGGACUGUACAGUUCUUAGGGAUGAAAUUUGAUAUACCAUACCAAACAUCAUCUUUAAAUGUGUGAUUUCGAUUUUUGAUUGUAUUGAAGAAACUUAUUUCAGAAUCAUGGCUUGUGGCCUUUUGAGAUGAACAAACAUCCCAUGUUAUAGAUCUAUCUCACCUUACCUAUUUGUGUAACAUACCAUUAAGCUCCUCUGUUGGGCUUGUUGCUUUCCCAGUCCCUUGUUUUUUGUAGCAGUUCAUCACUACAUCCCCAACUCAAUAGUAAAACCCAACGGUUUGCUUUGUCAGAAAGAAUAAUGCUUGGGUUACAAGUCAAGACAUCUUCACCACUUACUUUGGCAUGUUCCAAUCAGGCUAUCAUUGAGCAUACCUGUCAGGUUUGCUUAAAAUCUAGGAAAUGUAAAAGCACAUUUUCCAGCUUGGUUUUGUUGGUGCUAAAGGUGCCACCCAUAAAAAUCUCUCUCUAUUAGGCACAAAGUCAGAAUAUCUUGUCUCUGGCCAUGCCAUUAAAAGAGACAGCAACAAAGAUUACAAAUGCUCUGGAACGAAUGAGUGAGAAAUUGGAUUCUUUUUAUGUCUAGCAUUGAUGUAAUUAGGUCAAAGUCAUUUAAGAAAGGAAUUAUUAUCAGCCCUUCAUAAUAAGCAUCUUGAACUCCUUUCCUCUUCAAUUUUUUUUUUUUUUUCACCAUGGAGGAGUGUAUGAUGAUUAUUUUGGAGUUGAAAAAGUGAUUUAGGGUAUUGCCGGUUUGUAUCUCAAUAUUUUGAUACCAACUAAUGGGGUACAUGAUAUGGCAACCAAUGUCAACAUUUAUUAAAUCCAUGUUAACAUCGGAAACAUGACAAAUUACACAAGUUGUCAUUAUGUGCCACAUAAGUAGGUAUCAAAAAAUUGUGAUACAAGCAAGUUGAUGACCCUAGGAUUACCGUUUCUCAAAAGACUUUACCCAAGCACAUCAUUACUACAGAUAAGAAAAUUCCAAUUUCUCAUUCACUCCAUCCACAGCAUUUUGUACAGAAUUUGUUGGGUCCAAAAGCCAAAUAGAAAGUACAGAUUUUGUUUGUUUGUUCAGUUUCCUCUUGGGAUUCGAACGUAUCUGGUUCAGAAUUUGUCACAAUAUAUAGAGAUAAUGACAUGAUAUCUGAAUAGCAAAAAGCAUCACAAAUGAAAGGUAUAGGUUCUCUUCAACCAACCAAAAGAAGCUUCAUCUAAGAACCAAUAAUAAUAAUAAUGAAGGGGAUUUCUGAUUUCAACCAAACCAAAUCAGUAACAAUACAUAAUUUCUCUACAACAAAGCAGUAAUGAAAAAAUUGAAUCUUAAUCAUAAUUUGCUCGCCUCCAUGUUCAUGUCCCAACAUAACAAACACAGAGAAAUAGACAUGAAUGAAAUUGGAAAAUGAAUAGAAAAAGAAAUUCCGCAACCACUUAAAUAGAAGCCUUUCUUUAAUACAAAAUCUGUUAAGUGUAAAUUCUCUGUCCACCUCUUGCUUUGCAUGAUUAGAAGCAUUUCCUGUGGACAAUUGAGGGACCAGAUUCAUCAUACUCUGCCUUUGCAAUCCACAUCUGCGUUCAAAGACAAGUAGCUUUCAGUGACAAAUACAUUACUUACCUCCUAAAUGAAGCAUCAAAUUAGCACUUUGUCAAGUAAAAGAGGUGUUUCAGCUAUUUCCAAUUAAGUACAACGUUCUUUACAAAUACCAACAUUUUUUGCUUUCGGAAAACUCAGUUCGGGUCAUGUUACUCUAAGUUUAAAAUGCAUCAGUAGAGUGAGUAAAACAGAUGCACACAUACAGACACACACAACACAUUACCUGUUGGAAGGUGCUGAGGGAUGCCAAAAUGGAGCCUCCAAUCCAGACACUAUAUUUCCUCUCCGGUGGUGCUACGACCUUAAUUUUCAUGCUACUUGGAGCUAAUGCUGUAAUCUCUUUGCUCAUCCUAUCAGCAAUGCCAGGGAACAUAGUGGAGCCUCCACUAAGGACAAUAUUGCCAUAGAGAUCCUUCCUAAUAUCAACAUCACACUUCAUAAUAGAGUUGUAUGUGGUUUCAUGGAUACCAGCAGCUUCCAUUCCAAUCAUGGAUGGUUGGAAGAGGACUUCAGGGCAACGGAAUCUUUCAGCCCCGAUGGUGAUCACCUGUCCAUCAGGUAGCUCAUAACUUUUCUCCACAGAUGAGCUGGUCUUUGAAGUCUCUAGCUCUUGUUCAUAGUCAAGAGCAAUAUAUGCUAAUUUCUCCUUCAUGUCCCUCACAAUUUCGCGCUCAGCAGUGGUGGUGAAAGAGUAACCACGUUCAGUCAAGAUUUUCAUAAGGGCAUCUGUAAGAUCACGACCUGCCAGGUCCAAACGAAGGAUGGCAUGUGGGAGGGCAUACCCUUCAUAAAUUGGAACUGUGUGGCUCACACCAUCCCCUGAGUCGAGAACGAUACCUAAACAGCAAAACAUACAUGACCACAAAACAUUAGAAAUCAAAGUUUAAAAACCAAUUUUUAAUUUUAUUUAUUCAAGGUUUUUAAACAUUCUUCCAUUGUACUUUUGCAAAUAUCAUCUGGUACCAUUGUGCUUAAAUAAUGAACACAAUAGGUGGUACAAAGAGAUUUGGUUCCCCUGCGCUAUAUCAUGAAUGCAAUCAUGCAAUAGGUGGUAUAAGGAUUUCCUAUGAGCUUACUUAAUGAAAUUCAGGUAUGCAAUAGAUAAAGGGAAAUGGAAAUUAUAUGGUAAAUUUGAUAAACCAACUUGAAUUUGCCUAUAAAGCAUGAAUUUGAUUCUUUUCCCCCAUUAUAAGAACAUGUUUUAAUAAUGAGGUGCACACAGUUGUCUCUGUGUUUUCAACUUAGCAAACAAAUUAAUGUCUAUUUUACAUCUGUAUUUAUUCUCCUAUGAGAUCCAUUGCAAAUUUAUUUGGUUCAAAUUUUUAUUUUAUUUUUCAUAUAAUGAUAAUAACAUACCAUGCAUAUUAGAAAGAAAACAAAUCAAGUACUCAAUUGAAUGGCUUACCAGUUGUGCGUCCACUAGCAUAUAGGGAAAGGACAGCCUGGAUUGCAACGUACAUAGCCGGAGUGUUGAAUGUCUCAAACAUGAUUUGAGUCAUUUUUUCACGAUUGGCCUUGGGGUUAAGGGGUGCUUCUGUCAGGAGAACUGGAUGCUCUUCUGGGGCAACGCGAAGCUCGUUGUAGAAUGUGUGAUGCCAGAUCUUCUCCAUGUCAUCCCAAUUGCUAACAAUACCAUGCUCAAUCGGAUAUUUCAAGGUCAAAAUACCUCUUUUUGAUUGAGCCUCAUCCCCUACAUAGGCAUCCUUUUGCCCCAUACCAACCAUCACACCCGUGUGGCGAGGGCGACCAACAAUGCUGGGAAAUACAGCCCUUGGAGCAUCAUCUCCAGCAAAUCCUGCCUGCAUCAUCAAGAUCAGAUAAUAUUCAUCACUUUGAUACUAUGAUCAACCUUAAAGAAAAAUUCCUUUAUGGUUUUGAAAAGAAAAGCCAUUUUGGGAUCACAAGAGAAUGGUUAUGGGCUCAUUACCUUCACCAUUCCAGUACCAUUGUCACAAACAAGAGGCUGAAUAUCUUCAGAUUCUGCCAUUUUCUAUUGCCUGCUGCAGAAACAAACCAGCAUUGCAUCAAAUUAUAGCAAACAAGUGCUCAUCCCUUGGAUCACAUUCAUAUGCAUCUGUGGAUUAUUAGUAUGUGCAAUUUGAUGCACCAAUUUGAUACCCAGGAAUAAGAAAUGCUAAAGAUGCUGGCUUAGUUUAAAAAUAAUGGGAAAUCAAAUCAACAAGCAGGUUAUGCAGAUCGUCAUCAUUAAAACAUCAAAAUUGAGAGGAAAUAUCAAUCCAAUGCCUCAAGAACAUAAUUUUGAGAUGAUCAAGCAAAACCCAUCAAUGUUUUCAAAAAUCAUAAAUGUAGAUAAUUUUGAGAUGAUCAAGCAAAACCCAUCAAUGUUUUCAAAAAUCAUGCCCAAUAACCAGACAAGAUGGCAUAAAAAAAAUCAAAUAAAAUGCAAAAAUUUAAAUUUAAAAAAAAAAUGAAGAAGAAGAAAAAAAGAGUACCUUUGAAUGGAAAUAGAACACAAUCUCUCUCUGUUUCUCUCUCUGGAGAUGUCUGCCUCUGUCUUAACAGAAUGGCUGAGGUACCCGCCCUCUUGUUUUAAAAAAGGAAGCUCUCCCAAAUGAAAUUCAGCUUAAAUGAACCUCAAAUUCGCUCUCUCGAGAUCCUGACCGUCGGCUACGAAUAUCUGAUCAACGGACCCCAUGACGAGUCACGUUGAUGGUGGAAACAGCUGGCUCACUUUCGGUCUUUGCUAUUGCGAGGACUGAUAUGCCCCUGCUAUUAGUGGCCAAUGGCCCACCCGUCCUUUGUGUUUAUGACCAAGGACAUAUCAGGAAACAUGCCCAUAUAGUACAUCGAAAUGUAACUGCUCCUUAAUAAUAAUUGAGUUAUUAAUUAUUUUUCUAAAAUUUGAAAUAGUACUUAAUAUAUCAGAUUUUGAGUGAUUUUAUUUGCUGAGUACAUAAGAUUUAAAACGACGUUUGAAAAAAAAUAAAAGAAAGACACUCACAUUAGUUGGCAUUUUGAAAAUUUAAAAUUAAUUUUAGUUAUUAGAAUAUUACUGAGAAGCGUCAUCUACGACUCUUGUUAGUGAACUUACAAAAAAAAAAUGAGCUCACAUAAUUAGUUUUUUUUGUCAUUAAUUAUUGAGUAGUGUGAUGUAUUUGAAUAGGUUGUUUCAAAAGCACAUCAAAACUCUCGAAUGUAAUGUUAUUUUCAACUUUAUGGUAUAUGAAUAAUUUUUCAGUCAACAUGGUCUAACCCGAUAAAAAAUGGUUUUAGUUUGUAGACCAGUGAUCUCAGGUUCAAACCCUCAUAAUAUUUUGAUAGUGCAUGUGCGAGAAACCCCUUCUUCCAUUUGUAGUUUAGACUAUCGUUUGUAUUUGAAAAAAAUAAAUUUCAAAAUACAAACAUCAUCAUAGCAUGUAUGUGUUGUUUAUGAUGUACCGAAUUGACUCAAAUUAUAACACAUAUCAAUAAUAAUAAACUUGAUACACAAUUUCUCUAUAAAAUAAAAAUAAAAAAAAAAAAAAACUUGAUACACAAUACACCAUUUUAGCACACCACAUGGUGCAUCGCAUGGUUAGAUUUAUGCAUCUAUUUCAAGUCACCUAGACAAACCUACAUGCCAAUUAGGUGGGUAAAGUUCACUACUUCACUACCAAAUUUUGAUUUCCAAAAAUGCCCUCACACUUGUAUAGUUGUCAAAUAAUAAAGAGUAGGGGGGCAAAUUGGUCACACAAAAUAUAAUUUGCAUUCUAAGUAGGAUGCCCUCUUGAAGCACUUUAUUUAAGUGGGAGGAUGGGGGUGUGUGGGGUUGGGUGGUAGUAAUCAUACAUGGGACGGUGCGAAAAGAGCAAAUGCCAACUCAGCAAUUCCGUUUCCAACUAAUUGGAGAUCAUGUCGGCGUGUUUGUUCCGUUAGACGUUGACCAGGUGAAUUAGUCAACAGCGAAAUCAACGCAUUUUUAGCAAAAACUUGAUACACGAUACAAAAACUUGAUACGCAUUUUUAGCCAACUCAGCAAAAACGUUGACCAGGUAAAAUAAAAAUAAAAAAUAAAAAAAACUUGAUACACAAUACACCAUUUUAGCACACCACAUGAUGCAUCGCAUGGUUAGAUUUAUGCAUCUAUUUCAAGUCACCUAGACAAACCUACAUGCCAAUUAGGUGGUAAAGUUCACUACUUCAUUACCAAAUUUUGAUUUCCAAAAAUGCACUCACACUUGUAUAGUUGUCAAAUAAUAAAGAGUAGGGGGCAAAUUGGUCAUACAAAAUAUAAUUUGCAUUCUAAGUAGGAUGCCCUCUUGAAGCACUUUAUUUAAAUGGGAGGAUGGGGGUGUGUGGGGUUGGGUGGUAGUAAUCAUACAUGGGACGGUGCGAAAAGAGCAAAUGCCAACUCAGCAAUUCCGUUUCCAACUGAUUGGAGAUCAUGUCGGCGUGUUUGUUCACGUGCGGUCACAUCCACGGACACUUGCACGCACCGCCCAUGUUCUCGUCGAUUGUUCCGUUAGACGUUGACCAGGUGAAUUAGUCAACAGCGAAAUCAACGCAUUUUUAGCAAAAACUUGAUACACGAUACAAAAACUUGAUACGCAUUUUUAGCCAACUCAGCAAAAACGUUGACCAGGUAAAAUAAAAAUAAAAAAUAAAAAAAACUUGAUACACAAUACACCAUUUUAGCACACCACAUGGUGCAUCACAUGGUUAGAUUUAUGCAUCUAUUUCCGUUAGACGUUGACCAGGUGAAUUAGUCAAUAGCGAAAUCAACGGCAGAUGAAACACCUAAAACUCUCUGAACUAAAACUCUCAAACAAUCGUCACAGACUCGUAACAUGAAAAGCAUAACUACCGGCAAAAGCUCACAAACGUGGUCACCCGUCUUGGAGGCAGGCUGCCUUGUAUAAAAGUUUCCUCUUUUUUUUUUCUUUUUUCUUUCCCCCCUCAUUUUUCUAAAUUAGGAAAUCAUUCUUAGUUUCUUUUUAUUUUUUAUAAACCAAUGCAUUCUUUUAAUAAUUCAUAAUAUUCCAAUGAAUCUUAAAUGGAUUUCAAAUUGUGUUAAGAUAUUGUCGCACAAUAUUUGAUCAUGUGACAAGUACAUAAAAAGUUAAUUGUGAUUAAAACAUUACAUGUGACGAUUAUUUUGUUAAACAAACAAGCGAUAUACCCAUCAAGGAGUAAGCAAGGUCGAUAAUCCCUAGGAAGUUAAUUUUCUUCCUAAUAUUUUAAUUGUUUGCCCAUUUAAUUCUUGAUUUUGUUUUCUUAAGAAUUGGGGCAGUGUUUUUUUUAGGACAGUGUUGUUGGUAAAAUGUCUCAUAGUGAAAACAAAUACCAAACAUAUGCGGGGCGCUGAAAUUUAUUUGAGAAAUUCUUCAUUUCAUCUUUACAAAAACAAAAAAAAUUCUAACCCAACAAUCGAAUACACACCAAAAUUGAUGGUGUCAUCUAGAGUUUGACAUUCAGGAAUUACCCCCCCAAUUGUCAUCUAAUCACCUCAUGGUUAAUUGAUUUAAGUAUAACCAGUUGCAUUGCAGUGAUAAUUGGCGAACAGAAAAAGUUGUACUUUUUGCUACAGUUAAUGUGUGGUAAAGCCAUUAUUUAGUGAGCAAGGGAGAUCCUAAUUGCACAUCUUUAUCCAUGUGAACAUCUUUGCUUUUGGGAUCGGUCAUCAUGGCUAGUUUGGUCCCGCUUGUAUGCUAAAAGAAGCACUUUUUUUUUUAAUAACCAUGUCACCUACUCAUCUAACUAUGUAUUGGACCAAUUAAAAAAUUUGGGUUAAGGGCAUGCUUCUUUAUUUAAAAGAGACAUGCUUUUAUUUAUUUAUUUAGUUUUACUUCUUUUCAUAAAUUCAUGGGUCCACAUAUUAUACUCCUUUACAUUUACCAUCCCUCAUUUUCAAUUGGACACUCCUCUUAAUAUUUUUGAGUCAUGUCUUAUAAAGUUACACAAUUUCUCUAACAGGCGGGGCAAUUGUCCAAUUUAAUACGUUUUUUGGUAUGGUUAGAAUCGAGUUUCAUUUAAUCGAAGGCCAAAGCCAGUUACACAAACGUUAUACCCAAAAAAUGAGUUCAACCAAAUGCAAUACAAAAGGCAUAGAGCCAACUAUAGUUAUUAAACUCAUGAAAGACAGGGUAAAGGCAUAAAGCCCACAUAAAAGAAAAAGUCCACAAAACACAACACACACUUUGGAAACCCUGAGACAAAGAACAUGGAAAUGUUGCACCACCCAAAACCCACGAGUUGCACCACCAACGCAAGACCCCCACCACCGAAGAAAAAAUGGUAACCAAAGCUACAAACAGAAAAUGGGUUAUGGUAGUGGGUGGGUGAUGCUUUUAAAGUGCAUAUGUCACUUAUUGCUUGAAUUAUAAUAGCGCUCUUUGUAACUUUGGUGGCUUAUUCACCACCAUUUUCCAAUUUAGUAAGUUCAAUCUCAUCAUUUGCAAGAACAACGAAUGUGCAAAAUACACUAAUCCUAUCUUGCCUAGCCCAAACGUAGAAGUCCCCAAAUAUGUUCAAGUUUCAACCAAUAAAAAGGAAGCCCAAGUUUGCCAAGGGCCUAUUUUGUCUUCAUGGCUUAUUAUGGCCGGGUCGACCCGACCCAAAAUAGCAUUGGCUUUCCAUAUUACAUCGGCGAAGCGUGAGCGUAGGUUCAGGGCCGUGGGCUUCACCUCUGCUUGCUUCCCUUCUCUAAGCUCUCUCUAUGUCUGUCUCUCUCUGAGAAUCAAUUCUCAGAAAAAAAAUGAAUAGAGGCAUGAAAGCGGCUCUCACGAACUCAAAACUCAACUGCUGCAUUUAUGUGAGGGCUGCCCUCUUUCAUUCUACCCCCGUCUUGGAUCGCAAGAGACGCAACUAUUGGGAACCUGUAAUUCUCUCUCUCUCUCUCUCUCUCUCUCUAUGUAUAUGUUUCUGGGUCAUGUUCCAUUUUGUUUAUUUUUAAUAGUGUCUGCUGAAGUUUGAAAAUUUCGAUGAUUUGAGUAUGCAUCAAUGAGAUGAGAAACCAAAAAAGAUUGAUACUUUUGGUAUUUUUUUCUUAACCUUAUUGAUUGCCCGUUCUAUCUGCUUUCUUUGGCUGUGAAAAAAUAAGUGGAAGUGAGAAAUAGACAAAUUUUUAUGGAUUAUGUUUCAUUUUGUUUUGGGAAUCUUAUAAACGAGAGUGUGCCUGAAAACAGGGUCAAAUGAAAUAGUUCAUUAGCUAAUAUAUGUAGAGGGUAUUGUAAGUUAUCUAUCUCAGAAGAUGAAUACUUGGGCUUCUGAGCUGAAGUUCAUUGAUUGAUUUUCUGCAUUUUCUCACCAAGUAGCCAGUGCAUUGUGGUAAAAUUUCAAGCUUUCAUAAAAAGACAAGUAGGCCACAACUGUCUCUUACUCCAUUCAUUAAUUUAGAGGUCCCACUUUUAGUUGAAUGGAAAUAUCAAAAUAAUAACCUUGAAUGCAAAGAGGAACUUUGAAAUGCUGAAUUUAGUAUGGUUAUAUUGACAUGGUAUCCAUCACUCGAAGGGGCAUGGAAACACAUAAGAACUCUUGAAUGGAAUUGGAAAAGGGAUGUAACUCUAGUUUCUUUGGAAAUGGUAAGAUCUUUGGCACAGGAAGUUGAUCCUAUUGAUCUUGACUUGGUUCUGAUCUAUGUAUUUCUCUUAAGCCCACAUAACAGCGCAACCAAGAUAGGUCUCUUUGCCAUAAUGCUUACCUUUUGAUUGAUUAAUAUGUUGUUAGUACCUGCACAAGUUACGUCAAAGCAUUGGCAUAGAUAUGUUAAUUCUGCUUAUCUUUCUGUGGGUCCAGUUUUUAUUAUUAUCAUUAUUAUUUUUUUUGUAGUUUACAAAAUGAAUUAUUGAAAGUUAUUCUGUUUCCUCUUAUGCUGUACAUUUCUUCAGUGCAUUUGAUAUGCAGGCCGUGUCAAUUUUAGGUUCAUCUGUAUCCAUUUGUUUCCUUACUCCCAUUCCAUCCCUUUUAAUUAUAAUAACUUAUAUUCUAUCUCUUAGUUCUGAUAGUGAAUGGAAAUUAUGUCAGUUGCUCAUAACUGUUCAUUUGCAGAGAUUCAACAACCAUUCAAGAAGGUCCAGAAGGAACCAUGCAAAGCAAACAUUACUGCGCAAUGUCAAUGCUUAUGCAGACUUCUUAUUUCAGGUUCUCUAUUCCUGCUGUUAAUUCGUUUUAUAGUAUGAUUGGGAAAAUGCCAAUUGUUGUUACAUUUAACUCUAAGAUUUUAAUUUUGAGACCUUGCAAAUUCUUGUGCUAGAAAUUUUGAAGUGUCAAAUGCAGUAGGUUAUUCUUGAGUUAUAAGGAAAAUGAGCACUGUCAGGUAGCAGUACCAGAGCAGUCAAUCUUUUUAUAUAUUUACUUAUUUUAGAAUACUUGUACAGUAAUGAAUCUCACUGAUAUAACACAUUUUCCCUUAGUUCCCCACUUUUGAUGAUUAUUGUUUCCAGGCAACAGUCUGUUUAUUUUUAGUGGUAUCUUGUCAGACAUGAUGGUUUCAAUUGAAUUUUUUUUCCUUUUUUCUCGUCCCGGUAAUGAUUUGAUAUAUCUCUAUUUCUUCAUGGGUUGCUCAUCUUUUGUAAUUUUAUACUGGCCUUUUCCAAUUUAUGCAUAGGUGAACAGUUACAAAUUUUGUCCUCUUCUGUUUUUGUAAAUUUUUAGAUUAUGUUCCAACUAUAUAUUUUUUGAAUGUUUCAGAGUUGGCAGAAGGAGUACGAUGAGGAUGAGCCCUCUUCUAGCAAAGGCACCUCAUGGUUUAAAAAGCAAUACUCAGCCAAGGGAUCCAAAAAGAAUGGGGGAGGCAAUCAAGGAGCCUGGAGUUCCGGCAGAAGUAAGGAAGUAUUUAUGCAGAAAAGGACAUGUAGUACAUCUUCUAAAAUUAGAUAUAUGAAUGGCACAUCUUUUUAACCUGGGUCAGGAUAGUGGGUCUGUCUUUUAGUUGGCUCCCAUUCAGGAAUCAUUUUGCCUGGAAUCUUUUACAAAUUUUGCCGAGCAGUUGGAAUAAAGCCUUUCAUGCGGGCUUAAGUGCGACAUUUGUUCGACAGAGACCACUAGGUGUAGUUUAGCUUGUGAGCCAUAUAUCAUGUAUAAGGACUCUAAAUUCAACUGAAGUAGGCGAUGCUCUUUUGUGAUGGCAUCAGAUAGGCACCUUUCACGUUCCUUACAUGAUUGAUGUUAUGUUGUGAUUUCUAAAUUCAGUUUCAUCAUCCUUGAAGUUGCAUAUGAUCUCAGUGCAAUUUGCAAUGCUAUUUCAGGAGGUUUCCAGUGCUUUGAAGAAGAUAUAGAUGUGGAGACCAUUUUCCGAUCCACGUUUGGUGGAACCAAAUUCUAUUAUUGGUCGUUCAUUGAUGAAGAGAGUUCGCAGUGGAGGAGCUCUUCAAAUCACUCUAACUAUGGUAGGUCCUGGAAUUGGAGACAACAGAAUAAGGAAGAAUAUGAAACUGAGUCUGAGUCCGAGUCUGAAAGGUCUGAGUCAGAUGAAAGGUUGGCCCUCGGAUUGAGUGCUUCUGGCCCUCUAACACUUGAAGAUGUCAAGAAUGCGUGAGUUCUUUUAGCAGGAUCACUUUUUUACUUCUCAGUCACUCUUUUCCACUCAUAUAUGUUAAUUUUGCUUCAUCAUCUAAUCCGAAUCCUACCUUCAUUUUAGAUACCGAAUCUCUGCGCUGAAAUGGCAUCCAGAUCGUCACCAGGGCUCUUCCAAGGUAUCAUCAACAUGCUCUAAUCAUUCAUUAGGAUUGUUUUUUAUAUUGAAUCUUUGAUGUGGAAUAUCACGAGUGUAAAGGAAGAGAGUCUAAUUUGGCUUAUACACGUAGAGAUGGAAAAUUAUUCUUUUUUUACCAGACUGGUGAGUGUGGAAAAUCAUUUAUGGGUACCAUUUACCUAGCAAUGCCCAGCUGAGUGACAUUGGUCGAAGCAAUUGUAGUGCAUUGAAGAUUUGUUACAAGUGGUUGGAGAUGUUCAAAUGCUUUACAUAAAUUGAGUGCUCAGACUUCUAACAGUUUUGCUAUAUUAAUGCAGGCUGCUGCGGAGGAAAAGUUCAAGCUUUGCAGUGCGGCAUAUCAAUCUUUAUGUGAUAAACUGGCUGUGAACUGAUGAUGUACCAAGCCGGCCUGCUAACUUAGUUUAAGUGCAGAGAUGCUAGUACAUGUAACAUAUCAUUAUAUUUUUAUUGAAGUUUGUAGUUUCUUUCUAGGCAAUUAAGGGACAGGCUUGAAUCCUGGAAGACCAGGUUAAGGUUGGGGGUUUAUCUCUAGGGUACGGAGGAAUGGUAGUUAUAGCUGAAAUUUGUUAUGAAACAGAACAAGGCUGCCGGUGUGGCUUUGAAAGGGUUCAGCCAGUGGAAUAAUUAUCCGACGAUGGCUGUUCACAGGCAGCCCCAGCUUUGCACUGCCGGAAGUAUGUAUGCCUAUUUUUAUUUUUAUUAUUUACUGAGGAUGUAAUAAACAGUAUAUUUUCUUUAUUAAUAUUGAGUCUUGGUGGAAAGAUUGAUGUGAAAAUAUGGAAUAUCAGUUUGAAAAGAAAUUUGAAUAUACAUGAACUUUUUGGAAGAAUUAUAUUAUCUUCCCAGACAAUUUAGCAUACAACAUUCAUUUCCUAAUCCGCAAAACAAAGGUGUGAAAGAAAGAAUAUAUAUAUUACCGAGUUAGAACCUCGGCUACGAGGGGCAUGCGCUUCUGUAUUUAUGAGAGAGUUUUUUUUAUAAAAUUUUAUAAAAUUAUUUUAUAAUUAAAAAAAAUAAUGGGUAGUUGUGUUUCAUAUAAAUAUGAUUUAUUACUUAAUUUUUCUUUUAAUUUUAAUAUGAAAAAAAUGUGAAUUUUUCAUAUUAUCUUUAUUUAAUUAAUAAUUUCAAUUCUUAAUGUUUGCAUUAACCAAGAGAAUUUUCUAGUAUUUUGAAUGUUUUACCAUUAUCUGCAUUUUACUAUAUAUAUAUAUAUUAAUCACUUAUAAUUGUAGUUUUUCUUUAUCACAAAUGAUCCCUAAAGUUUGUCAAAAUAUCACCUUUAGCCCUUUAAGGUUUUUUUUAAAAUAAUAUUAUUGGUCCUGCUAUCAGGUUCAAUUAAAAAUUUCUGUUAGAUUGUUGACGUAGACGCCACGUGGAUUAAACAAUGAUUAAAAAUGAAGAAAAUAAAUUUAGAAAAAAAUAAGCUGGUUAGAAGCUGGGGAUGGGUCUCUAGUUGGGGUAGGGCCAGAAAUUGGGCAGUGGCUAGGGGAUGGGUCUCGGGUGGGACUGGGGCUGGGGUGGAUGGGGGUUGUAUGGUGGCGUUGGGCUUGGGAGUUUUCUGGAUAGAGAGAAAAAUAGGGUGUGAGAGAGAGAGAGAGAGAGAGAGAGAGAGAGAGAGAGAGAGAGAGAGAGAGAGAGAGAGAGGGAGCGAAGGAAGGAUGAGGAAAAGAGGGAUUGGGGGUUGGAUCGAGGAAUUGGGAGUCUGUGAAGUUGAGUCGAUGAGAGGAGGUGGAUUGGGGGUUGCGGGAAAAGAGAGAGAGAGAGAGAGAGAGAGAGAGAGAGAGCUACGGGUGGGGACAAAGAGAUCAGAGGUAGAGGGUGGAGGAGAUGGAAGGGGAAGGGGAGGGUAGGGGAGACGGAAGGGAAGGAGGGGAUGGGGAGGCUGAGUUGAUUUUGUUUUCUCUUUUGUUUUUUUUUUUUUCUCAUUUCUAAUUUUUUUUAAAUGUUAAAAUAUUUCUUUUCUUAAAAAAAUGUUAAACUAUUUUUUUAAAAAAUAUUUUUUUAUUUAGAUUCACAUGGGAUGAUCUCAUUGGAUAUGUGGGCACCAUAUAUGUGCCAUAUGAUCAGUUUAACAGAAAAUUUGGUAGAACUUCACAACGAGACCAAAUUGAUGUGUGAGGUGUAAUAUAAAAGACCAAUAAUGUGAGAAAAAAUAAAAGAUCAAAGAUGAUAAUUUGGCAAACUUCAAGGAACAUUUAUGAUAAAAACCCUAAAUUAUAAGCUGUAAGGGACUUAUAGUUGAUAUGAAAAGUUGUAAGGGACUCGUAGCUCAAAUGGUUUAAAACCGUUAUUAUUGCAUUCGAGGUUGUGUUUAAAUCUCCUUCCCUCAAUAUCGCUUAUUACAACAUGAAGUAAAAGAUAAUUUAGCAUUUUUCUUCUUUUAUGAUUCUUAGGUAUAGAGAAUCAAAUUUGAGAAAUUUUCAAUGUUGUGUUGUGAAACAUAAAUACUGGACUAAUAGCUAAACCAAAAAAGAAAAGAAAAUAAUAAUGCUAGUGACACCGUUAGUUUACAAAAUUGGAGCCGAUGAAACUCGCGCAAAAUGGCUGAGUUAACGCGCGAUACCACUCCGUAAUCCGUAUUGGACAAAAGAAAUAGAAAAGCUUCUAAAAGGAAAAAAGAAAAAGAAACUGAUCUUGAUAUUGCCGUCACUCUUUCUGCAUUAUUUGGUUUCAGUUUAUUUGGUUGAUUAUCUUGGUAAAAAAUUCUUGAUAAACAUAUAAUGCUAAAAACCAGACAGAUCUUGGGUUGUUCAUCAGGCUUGGUUUCGCAUCGUUGGAAGCCCUAUAGCUCUACAGGCAGCAGGCAGGUGUCCUUCAUUUCUAUCUCCACCUGCUCCAAACCAUUAUUAUUAUCAUCAUCUUCUUCUUCUUCUUCGACAAUUAUACCGACAACAACCACUUUGUUACUUCCUGGGUCCUCACCUCGCCGCACUCGUUUUGGAGCUUUCAGCAUGUCCUCAGCUCAUUCUGGGCCAAACCCAGGUGGCCCUUCUUCUUCAGUCGCGGUUCACUCAGCUGUAAGCUUUUUUUGGGUCUAUUUCUUUUCGUACUGAUGGGUUUGGUUUAGAUUUUUGGGGUGCAUGCUCAAUUUAUUUGGUGGGUUCUAUUUUAUUUUGGUUGCUUUUGAGUAUGGGGAAAUGGGUUUGUGUUAUCUAAUGAGAUUAAGCGUUUUGCUUCUGUAUAAUUUAUAAUUGGGGAGAAAUUUGGUUGGCCUCUUCAUUCCGCAUGAACUGUUACCUCCAUAUGCUCCAUUGCAUAAUUCAAAGUUUAAACUUUGUGGAUAUUCCUGUGAAUUUAUUGGGUAGUUAGAACUUUCUUAUUCUUUUCCCCCUUUUGAUAUUUGAGUUGUCAUGUCUAGUUAUUGAAAUAGUAAUUGAUAGACGUAGCUAGAGAUUUUGACAGGACAAUGGUAUUGUAUCAAGUCAUCUAUAUGCUUUACUACGACAGUGCAUGAUUAUAACCCAGAUUGAGCAUUUCAUUUGUACUUUUUAACAUUUUCUUUUCAUUUAUUAUAGCCUACUGUGCUUUAUGAAUUGAAUUUCGAUUCCUAUGAAGGGCAAUGCUCGUAAGAUCAAUUUCUGCCAGUGGUGUGGUGGCCCAACAAAGCAUGAGAUACCUGAUGGAGAGGAGAAGAUAAGAGCUAUUUGCACGGUUUGUGAUAAGAUUGCCUACGAGAACCCAAAAAUGGUAUACUGUUCAAAUUAGCCUUUGUUUUGCAAUGACAAUUUCAUUGAGUUGUGCAUGUGCCAAUCCAGGAACAAGAGGUCCCAAGUUUUCCUUAUGUUUGAAAUUAGUUUAUAACAAGGUGCUUGAACUUCUUGGUUGGAAAUAGACUGAAUUUAUUAUGUUACAGAUUUGAAACAAAGUCUCUAUGUGAUCGGUCUAUUUAUUAGGAUUUACAUUUGGGUAAGUGCAUAACAAUUUAUCGAUCUCAUCUGUAGUAUCUUUAGAUUAUCGUUUUGUCUCCAAGUAACACCACCAAUAUUUUUACAUAUAAUAUUUAAUAUACAACAUCCGUGUAUGCCAUAUUUUUCAGGCAACUUCAAUAUUAGUCCCAAUUUCAGCCAGGUUUCCUCUCACUUAAGCAUAAAUAUCGAUCACAUGAUCACAUGAUAUGCAUCCUAACUUGAAUGAUUUUUGUAUUCUUUAUUCUCUUUGGAACUUAAUAGUGUUUGGGAAUUGUUCAGAAAUACUAUGUUGCAGAAGUUUUUGUUGAUUCCAAAAUCUGAUUUUGAUGGCAGUGCAAAAUAAAGGUUAUUUAUGUUAUUUUCUUCACCUGCUGUAUUUGAUUCACAUCAUAGUGUUAUACUUGAAAGGCUAUCCUGGUUAUUUUUUCCCCGGCAUUACUUAAGACGUUACUCUAUAAUAGAUCUGACAUGCAUGUGUGUGCCUUUACAGACUGACAUAGUCCUGUUUACUCUGGUUCUAUUGUAAACCAGUCUGGCCUGCUUACUUUUAUCUUCUUUUCAUUGUCUGGAGUCAGUUUCUAUAAAUGCUAAAAUUGAUUGAAUUUGAAAAGGAGGGAAAAAAGUGUAAUGUUGUGCGCUCGGUAUUUUGAUUGUGAAGUUCUAGAGCUAUGUAGUAUGUCACCUAAGUUUGGUCCUUAAUAUGAUUUGUGCUAUACAUAUUAGGAGUAAUUGUUUUAUACAAAUGUGACAUUAAUUUUGUUGUUGUUUGCUCAAAUGAUGCUUAUAGGUUGUGGGCUGUCUGAUUGAGCAUGAUAACAUGGUCCUGCUUUGCAAGAGGAAGAUUCAGCCAUCAUAUGGCCUUUGGUAUGUUUGUAAAUGGAUAAAGUAUUUAUCUGGGAAGGGUCAACUGACUAAUUAUUUCUGGAAAAGGAGAAAAAAAAUUAUGUUUUAAGCAUCAAGAUUUUAUUUAUUUAUGAUGUUUAUCUUAAUUUUCAUUGUUGGGUGUUGUCGUUUAGGACUCUUCCCGCAGGUUAUAUGGAAAUUGGGGAAUCAGCUACAGAAGGAGCAAUCAGAGAAACCUGGGAAGAAGCAUGUGCAGAAGUGGAAGUGCUGUCUUCUUUUGCUCAGUUGGACAUCCCACUAAUUGGCCAGGUCAGUGAGAAACUUCUCAUUAUUAACCUUUUAUUUUUGUUAAAUUUUUUGAUAUCCUAUACACUUGAUAAAGAUGUCUUUGUGUUCAUGUUGUGUUUUUUCAAACAGACUUAUGUAAUUUUCUUAGCAAGGCUGAAGAAGCCCCACUUCUCACCGGGUCCAGAAUCAUCAGAAUGCCGACUAUUUGCACUUGAUGAUAUACCUUUUGAUUCUCUGGCUUUUUCGUCGAUGGUAGUGACCUUAAAAUUGGUAUGGGCUUCUUGUGGAUGCUUUACCUAUUACCUUUAACAUCUAUUCAAUUACUUCUAAACAUUUAUCUUAUGUCACAAUUUCUUAUCUCUUGUGGCUGCAGUAUGCAGAAGAUGUAAGGGCCGGAAAACUUAAGUUCCACUAUGGUAUCAUCAAUAAAAAGUAGGUUCACAUUAUAUGAUAUUCCAAUGAGUAAACAAUAACUCAACUCCCGUACCUUAAUGAGUGCAAUUUCUGCUUUUUAAGGAUAAAAGUAAUUCAACCACCCCUAAUAUUGAAUUAGACAUUGUUGAGUUGUUCAAAUAUGGUUUCUAUUGAAUAUCUAAAACGAUCUUACAUGCUUGAUAUUUGUUUCAGGCCUGGCACAAGUCCUUCUGACAUUCAUGCCUAUACUUUGGAUUAUCAUCUGCAGUCCUGACAACAUGGUGAGUUAUCACAUUUUAAUCUUUUGGCAUUUCCUUCCCCACCUAGGAGUAUGAUGUUGUGACACUGUUGCAUGGAGUAAGUGGCCAGUUUGUUCCUUAAAAUCUAUAAAUUGUAGAUGGGGCAAUGUUUUUUAUUUCUUCUUUUGUAUUUAUCUAUAAUGUCCUCAACAUAAGUCUUCAUCUUUAUACUUAUUUAGGUUUGGUUAUCUCAUUUCCAACCCUUUUACUUUUCAAUGAUGGUUUUCAUAAUCCUAAUUUUUUGCCAGUUGCAGAACCCAGCAUUUGUAUGAAAAUUGGAGUUGAAACUUUUAAUCACAAUGGCAAAGUUGGGAUUGUAUCUUCGUAUAGAAAUGGAGCCGAUAUCUUCUCCAAGUCCAAGCCCAUUGUACGCAUUGGAAUUUGAUCUUGAUUCUACUACUCAGUUGUCUGCAAAAUGCGAAGUUAUUCAGCCCACAGUAGACUUGUGCAUAAUUCCAGUUCCCUCAUUCUGCAGUUGUCUCCAAUUGCUCACUUCUUCUGUAGAGAAUCAAAUUGUAUAAAGCAUGAACAUAGAUUAAAAAAUUAAUGAAAUUCUUUUUCUCCAUCUGAUGUUAAUUAUCAUUUUUCAGAACAAAGAUUUAUUUACUUUCCAGCUGAUAAUUAAUAUUCCUCAAGUAUUUUAUACCGGAACUUUUGGAAAUUGAUGUCAACCAACUACAAGUACUUCCUACAAGAAAACUUACCUUAUCAGAGGUUUCCGAAGUGUUGGAAGGUUGCGGGACGUGAUUGACACACUGUAGUCGUUGAUCGGGUCGGUCAAUUUGCAAAAUGUAGUCGGUUGAUGUGAAGCGGUUACAAGAUAAUUUUGCAGUGGAGCAGUUACUAGUUGGUUGUGUCGUUGUAGUUGGUGUUUUUUUCAUCCCGAUGAGUGCAACUUUUGUUCAUUAUCUACGGGCCCAAUUUUGCAUGUUGGUUGUUGUUCAGCAUACGUUACAGUGGUACUCUUUUUUUUUGACCGAAUUUUUUUCUAUUUAGAAUUUUUUAAGACAAGAUUUUAAUGAAGCUACUAUUGCUCCAUCAAGUUUAGCCUAAUGUAUUAUUUUAUGCAGUAGUUUUUUCUUUUUCAUUGUUUCCUCGUGAUCUUUUUAGGCCGCGAACCUUUUUAAGACUCCGCUCUUGUGUUCCUGGCUUUCACUUUGGCUUUCGGAUGUUGUCAUCAUCUUCCUUGUAUACUCUUAUAAUGUUUAAUACAACAUCUUUACCAACAAAAAAUAAAUGUAUAAAACAAACAACAUAAGAAAAGUUUCGGUUUCUUAUACAACAAAAACAAAUAAACAAAUUUGAUAAAGCAAACUAUAAAAUUAAUUUUUUAAAAAAAUUAAACAUACAAUAUCGUAGCAUCCACUGCAAAAGAAUUCAACAGAGUUGAGCUUGAAUGGUUCCAAAUCUCAUUAUUCUAAGUCCAACCACAAAUUUACCAUAAGUCACAAGAAAAAAUCAUCUGGUUCUCUCACGCAGGCCGUUGAUCUAGGGGCAACAAAGUCCACAAAAUCUGGACCCCACAUUUUGAUUACCAAACUUUGAACAAUUCAUACAUGUAGCAUACUGCAUACACCAUGCAACAAGUCUACCUUUCGUUUACUUGACUUUCAGUCUUCGCCUGGCCCUAAUUUUAAAUUAGGGUUUCGUAAUAAGUAUGAAUCUCAGGUUUCGAUCCUUCCAAUCCAAACCCUAAUAUCUCAAAUCAGACUCUGGAUUAGUGUUUUCAUGGAGAAGAGCAAUUCGUUCAAAGGCCCUCAAAACCCAUGGAGCGCCGAUUUAGGACUUGGCACCAGCGAUCGGAGAUUGGCGUUUUCGCGCCAAGCCUCGUUCCAGCAAUACCACGAACCACACACGCCGGUUUCGAUCAAUCUCAACGACUCUGAGGCGACGCCGUUUCUCUCGCGGAGCGUGUCGAGCAUUGACGUUCCUCCAGGGGCGUAUUUGGCAGAGGAAAAUGACAAGCUUUUCGGGGAACGAAGAGUUUCGGCCGAGAAAUUAUCCGUCUUGUUGGUUUUUGAAUCGGUGUUUCGGAUUUUGAGGUCCGGAAAUCGGUAUAUGAAGAGAUUGUUCUUGUUGAUUUCGCUUAAUGUGGCGUAUUCGACCGCGGAGCUAUGUAUUGGACUCUUCACGGGACGUAUAGGUUCGUAAAUUGUUAUUAAUUUCACAGUUUAUAUUUAAUCGAUGAUUUUAUUUUUUGAAUUUUGGUUGAAUUGUUGUGCUGUGUUUUCAGGUUUGGUGUCAGAUUCAUUUCAUUUAAGUUUUGGGUGUGGCUUAUUAACGUUUUCAUUGUUCGCUAUGGCUGCUUCUCGAAAGAAACCUGAUGCAAUUUACACUUAUGGGUAAGAUUGUUGUAUAUUUAUGGAUAUGAACACGAGUUGGAUUGUUAAUCUAUUUGGGUAUGUUUUAGAUUUGAUAAUCAUGUGUAUAAUGAAUUCCUUUUUUUCUAUGAAUCAGGUAUAAAAGGCUAGAAGUUUUGUCUGCUUUUACCAAUGCUGUAAGUAUCUCACGUUUCCCAUAUCAUUGCAAUUGUACCCACUUUUGUGCUAAAUUACCAAACUUUUUUAUGGAUUUUAAGUUAGUUUCUCUAUUUUUGGGUGAUGAUGUAUGCGUAGUACUUGUAUUUUGGGACUCUUUGAUUCUAUUACUUUUGGGAACUGGUGUAACAUUAACUGUGUCCUCCUACUUUCUGGGCAUUGGUAAUAGUCUUGUUUUAAUUCUCAUAUUGAUGUCAUUUAAAAACUUAAAUUUAUGUCAAUUUUUAAUGUACGUUUUCUUGGGUGACUUGCAAUCCAAGUGCCAUUAGUUUUGAUUUGGUUAGCUUGUUUCCGUGGCUACUUUCAGAUGAAACCUUUUCCAUGACCUAUAUAUGUUUUCACUUUAACAUCUUUUAUGCAUCUCAACUUGUUGCAUUGGAUUCCACUCCCUUUUCUUCUCAUUUAAUUAUUGCAUUACUUCCUUCCGUGCAUCCUCUCGGCUAAUAUGUGGACUUCGUUUUUGAUUCUGCUGCACAUGUAGACAGCUGUUUCUUUUGUUUAUGUCAUUCUCCUUGGCUGUGGAAGCACUUCAUGCGUUCAUACAGGAUGAAUCUGAACACAAGUAAGUUGGUUAUGGAAAUUACAAUGCCCAGAUACUCUACUACAUUCCUAGUUCUUUAUUCCAAUGGUGUGUCAAUUGAGUCUUCACAAUUUUGUGGUAUUUUGCCAUAUAUACUUAACACUACUGGGAUCUCAUUUGCUUUCCUUGUCAUUGCAAAACUUUUCUUUAUUCCAUUUCAUGUGUCUUCAGAUGGUUGUUUUUAUGGUGCACUCUUAUAUGUGUUAGGAAUCAUGUAUCUGAGACCUCUCCUAGUGUGGUUGAUUGACUAGCUAAGCAAUUCCAACUAGUGACUGAUUUCUGAGCAAGUUCAAUUCCACGCAACAUUAAAGUAUAAUUCUAGGAUUGUCUUCAGUAAGUCUUGUGGCACACAGAAUAAUGUUGUGCUGUCUCCUUACCAAAACAUUUGUAGAUUCAAGCGUUUGUUAGGUUAUCUUUAACUAAAACUGGGCAAUAUGACAAUUGUAUCAGAUAAUGAUUGUUUUGAAGUGAUCUCACUAGUACAUAUGUUUUUAUGUGUGAAUAAUCAUUCUAUUUAUCUAAUUAAAUUGGGCCAAUUUUCAAAAAAUUAAUUUUGCACUGCUCUUUUCAUUAGAUGAAUCACUGCAUAGAAACUUUUUGGUUCCUGCUUUUGUGGUUGCAGUUUUUCUUAUGGCUCUUAUUGUCUGCUAAUUAUCUGGUUAUAGGCAUUACUUGAUUGUUUCGGCAGUGACAAAUCUACUGGUGAAUCUUAUUGGUGUUUGGUUCUUCAGAAAUUAUGCUCGUGUCAAUCUUGGUAAGUUUCCAGCUGUAGUUUAUGUUUUGGUGUUGUGACCCAUUUGUGAUUUCACUGUAUGAAAUUUACCAUGGUACUUGUUUAUGAGAGCUACUUCACCUACACCUAGGUUUAGUCUAUUUGAGUUCUUUGAAAGUUCAGGCUAAUAGAUUCAAUAUAUACCUUGGUACAAGUGCAACUUAGUUAAAAGUUUGCAUUGAAGGCCGCCAAGUCAUCUAGUUUUUUUCCCCCACCUAAAUUAUUGCUAUUGUACGAAAUUGAUAGAGAGGUUUUGGCAUAGCAAUUCGAAAGUAAAACUUUCUAUGAAACAUCAGAAUGAUGUGAUUAUAUUCCGUACAUUUUCAUCAGCCUCAUUGCUGAUUGUUUGUAUUUUCCAGAGAUAUCUGGUACUGAUAGUACUGGUGUGUCCAUCAGUGUUCCCUUAUUGUGCAUAAAUGAUUCUUACUCUUUUAAGGGCUUUGCUUUUGAGUAUGAGUAUUGGAAAAUGAGGUGUUUCUUUCCCUCCUGUACAUGUUUUUUCAUAUGGUCUACACAUGUCAUGCAGUUUACAGAAACGCAGAAGAUAUGAACAACCACUCAGUUUGCCUGCAUGUUCUUGCAGAUUCCAUUCGUAGGUAUAAUAUGCUCCCUUCUCGUCUCUAUCCCUCCAUUUCUAUUUCUCUAGUAAACUAAUUUCCUUGUGUGCCUGCAUGUUCCUUUUAUAUGUAUUUCUCAUGUGAACUUUCAUCUGACACUGGUAAAUGGAAAUUUGUUUCCCAGUGCAGGGUUGAUAUUGGCAUCUUGGUUUCUGUCUCUGGGGUAAAUACUGUUCAUUCUCUCUCUACUUCUCUUUUCUGUUUUCCCUGUUUUUCUUCCGAUGUGAGAUCUGUUUUCAACUGUAUAGGGUUCAGAAUGCAGAAGUUUUGUGUUUCGGACUAGUUUCAGUUGCAGUUUUUAUGCUUGUAAUGCCAUUAUUUAGAGCGAGUGGUGGUAUUCUACUUCAAAUGGCACCACCAAACGUUCCAACUUCUGCAUUGAGCAAAUGCUGGCGACAGGUAGUGUGAAUUUAUUGCAGUAUGGUUUAAUAUUAUGUUUUGUUAGUAUUGGAGUUAUUGAUGUUUAAUUUGGCAUUAUAUUUUUUGUCAGAUUACUGCCCGCGAAGAUGUUUCUGAAGUUUCUCAAGCACGGUUUUGGGAAUUGGUUCCUGGUCAUGUUGUUGGCUCACUUUCAAUACAGGUAACAAUCAUUGGAAAUUAAGUUCUAUUUCUCAGUAAGGGUAUGCUACCUUUUGGGGCUGAUUUUAGUUGGCGAUGCUAACAGGUAAAGAAGGGGAUAGAUGAUCGCCCCAUACUUCAAUUAGUGCAUGGUUUGUACCAUGAUUUGGGAAUACAGGACUUGACAGUGCAAGCUGACAAUGUCUGAGAGUUUUGUUUCUGGUUUCGGCAUUGAUUGACAUUUGGUGAAGAUGGUGUUGGGUUGAAGUCCGACAUAUAGAUUUGUUCCCAUUUUCUCGUUUGAAACCAUGGUAUUACCAGUUGGCAAAUAUUAGAAAAUAUAAGAGAGGAGUUUGAUUGGAUCUAUGUCAUUGUAAUGAAAUAUUAUUCUCUUUUUAUUAAAGAAAAUUAGUUGCUCUGGUAUCGGAGGUUUAUGGUUCUGUUCAUGUUUUUGUGGUCUUUCAUAUUAUGAAUUGUUGCAAUUAGCAAAAGGGAGGUGGUAUUGAAGGUUAAAGUUAGCUGGACCUAAAAGAGAUAUGUCAAAAAUAACAUAUAAAAAAAUUUGAUGUCAAAUAUUAUUUUAAUGUUAAUUUAAUUAUGGACCUCACUAUCAUUUACUCUCGUUUAAACUUUGUGCAUCAUAUAUGGGUCCUAUUUGCUUUUAAAAAUAAAAUGAAAUAAUGUGAUAUUUGAUGUUUCGGGUGGAGUUAAUUUUUUUUCAAAAUGUCAAAUUGUCACAUAAGCCAUCAAAUUCAAAUUUAACAUUUUGCAUUUGACAUCUCCCUUGUAGAUACUCUAAGAAGUCACUUUGUUAACUGCUGAGGUGACAAAGUGGGACUGAUUUUUGCCACAUCAGCAAUUAAUAGAAUUUUUAACGGUCUUGUUAACAGAGGGGCUUGGUGUAGGAUUUCUGUAAGUUUGAGUAUGAGUUUGUAGGAUUUUUAUAUACACCUGCCCAGCGCCUAUGCGCCACGUGUCAAACAGGUAGCGGAUGUACUAUUUUUAAAAAAAUUUAGAAAAAAGGGUAUAGCUGCACGGCGGUACUAUUUUAAAAAAACAAUUAGAGAAAAACUGAGAUUUUUUUAAAUAUACAUUUUUUCAAUAAUAUGUGAGAAUUAUGUGUAUAAUACGUGAAUUUUGUGUCUUAUUGAAAUUUUUGUAAAAAAUACGUGUAUUAAACAUGAGAAAUACGUGCGUACGUAUAUAAUACAUUAUUAAACGUGAAAGUGCUAAAAUCUUUAUACAGGUAAUAACUUUGGAAAAGUGAAAAAUAAAAAAGGGACAAUAGAUACUCGAGUAAUGGCCUAAUAGUAACGGAUAGGGCUCUUGGGCUAUGGAGAAAUUUAAUUAAGACACCCAAACGAUUUCACAAAAGACUUAAUAAAUAUAAAUUAAUUAUAUUGUGGAUUUUUUCUUUCAUUUUUUUAAUAUUAAAUAAUAAUUAAAAUAUAAUUACUAAUUAAAGUAAUUCAAAAAGGCUAAGAUAUUACUCAAUUACAUAUAUUUAAUUAAAGAAGUAGGCCAAAAAACAAAAGUAAAGAAACUAUUUUUUUUAAAAAUAUUUUAAAAUAAAAGUAAAUUUAGGUUUUAGUCAUAAAAAAACUUUCACUUUUGAAAAAAGCCAAAGCUUUUUAAAAAAAGACAAAAAAACCUCUCAACUUUCAAAUCAAAGACAUGCAAAUGUAAAGUAUUUCUAAGAAAAUCCAAAAAUAAAUAAGGGCAAUUUUGUCCAUUUUGGCUUCUUUUAAAAAAUUUCUCUCUCCUUUGGACUUUUUCAAAGUCUCCCAAAAAUAAAAAACCUGUCCCGACAAAAGUUCGUCGGCACAGGUCUAUGCCGGCGAAAUUUCCUUGAUGAAAAUUUCUUUUUAAAACGUAUAGCCGCACUGCUAUACUAUUUAUAUAUUAAAAAAUUAUUGCCCAUCGCAUAUGUGCCACGUGUCAAGCGAGUAAGCCGGGCGGCUAUACUAUUUUUAAAAAAAAUUAGGAAAAACGGGUAUAGCCGAACGGCUAUACUAUUUCCCAAAAAAAAAUAAUCAAAAAAUAAAGUAUAGCCGGCCGGCUAUACUCUUAAUAUACACACGCGUCCAGCCCUAUGCUCCACCUGUCAAACAGGUAGCGGCUGUACUAUUUUUAAAAUUAAAAAAAAAAAAGAGUAUAGCCGCACGGCUAUACUAAACAAUCUGGGAAAAACUUAGAUUUUUUUAAAUAUACAUUAUUUAUUUUCAAUAAUAUAUGUGAAUUAUGUGUAUAAUACGUGAAUUUUUUGUCUUAUUGAAAUUUUUGUAAAAAAUAUAUGUAUUAAACAUGAGAAAUACGUGUGUACAUGUGUAAUACAUUAUUAAACUUUAAAGUGCAAAAAUCCUUAUACGGGUAAUAACUUUGGAAAAGUGAAAAAUUAAAAAGGGACAAUAGAUACUCUUGUUAUGGCCUAAUAGUAACGGAUAGGGCUCUUGGGCUAUGGAGAUAUUUAAUUAAGAUACCCAAACGAUUUCACAAAAUACUUAAUAAAUAUAAAUGAAUUAUAUUGUGGACAUUUUCUUUAAUUUUUUUUAAAUAUUAAAUAAUAAUUAAAAUAUAAUUACUAAUUAAAGUAAUUCAAAAAGGCUAAGAUAUUACUCAGUUACAUAUAUUUAAUUAAAGAAGUACGCCAAAAUUAAAAAAAGGCACAAGUCUAUGGCGGCGAAAUUUCCCAGAUUAAAUUUUCUUUUUAAAAGGUAUAGCCGGACAGCUAUACUAUUUAUAUAUUAAAAAAAGGUGAGCCCAUUGUAUAGGUGCCAUAUGUCAAAUUAGUAAAGCCGGCCGGCUAUACGAUUUUUAAUAAAAAUUAGGAAAAACGAGUAUAGCCGUACGGCUGAGCGAUUUCCUAAACAAAUUAAAAAAGAAUCUAGUAUAGCCGGGCGGCUAUACGCUUUAUAUGGGAUUUCUUCAAAGGUCAUUAUUUAUGUAGUUGAUCCUUAAUUUUAAUUUGUAUUAUUAUUAUUAUUUAUUUCUAGCUUCUUUUGCUUCCAAGUUCUAAUUCUACAACAUGUAUACUAUAAACUUUAUUUUUCAUAUUAACUUGACAAAAUCAUUUAAUCUGUUAUGUGACUCAGAAACAUUUCCAGGAAAGAAAUAGAAUGAGACAGACAGUGGCUGCAGCCUGGUGGAAAACCAGCCCUUGGCUGUGAGCGGAUUUAAUUGCAAGGUAAAAAAAACAAAAGUGGUUAAAUAAAACGUCUAUUACUAAAUAAUUUGCAUAUUACAAGAUCAAAGCUUAAAGCUUUAAAGCAGAGGGGUGCCUUAUAUACUUACACAAACUGCUCCCUUUGGAAUAUUUUUCCACCCCAAAAUAAGAAAAUGUUUUCAACCAAAUUACAUGAGAGAUAAAGGUUCUCCACAAAAAUUUGAGACUCUGAAAUUCAAAGUCCUAAUGACUUACCUCUACAACUUUUACUUUACCCUUCUCUUUGAAGCAAAGUUUCAUUAAAUGAAUUACAUUGACAGAAGAGCAAGGUUUCCUUUCUAGCUUCUUGGCCAAGUCAUCUUCCAGUGAGUUCUGUGAAUGGUGGUAUUUGCCCUCCAGCCAGAUCAAAUUCUGUGUCCUCUUUGAAUGAUGGAGGCAUGGCUGGCCACACAAAAGCAGGCCUUUCAGUGGGCAGUGCUGGUGGAUCUGCUUCCCUUGUAAGAACCUUAAGGACAGUUCUCGUGGAUGGCCUCAGAUGGGGGUUCGGGUGGCAGCAAGAUAACCCCAAAACCAGAACACAUGCCAUAUCAUCCUCAUCAAUGUCUCCAUCCAAUCUGGAGUCAACAGCAUUAAGGAUCCUUCCUCUGCUGUAAAGAUCCCACAGCCAAUACACUAUGCUGUUGUUGUAGUUGUUCUGCUCGUUUUGAUUACUAGGCCUUCUUCCACAGACAACUUCUAGCACAAGAACACCAAAUGCAUAAACAUCUGUUUCGACAGUAGCCCUGCCGGUAAGAAAUGUUUCUGGAGCCAUAUAGCCUGGUGUUCCUGCAAUCUCUUUGGUGGAGUGGUGAGUUAAACCACUUUGUUGGAUGGUACGAGCCAGUCCGAAGUCUCCCAGCCUGGCUAUGAAAUCUGAGUCUAACAUGAUGUUGCUGGCUUUUAUGUCUCGAUGAAGCACUCUCUUUUCGCAUCCAUUGUGAAGAUAAUCGAGUGCUUGAGCUACCCCAAGUAUUAUGCUGUGCCUUCUUUCCCAGCUCAGUGUUGGUUCCUCUUUCUCCAUCCCUAACGUGUCAUCCCUGAAUACGAAUCUGUCUAGGCUUCCAUUUGGCAUGAACUCAUAGACGAUAAGAAGCUCAUGUCUUUCAUAGCACCAUCCAAUUAAUUUGACCAGAUUUUUGUGACGAAGUCUGCCGAUUGUGGUGACUUCUGCUAUGAAUUCUUGCUUCCCUUGACGUGAAUCCUUUGAGACUCUCUUGACUGCUACCUCUUUGUUUCCCAAGAGGCCCUUAUAGACUGUUCCAAAGCCACCUUUUCCGAGCUUGUUCUUGGGAUUAAAUCUGCCUGUUGCUCUUUGAAGUUCUUUGAGUUUGAAUUUUUUGGGGGCCAUGGAAUUUGUUUGAAUCUCUUCGUCUAUCUGCAGAUGUGCGUCCUCCUUUUCACCUUGUCUUGUCCAGAACAAGUAAGCAGAAACUCCAGUUACCAAGACAAAUACUGCAGGGACCGUAAUCCAAACCCACAGCAGGUUUGAAUUUUCAUCUAUAUGUGAAGAGUGGAAAUCCCAUGACCGUAUGCAGUUUAGCUGAGUGCUAUUGCUUGUGGAAGCUGAGAAUCCCACAUAGACCUUCUGUGAAAGAUACUCAGAGAGAUCAAGAGUGCGAGACAAAACUGGAAUAUUCUUCAUUUCCUCCCUAGUUUCAUUGGUCUGGGAAACAAAGAUGGCGAUGUUCUGGCUGUCAUAGCGAAUUGUCACUGUGUAAUUCGUUUGGCUUGAAAGAUUAACACCAUAGCUAAGUAAAGGAACUUGUUGAAUUGAGUAAACGCUGUUUACAUCCAAGCCCACAUGGUUGUCAUCUACAUCUUCCAAGUAGCUCUUUCUUGUGUCGAAUUCUACUGCCACUAUGUUAGCCUGAGCAGAUCCAUUUGAACUUGCAUUUACAAUUCCAAGCCAUUCUCCUUGGCUCUUCUCUGGAAGAGUGGGACUUCCGGUUACGAUAAAGGCCAAGCCUUCACCACCUGGAUCGGUUUGGGGAGUGAUGUUAAGUACAAAGGUAGAAUUGAACAAUGCUCUGCUGCGAGCACCGCCUUUGCCUUUUCCCCACAGCUUGAAUGGCUUUUUAUAUAAAAACCUUCCAGAUUGAUUCACGAUGGAAGCCGGGUUACUAAGAUCAGGAGUGAUCUGGAUUGCACUAUAAUAUAUGCGUGAAUAUUCGGAUUUAAUGAAAUCCUUUUCAUCUAUGUUGUCUCGAAAUGUUGGAUAGCUGAAACUCAAGCCUUCUGCUGGAGUAAGAGCACCACACAAGAGGGCUAAUAGGAGUGCAGACCUUUGUAGUGAAGAAAGUUGCAUGCUACUCAUGAAGAUUAUAUGAGUAUAUAUACAGAGUUUAGUUUGUUGCCUUUUGUUUUUGGCAAUAUAGGAUACAGAGUUUGAAACACAGAGAAAUUGAAGGAAGAAGUUGAGCUUUCAAGGUUCAAGGAGAGCACAUUCUUUUGCAAGAUAUUUAAGCUAAUUGAGGUCAGACUAACGGCUUGUAUUAGGAGGAAACUUCUUUGUCAGUUUUCUCUACUUUGCUGUACAUACCAUGGACUUAGAAUUAUAUUUUUAUACAUAUAUUCAACAUCAAGGUGAUUGCUUGUGGGUUUGUAUUGUACUACUUAUUCUAUGUUACAUCAAGGUUAUCUGAUACAGAGUUUGAGAGACCGAGAAAUCGAGGAACAAGUCGAGCUUCAAGGUUCAAUGAGGAGGGCAGAUUCGUUUGCAAUAUUUAAGCUAAAUUGAAGGUCAGACUAAUGACUUGCAUUAGGAGGAAACUUCUUGAUAAAUUUCCUCUACUUCUCUACUUGAAUGUUUUAAAGGCAUGUGAGAUCAACAUACCAUGAACUUGGAAGUAUAUUCAUUAUUUAUAAGCGGUAGAUAACGCAACCAAACACAAAAUGAAGCUUUCAGUCUCGCAAAGCAUCUGGCCCCCCCCCCGGAAACGGUCAGCGAACUGAGGUCAGGCAGUGCAUAAACUCUCAUAUAUAUUCUAACACUAAAGUCAAUAGAAAAAUAGUUAUUGAAUUGGUUUGUUUCCUAAUGAUAUCUACAAGGAAAGUUCAUGUGAGCAUCAAAGUAACCUCAUCCGCAAGAAAAAGAUAAUGAAAAAAAUACAAGGAGAAAAACAUGUUCUGUCUCAAGCAGAAGUCUAAUUUUGGCUGUAUUAGCCGAAUUUAAAAGAGAAAAGUGAAGUCUUCUAGAUGAAAGUUCAUGUACCUAUACCAGACAGAAAAUCCUCUGCUUAUAUAUAUGUUCAAUUCAAUUUGGAAUUGUGUCUUGCCAUGGAAGUUAAGAGGUCUCCAGAAAGGAAAUUCCUAAGAAGCUUGAGGUUGAUUAAUUCCCAUAUAAAAUUUAGUUACCGUGUUAUGACCUCUUCAGCUGUGAUGUGGUACGAUAAUCACUAGCAGCUGAGGCCAGGCUUUGAAUAAGUGAAAUUUUCCAUGGAGGUAUGUACCGAAAAAUAAGAUAAAAAAAUUGCUUCAACGGAAGAAAUCAACGCCACGAGAAAAAGAAAAAUUAAAACUAUUAGUAGUGGAACCACUCAAUAUAUAUUGUAUUUUUACUUUGUCAGUUUCCAAUACAUUCUUCAACAGUAGUUUAACACAUGAAAUACACAGAUGGAAGUUGCACUCUCUACAAGUGAAGCGGGUUUUUGUAAGAUCAAAAGCACCACAACCACGACAUUGUUUGGUCUGGAUCUGUGUUCAAGAAGAGGGGGUGUUCACGAGCCUCGUGUGUAAGAGAGUCGGAAAGAGUACUACAUUAAUGUCAAGGUAGAAGCCGCUAAAACAAUAGGACAAGCCCAACUACAUGUCCAGCAAGCAUCAUACUCAAACAAGCUAUUUAAAGGAGCUCUUGUGAAGAGUGUGAGCUGGUGUAGGUGAAGUAGAUGAACUCUCUUCGUAGGUAAUUGGGCACAGGUUCUUACACUGAUCUUGCUACAGGUGGCCUGCAGAUAACUUUGGGAGUUUCAUUCAGAUUAAGUUCAUCAAGCACUAUACUUCAAAAAUUUCAUAUCUUUCACACUUUAAAAAAUUUCACAUAAAAAAAACCUUGAGGAGAAUUGGAAUUGGAGCUUCAAUUGGGAGUAUAAGAAUUCUCAAAUUAUUUGAUUUUCAAAUUCAAGGUAGUAACGAUUUACCUCGAAUACGACUAUUGAUUAGUCUUACUUAAAGUAAUAUUAUUAUCACAGCUUUAAACAAAACUACUGAAUGAUUGAUUAUUCUGGUGUUAGUUGUUACCUGUAUUGAGAGUGAGCCAACAACAUGACCAGACACCAAUUUCCAUAGCUGAGCUUGAGAAACUUCAGAAACAUCUUCAUGGGCAGUAAUCUAACAAAAAAGGGAAAAAAAUAACAAGUAAAACUAAACAUCAAUAAAUUCAUUUACAAAUAAAGCCUAAUAUGAAAUACAACAAUGCUGAAAUAAAUGUCCACCACCUUUCGCUAGAUUUUCUCAAUGUUGAGUUGGAAUGUUUGCUAUGUUGAAAGCCUUUGUAUCAAUAUCAGGCAUUAUUGCAGCAAUUUAGGUAAUUAUUUAUAUAUAUAUAUUAUUUUUAUAUUUGGUCUUUGAUGUUAAGUUUUAACCUAGUUUCUGUUGCACCAAGCUAUUACACACUGAUGUUUCAAAGAACUGAAAACAAUACAUGUUUAUAUUAACUAGACUAAAGUGGGUUCCAUCACCAAAACAUAAACUACAGCUGGAAACUUACCAAUAGAAUUACUUGGAGAAACGGUUAUCCACAUCAAGAUGGUCCUUGGACAACUUAGGGCAUUCCAUAACUUCCAAAGUCACCGGAGCUUGCAAUUUUAUCCCAAUGCGCGUCAACUCUGGCAGUUCCAACAGAUACAACGUCCUCAACUUUUUCAAUGUAGAUCCAGAUGGUGAAUCACUUUCAAACAAAGUUGUCAAUCUCUCACAAAAUUGAACAUGGAAAAUUUCGAGGUUUUCUAGCAGCUGGGAUGAGGGAAAGGCACUCACAAUCAUUGGACAGCAAUCUAGAUACAAAUGUUUAAGGUUCUUAAAGCACUCCAGAUCCUCUUUCCCAUUGUAUAGACUGCUCAACUUUGGAAGGUUUGAAAUCCAAAGAAUCUCUAAACUGCUCCCCAGUCUGACAUCUGCCUCUUCUCCACGAAGAAUGCUCUUAAUUUCACUGCAUCUCUCAAUCCAACAGCCUUUCAUUACCUUCACAUUAUCAGCACCUAUUUCAGAUAGGCAACUUAUACGGUCAUUAUCAACCAAGGAUAUAUAAUCGGCAUGCUGCAGGACACUUUCAAAACCUUUAGGAAGACUAUAUGAUCCAUGGAUUUCCAAAGACCGAUCGUGCUCUUUAGGAAAAUGCCUGGUGUAGGAGUACAGAUCUCUGAAGAAAAGUUCAUCUUUGCAGCCGUUGAUAUCUCCAUCUUCGCCUUGCUUCUCGAUCACAGAGAAAUGAAAUCUUUUGAACUUUGUUUCCCACAACUGUGGAUUUUCAUCCAAAAACUGAAAAAUUGUAGAACCACUUACAGAUAUGGAAGGCUUGUCACCACCAAUAUCAGCACACUCAAAGAUGCCACCUUUGUCACAGUUCACCUCUUGUGGUAUACGCUUUAUCUUUCCCAAGUCAAUAUCAUGCAUACUCUUCAAGUCUGGCAGAUCAAGGUGCUUUAAAUCAGUCAACUCAGAUAUCUCAUAGGGAAAUUUUUCUAUUCUGGUUCCUGACAGAUUAAGAACCUCCAGACGACCAAGAGAACUCAGAUUCUGCAACUCUUUUAUCCCCGAACAAUCUUUUAGCAAGAGCUGGCAGAGGUUGCUAAAACUUUUUAGAGGUGGCAGACUCCCAAUUGAUGUUCCAGAAAGAUCAAGAAUCUCAAGCGAAGUUAUUGCUUCCAGAUUUGGCACAGUUUCUAAGGAUGAACAACCUUUUAGGGAGAGCUGUCUGAGGUUUGUAAGUCUGGACAUGGAGGGUAGCUUUGUAAGUGGGGCUCCAGAUAGGUCAAGAAUUCUGAGGUGAACCAUCUGCUCCAGGAAUUCAGCUUUAAUGCCAUUUAAAUUAAUGGCACCACAUAGGUUGAGUUCCUCAAGUUUUAACAGAUGGUCAAGAGGAGGAAGGUCUUUUAAGUUUUGGCAAUUUCUGAGUACGAGGUGAAGGAGGUUGCUGGCUUUGGGAACAGAUGGAAGGAACUCAAUCCUAGUGUCUGAUAGGUUGAGUGUCUGAAUAUGAGACAUGUUCUCAAAGGAUUUAUCUUGUAUUUCUUUCAAAUCCCUGCAACCUGAAGCAUCAAGAAUCUCUAAUUUGUCAAAGGCUUUGAGGUCUGGCAAACCAACCAAUGCCACACAACCAGAAAGAUUAAGCUCCUGGAGUCUUUUAAGGCCUGCCAUCUCUGGCAAUUUUUCUAAGCAUGAACAAUCCAUUAGCAAGAGUUGGCGAAGGUUAACUAGGUUGGACAAGGACGGCAGUGCUUUUACUUUGACUUUCGAAAAGUUGAGAACUCGAAGGAACCUCAUAUCUUCCAAGGAUUUAUCUUCAAUUUCAGCCAAAUUGCUAGAACCCGAAAGGUUAAGUAGUUCAAGCUUUUUCAUUGCUUUUAUGACUGGCAGUUUCACAAGCUUAGAACAAUCUCUUAAGUGGAGAUCAGAAAGGUUGCUUGUGCUUGAAGGUAUACUACUAAUUUGAGUGCUGGAUAAAUCAAGGACAUUAAGUCCAUCUAAUGGUUCGUCCUGCAUUUCUUUCAAACCUGUAGCACCUGAAAGAUCAAGAAUCUGAAGCCGAGGUAGAGUGUUCAAAGUGGGCAAUCUUGUUAAGUGUGCACAGCCAACUAAAAGGAGCCGAGUGAGCUCACCAAGAUUGUGAAGAAAAGGUAAGUGAUUAAUUUGGGAAUUGGAAAGAUCAAUUGUUUGAAGUUUCACAAGUGGGUCGAAGGUUUUGUCUCGGAAUUUUCGGAAAGAGAGAGCACCAGAUAGAUCAAGCACCUUGAGGUUCUUAAAAGAUUUUAAGCUUGGAAGUGUUUCUAAUUGAGCACAUCCUCUAAGGAUAAGCCACCGUAGUUCACUUUUAUUGAAGAGAGAACUAGGUAGUGAUCUGACCUUGGAUUCAGAAAGGUUAAGGCUUCGAAGGUGAGGCAUGUUUGCAAAAAGAUCAUCAGGAAUAACCUUCAAGCAAGUAGCACCAGAUAUUUCAAGAACAUUUAAGUUUUCGAGUUUUCCGAUAUGAUCAAUUUUCUCCAAGAGAUCAGAACAUCUAAGCACAAGAAUAGAAAGACUCUUUAUGCUAGUCAAGGAUAAAGGCAGGGAUUUAAACCUGGGAUUAAAUAUAGUAAAAACCUGGAGCUUCUGCAUGGGCUGAAAGUAUCUUCCAGGGACUUCUCUGCCAAGGGAACGUCCAUCCAUCAGAAGUGUCAAGACUUUCUCCCUGCUUUUAGGACUGCAUGGUGAUUUUAUCAUACCAUCCGCAUGUGUGAGCCUCCCAAGACCUUCCCACUUGUCAUCUUCAAACACAUUAGCCAAUCCGAGGUUUGCAGUCCCAUUAAAUUCUCGACGGCGUUGAUCAGUGAUACUCGAAACCAUUCCUCCCAUGAUAACCAUAUUAUCCUCUUGCUUUCUUAGCAUGCCACGAUCUAUAAGCUUCAUCAGCUCAUCAUGUCCUUUUUCAUAGGCUUUCUCAAUAUGAUCAAUGCAUCCAACAUAUCCUUCCAUUAUCCAAUGAGUGAUCAACUCAUUGUAAUGCACACCAACAUGUUUGCUGAAAAGUUGCACGCUAUGCCAAAAACAGUUUAUUGUAACAUCGCUUAGCAACGUGUCAUACCAGAAGCGAAAUAGCAUAUUGAUUGCAACUUCUGCAUCAUUAGCUGCUGCUUCGAGAACACUGUCCAAGGACCAAACCCCAGAAUCAAUAUACCCAAUGUAAUUCAAUGCUUCGGCUAUUGCGAUGAUUUCAUUACGCAUGGACUUUCUCCUCUCCACAAUAAAAUUUGACAGCAUUUCAAAGCUUGGAGAGUCAGAAAUUUCUUUCUUGACUUUUUCUUUCAAUAAGAUCUUAGACUCUUCUGUAGACAAUUGAUCUACAUAUAUGUUCCUUGUAUUACUGGUCCGAAUCUCUUCGUUCCUCCCCUCUGCUGUAAGUUUGUCAUCACUUCCAACUCUAGUGAUUAAGACCUUUAAAGAACUGAGGUCAUUUGGAUUCAGCAGUUUCUUCAGUUCUGUCAUAAUCUCUUCUGCAUCCCGCUCAUGAGGAACAUCAUCCAGAAUUAGUAGAAAAGGUUUCUCGUUUGUACGUGCUGCAGAUAUCACAUCUUGAAGCUUCUUGGAUAUUUUCAGCUUCAAAUUUUCCAAGAUCUCCUUCUCCUCCUCCUCAACAUCAUCAUCUUCGCAUUCCUCGUGAAUAGAGAAUAGAGACAUCUGCCUGGCAAGGUUCUCAUGAAGAGACUUGCUGUCAUAUUUGUUAUUCAGAUAUAGCCAUAGACUGUCAUGGAAGUUUUUCUUCAUGCUUAUCUCUUUUGCCGUCCAUGUUUUCCCUACUCCACGCUUCCCAUCAAGAACGACUGUUGUGACAUCAUUAUUCUUCAGCAACCCCAAUAUCAUUUCUAUCCGUUCCUUUGUGCCUAAAGCCAUUGCUGACUCCCAAAAAAAUAAAAAAGAUCAACAUAUACAUGAAACUUCCAUAAGAAUAAAAUAAAAUAGUAGAUUUUUCAGCAAAUGGGAAAAAAAAAAAAGUAAUUGGAACUAUCACCAAAUUAAACUAAAUCCAUUCAAAUCUUCACAUGCGCUACUUGACUUUGGGGCAAUGUAAUUGGAACUAUCACCAAAUUCUUCAGUUGCAAACGCGUAUACUUCCUUAAAAAAUUAAAAGAAACUCAGUUGUUCCUCACCGGUGAGUAGCUAAAACUGGCAAGGUGCCAGUUAUGCUCUUUUUUUUUUUUUUUUAAGCGCCUGGAUUGAAAUUAAUCAUUUGCUAGCCUAGUUGUUUAAAUCCUUGGUGUUGCUAAAGAACUAGAUUUAGUAGCUUAAAACCAAUGAAAGAGGGUAUCUUCCAUUGUAUAGCUCAGAACCAUUGGUGUGCAAUUGUUAACCAAAAAAAACAAAAAAGAAACAAAAGUGGUGAAAAAUAUUUAAUUAUUUAUCUUUUAAUUGCUUGGUUUAGGAAUGCCAAAAUUACAACAAAACUGGCCCAUUCGGAUGAAAAUUCAAGCUUCCGUAAAAUGCAUUAUAUGGUUCAGACUUCAGAGCCCGAAAGGCACUCAAAGAAAUGGCUUUAAAAAUUAUCUAAACUUUUCGAGAACAACAAUUACAAAAUGACGAACUAAGAUUAGAAGAAACAAAGACAAUGUUGGGGAGAAUUGAAGUCUGGGAACAGCAAUAUUUAUAGCAACAACCCAUACUAACACAAGAACAGAAUUUUUUUAAAAAAAUUACAGAAAUGAAUUUAAAGCAAGCUUCUGCAAGUUUCAAACAAUCAGAAUAUAUUCAGUUCAUGACAUGGUGUUUUGAACACCAAAUUAACACCUAAAGUUAAACCAAAGAAAAUGAAUAAAGCAGAAAAUGAAGAUAAUCAAAUCCAAAAUAGAUAGAGAGCAAACCUGAUGAGUGGUUUGGUGCAGAAGAGCAAUGAGAGUUUGCUUUACAACUGGGAGAGUCAAGUCAACUGUGUAAUCUCUUCACCACAAGGUCCACAACUUACUAAUCAUAGCAGCCUCUCUUAUAGCAAGCAAACCAAUCACUUUGGAGAACCUGGUGGGCCAGUCAAAGCAUCAUAAAAGUUAAGAAAAGGAAAAGUGGAAGAAUCCAAUUUUUCUUUCUUUUUUUUCUUUUUCUUUAUUGAAGUUCACUCUCUCAAAAAGUAUCAAAUAAAUCCAACUCGAUCAUCCUUGUAAUUCUCUUCCAAAUAUCGAUGGAGCUCUUAAGUUCGAAUCCGUCAUUUUUAAUUAAUUAAUAAAAAUAGAAUUUUUUUGAAGGUAUAUAGAGUAUGAAUUUGGAAUUUGGAUCCAAUUAACUUCCACUAUCUUUUAUUUCUUUAAAAAAAACAAAAAGAGGAAAAAAAAAGAAAGAAAAAAGAUAUAUAAGAAUGGCUUCAUAAUAUUUCAAGGUAUCAUAGACUGAUAAAAAAAAAAAGGGAAGGUUGUUGCUUUAAUAAAGCACUUUUGCCCUUUGUUUGGUGCGUUGAUUGCUUGAGGAGUUGUUGUAUAUUCUUUGCUCUACAUUCAGGGUAGCUGCAGAAUCAAUAGAAGCUUCUCAUCAUCACUAAAGAGAUUCGCUGCAAAAAAGUGUUGUCUGAUUGUGGUUCCAUGUUUAUUAAUAUUAGGCUUAAUUGUUGAAUUGCCCCUGAACCUCAGUUGUACUCUCACUUUGCUCCUAAAACUCAAUUUGUGUCGCUUUACCCAUUGGAACUCCAUGUCUCACUUUGCCAGGCAUAGUUGCCUGAGUUUCAGGGGCAAAAUGAAACUAGAAUUGUGCUUCAAGGGCAAAUUCAAUAAUUAAGUCUUAAUAUUAAUGUUCAUACCAAUGUUUUCAAAGGCGAGGCGUAUAGGCGAGGCGUUUUUAGUAGCGCUAUGCGAGGUGUAAGCCUUGAAGCAUUGAGGCGUAAGCCUUUUGAACAUUAAGUUAUUUUAAUAAGAAAAAUUUAUGAAUAAUAUAAUACGAUUAAAUUGUACAACUAAUUGUCAUUCAAAACAUAAUAAUCUAUCCCAAUACAUAAUAAUCAAUCCCAAAACAUAAAAUAUUUAUUCAACAUCAAAACAAAAACAUAAUUCACUCAUCCCACUCCUCAACACUAAUAUCAUUCAAACUAGCAUCACUAUCAUAUUGAUCAACUGUAUCAAUAUGAAAAGGAUAUUUCCCACUAUCAAAUGUUGAAGGAUCUUUAUCUAUCUCAUCAUCUUCAUCCAUAAGCAUCGCUCUUAUGGACUUGCUUUUGACUUUCCUCUUACUUGAGGUUUCACCAUCUUUUCUCUUUUUUGAAGCUAACGAGGAAAGAAGAACAUCAUCAUCAAGAAUAAGAUCAUCAUCAAUAAUAGGAUCCUGAGUUCUAGAAUGGACAAUAGGCUCUUGAGUUCUAGAAUGGACAAUAGGCUCUUGAGUCCUAACAUGAAUAUUCCCUCGCUCUUGAGUCCUAGGAUCACCAAUAGGCUCCACAGAAAUAGGCACUCGAGUAUGUAGAUCAGUUUCAUAAGGUUCAGUGGGCAUAUUUCUGAUGACAUCAACAUCAUAUAAUUCUUGAGAAUUAAGCCAAGUAAGAUCAGUUGGUAGAAUUGGUUCUUCAACCUCAGCUAUCCAUUCAUCAUCGGACUCAAUUUCAUUCACCAAUAUUGGAUCAAUCUUUGACCUCCUUCUAAUACUUCUCUCUCUUAGUGCCGUAUUAUACUUCACAUAUACUAGAGCAUUGAGCUUUUGAUGUUCAAGUCUGUUUCUUUUCUUUGUAUGAAUCUAAAAUGAAUAUAAACAUACAAAAUUAGAUUUAGAAGCAUCAAAAUUUGAACAAUAAAUUAAUAGAAGAACUUUACCUGCUCAAAUGUGCUCCAAUUCCUCUCACACCCAGAUGCACUACAAGUAAGGUAAGGACCCGAAUAGCAAACUUCGUCACUCAGGUGUGUCCCUUCCAAAACGCUUCCACCAAUUUGCUAUAAAAAAAAAAAACCAAAACAAAUCCAUCUAAUUAAGUUUAACAUUUAUUUCAAGUGUUCAUUAUACUCGAAUGAAAAUGAAAAAGUAAAAAUUAUAACCUGGAGUUCGUAGUUUCCUUGAAUUCACAGCAAGACGACUUCCAAACUCUCCUUUUGCCUCAUCAUACAAGUCCAACUGGAUAUCAGCAACCAUACGAUCCUCAAAAGACAACAUCCUAGUCAUGCAAUCUUCCAAUCCCUUCCUCACUUCAUCAGCAGCCAUACGAUCCUCAAAAGUACAAAAGCUACACUUUCACUCAAAAAGACUUGCGUUUUUUUUUUUUUUUUUAUAAAAGGUAAGUACAAAAAAAAGGUAAGUACAAAAACUGAAACUGGUUUUAAUUUUUUCAGCAUACUCCAAGUGAAACGACGUCGUUUCACUCAAAGAUUUUUUUUAAAACUCUGCCAUCAAAACGACGUCGUUUCAUUAUGCUUUAAAAAAAAAAAAAGGGUCAUCUUCCUCCUCGCGCCGUCUUCCUCGCAGAGCAGUUUCAGAUUUCCAGAUUCUGAAAUUUCUUCCAGUUCAGAAGUUUCCGAAUCUGAUACGCCUCGCUCCGCCUAGCCACGCCUUCCAACGCCUCUCACGCCUUCCCAGCGCUAAACGUGCAACUCGCGAAACGGCCGACCGCCUCGGGCGUUUUCCUCCCGCCUCGCUUCGACGCGUGCUCCGACGAGCGCGAAGGCAUGCCUUUGAAAACACUGGUCCAUACCUGAAAGGUUUUGAAUAUUCUCAAUGAUUUUCAUUCAACAAUCAUGUGAUAAUUAUUUACAGUGCUUUGCUUGGUGUCUAUACAAAGGAUUUCCUAUUUUAGGUAAGAAUAAAGUCCUUGAGAGAUAAGGAAUAUAUACAACGAAUGUAGGAAAUAAAUACAAACAAAUAGAAAACUAAACCUUUAAGGAUCUCGUCUCAUUGCACCCCCGCAAGCUGACGGGUUGGGGGAGCACAGGCAGAUUGGACUGAAGUAAGGAAAACCGAGCAGGAGAUAGACCCUUAGUGAAGAUAUCAACAAUUUGAUCAACCGUAGAAUAAUAAGCAACAACCAAUUCAUUGCGCAACCAUCUUUUCACAAACAAAAUGAUAAUAAACCUCAACAUGACGAGUGUGAGAGUGAAACACCAGAUUUUAAGCAAGAGAGAGAGAGCACUAAUAUUGUCACACCAAAGCUUAGGACAAUGAACUGGAAGAUGAAGAUCAAGAAACAAAGCCCGUAACCAAGACAGAGUGGCGGCAGUAUGGGCAAGCUGACGGUACUCCGGCUCAGUACUGUAGCAGGAGACACCGCGUUGCCUUUUAGAGCUCCAAGAAAUUAAGUUGGCACCCAAAUAAAUGCAAUAGCCACUAGUGAAGCGACGAUCGUAGGGAUCCCCACAUAAUCGGCAUCAUAAUAAGCAAUGAGAUGCAGAGUGCUUGGUGAAUAGAGUAACCCAUGAGUAAGCGUGCCAUUGUGAUAACAAGGAAUGCACUUAACAACAAGCCAAUGAACAGUAGUGGGUUGAUGCAAAAACUGACAAACUUGAUUAUCGAAGGCAAUAUCCAGGCGAGUAAGGGUUAAGUACUGAAGAGCACCAACAAUACUACGGUACUCAGUGAGACCAGAGAGAGGAUCGCCAUCAGAGAUGCUAAGAUGACGUCCAUUGACAACCGGUGUAGGCAUGGGUUUGGCUUCGUGUUUUGUUUAUUUUUUAUACAUGAUUUGUCAUGUCAUUCACCCAAUAUUUUGUGUUAGUUCUUGACAUUUUAUAGCCUUUUACUUCUUUUUUUGUUUUUUUUUGUUGUUGUUGUGUUUUUAAUAGAUUUCACCUUGAUUAAAAUGAAAGUGAGAUAAAAAUGCAUUAUUGGAUAUAAAUUCUGUUUUUACUCAUUUUCGUUGGUUAACUUUUUGGCUGUGGAUCACCAUGCUCUGUUGCUCGGAUGAGGUGAAGUUCUUCAUGAAACUUGUUCCAAUGGGUAUAACAUAUUUGAAUUUAAGCUCCAUUGAACAAGUAUAGCCUAUCCAACCGAUCCAACAUUUAUCCUAACCCUGGAAUUGUGGUUUGGACUACAUUUACCUCAAUUGGAUACCAUCCUCCAUUUUCUACUUGUUACCACACCACUUGGUAACAAUGUUUCACUUAGAUAAGCUGGAAUCUCUCUCAAUAUAUUGAAAGUCAAAGAAAUGAUGAAAGUAAAGACAAGUGAAGAGAAGAGCCAAAGAACUUUGGGUGAAAGGUGAAGCAUCCUAUGAAGUAAUGAGUAGGAAGAGAGAAAGAACAAAAGGUAUCUAAGGGGCAGCACCCAAGCAAGAAAAGAAUCCUUCACCAUAUACUUUGCAAAUUUCAGAUUUUUUUAGAGAAGGAGGAGAGCAAGGAACAACCAAGGAGAGGGGAGAAUGGCAGAACAAUUAGAGAGAACCUUGGGGAGCCUUGAGGUAAGGAUCCAAGAGGUUGAAGAUGCAAUUCUCUUUCUCCUCAUUGUUUUUAGUUUCUUUCAUUUUACUUCUUUCUUGUAUUUUCUUAGUCUCAAUGUAACUUCUUAUUUUUCUAGGGCUUUGGUUGAAGCCCUAAAUAUGAUUACACUUUUGUUUUGAUGCUUUGACUUUGUGGAUUUUUAGAUGUUCUCUAUGUGUUUGCUUGUGUAAGAUACAUAAGAAUACAAUUUCUAAUUAGCAACAAAUGAUUGAAUCCUUUCUAAGCAAGUAUCAAGUGAAUUGGCUUCUUGACAACAAUUGAUGAAUUCCUCUUCACUAAAAUAAUCUAUCAUUGAUGUAUAUUUUUCUUUGGUUGAUCACCCUUGAAAGCAUGCUUCUUGAGAUUGUUGAGAUUAUAUGUACUUUCAUGUUUUCCUAAGAAACUAAUGGAUGAAGUAAGAAUCAUCCAUGUGAAUUGGUUUCUUGAACGCCUAAUGUAAACACCAUGCUAUUAUGGUUUUUGUGAUGUUCAUAUUCUCUUCAAACUUAAUGAGUUUUUCAUAUGGUUAACUCGAAGUACUAAGUACACCUAGAUUGACAAGAUUCAACACCUGUCAAGUGCCGGGUACACUUGACCAAAUUGCCCUAUAAACUAAAACUCAAAUUUUUUUUUUAAGGUUUAACUUCUGCCAAAAAUUUGAUAAAGUCUUCCUUGUAAAUUGCUCGUUUCUCAAAAUUUACACAUGUACAAAAUGCAAUUCAUAUAUCCACAAGCGUUCAACAUGCACAAUGUUAGAACACACACAAUCAAACAGUAAAUCUGUGUGGCCUCAGGCCUUACAGAAGUCCUAGGGCAAUAUCAGAGCCUACUAAUUAAUUUAAUUUACAAAAAUAGUGUGUUUACAGUAGAAUAUCUUACAUAAAGGAAGUGGAUGAGUGGUGGGUGAUGAAUUCUAGAUGGUGGUGCUCCGGUACUCGAUUAUUGCCUGGGGGAGCAAAACAUUAAAAGCGUGAGUGGACAAAAGAAAGUUUUGCAAAAUAUAAUAUCAACAUACUAACCCCAUUGUUAAAACCAUUUGAAAAUUCAUUUAAUCCAUGUUCUAUAUUCGUACAAAAAUCAGGCAUGCAUAUUUAUAUCCAUAUAACCGUUCAUACAUUCCAACAAUUCAUCAAAACUAUUUGAAAGCAUUGAAAAAUAAUAAUUCCUUUCCAUCUAGGUAUACCCAUCAUAAAUCCGUCAAUUCCAUGAUUUUCUAUUUAUUUCCCACAUUAUACCGUCAAUUUCAAGUGCCACAUAAGCGACACCUCCUCGCAGAACUCAGAAACACAAAGUUAACUCGAGCCGCAUUCCUCGCAGAACUCAGGAGACACUUGGUCAACCUGAGUCGCAUUCCUCACUCCUCAUGGUUCGGCUAUCCCUUGGACCCGUGGGGCAACUGUCAAACGCGCACUAACUCAACC
rnacentral:lncRNA from 1 species